rnacentral:lncRNA from 1 species
CUGAAAGAAAGUAUAAAUGAAAUGCUAUACUACUAUAUCUCAAGUAAGCAUGAUGUCAUGGUAUGUACAUCUACGCUAUCAUAAGAUAAUAUGUCCAAUCCAUACUAAUUGCUACAACAUAAUAAACAAGUAAACCUCACGAUGCAAUAUGCCAAUGCAAAGGAGUAAGCUCUAUCAAUGCAACCCAGUGUACUAUGAUGCCAAUGAAUGAAACAGCAAGUACACUAUAUAUUUCAAUGCUAUGUCGUAAGCAUGUCAAGUAAUCCAACUACUAACCUAUCUAGUAGUGAUUAUUCAUUCUCAACACUGUGUCGAUUUUCAUUUCCAAUUAAGGACUACCAAAGGUAGUCCAGCUUGUGCCGCUUAAGUGCCUGUGGUAGCCCAACAUCCUUACUCUUGGAAUCUGUCUGUCCCACUCGACCUCAACCGCACGACAAACAUAAGUCGCGUAGGCUAACUCCGGAGUGCCGGCUUGUAGGGAGCGACCCUCACAAGCAUGUGCGAAUCAGCACAAAUGGCAAGCAAAGCGUAGUCAACAGUCUCAAGUAUCCAAUCAUCAUGUCUCUAACAUGGAUAGUCACUAGCAUCCUGAAGAUUAGUUCUAGUCGCAAAGUGAGUCCCAACAUUUAUUACGCCAAGUGCCCUUGAUGACACUUAGACAAUUUAAUGUUCAACAUGUUUCCAAUCCCUCAAUGACCCUAUUCACUAGGUUCAACAUGUCCGCGAGCUCAAUACCGCUUGAUGACAUUAGCUCUCUAAAUCAUAUGACAUUCAGUUCGGUGCCUCUUUAUGGCAAAUUUUAUUACCUUUCAUGUCUCAAUUAAACUUAGGUUUAAAAUGCAUGAAUCGAACUCAUUUUCAUUAAAGAAGGAACAUAGCCCAACAUGAGCAUGCUAAGCAAUCAAACAUAAACUUCAUAUGCAACUCUUUACUAUAUAGGAGUCCAAAAUUUCAACUAUGUGUAACAUAGCCAUUUUAAGCAUUCUAAAAUUCACAUAAAUACAUAUAACAAGAAUAUGCAUGCUUUUUCAUUUUACAACGCUUAAAUCAUCAACAAUGAGUUUUCUCAUUGUGUGGCUAGGUCAAACCACGACGCGAACCGUCGCGUGGUGCCUCGAUCCGCCGAAGGAGUUGUCCAGAGUCUCAAAAUACCCUAAAGAGAGUGAGCGAAGAGAUACACAAGCGUUACGAGCAAUUUAGACUCAAACAUUACCACCACAAGAAAGUGGCAAAAACUCCACUAGGAGUAGAAUAUCCUCUCUCAAGCUCCAAAAGAGGAGCUAGGGUCUUCCAAUCUAACCCAAAGGAAGGCUCUAAUCCAAGAAAUCUAGCCUCAAAAGCCCUAGUCAAAAAGCCCCAAAAUCAACCCUAACAUCCAUCUAGGGUUCCAUAUGGUAAAUCUUACCAAAACAAGAUCAAAGGUAGAAUCAUAGUACUAACCUCUCAAGAUGCUCUAAACACCUCCAAAUCUCUAGGGUUGAGGAUUGGUCCACCACCAAGCCCUACAAGCAAGCUCCAAGCCUUGCAAGGGUGGAGAGGGAGAGAAAGGGAGGUUGAGCUCCAAGCUCCCUCAAGCAAGCUCAUUUCUUCUUCUCCUCCUUAUUCUUCUUCUCUCUCUAAAAAGAUGUGGGGGGAGUGUGAGGAGAGAAAUGAGAAAGAGAGAGGAUGGAAGGGCUAUUUAGCCAUCCAAAGUAACAAAAUCCCAGGAGGUCCCAAAAAUCCAAAAUUACAACCGCGUCUGGCAGUUUUCGCCAGAGGGACCGGCCCUCCCUGCAGAGACGCGGUCUCUCGUGUCGAACCCGAGAAACCAACGUUCGGAACCGGUCUCUCACUGCGCGGGACGGUCUCUCACUGCGUAGGGCCGCCUCGGGACGGUCUUGCCCGCAGGGACGCGGUUUGCCUUAGGCUGCCGCAACAUUGCUCACUGGGGACGGGUCUCUCCUAUCAGGGACCGGUCCUUGAGAGUAAAAACUCUCAGGACCAAACCAAAACUUAGGUUUCGAACUUUUUGGUCGGAAAACAUUCUACGACCUCCACCAAGUGUGGAAAAGCUCGAAAUACAUCAAGCACUCGAACCUCGCAAUUUGCAAAGGUCCAGUGUGUUUACACCCAUUCCACUCAUCAGCUCAUAUUCCAACGAUGAUCCUUCAGAUCUAAGAUCAAGUCUCUUCUCGAGACGGCUAAACUGAGUGCAAUCUAAACCAGGUUACGUAUGAUGUAACCUUUCCAUCCCAUUGCUAUUUGCAACGUCGCAGCCAUCCGCCUAAUCUUGCUUUGGCACAAACGGUUUCCAAUUCAACAUUCAAGAUAGCCAUCCUUCCAAUAGUAAUAGAGAUCGACUAUUCGUCAAACUCGCUCAUCAUGGCGAUUACUUGAUUCCUCAAUCGGCACGGCGAUACGAUGUCUCCACCAUCAAUCUCAAACUCACACUCGGGAGUACCUCCAAUCCCUGUGAUACAUGGCCAGGGAUCAAGCUCAAAGCUUCAUCAGUCCACUAAGAUCAUCAUCUUAGCCCAACUUAAGUCCAAGUAAAUUCUUCGCAGCCCAAGCAAGGGCCUAGCUUCGACAGAAGGUUCAUAAUACAAUCACUUAGAAACUUUCAAUCCGAUGCUUUCCUUAGGCAGUGAUCCCAGGUGUCCAUAGCCACUGAGCUCAGUCCACACGAUAGAGAGGGAUCAAUCCAGUCAGUAACACUCUCUAUCAAGGUCAUCCUGAUGCGAUUGUCAAGCCAAAGUCAAUCCCAUAAGUGCUCAUAUGCAGCUCUAUCUCAAGAAUCAAAUCCUUGUACACGCUCCUGACAAGGAAUUGGUAACUUGGUACCUUCCUCUCGCAAGUCCUCCAUCCAUCAGUGAGUGUCCCCCAAUCGAUCACUUCAAACCUGCCUACGCAGUCCAAACUCGUCACUUCUAUAUAUAAAAAAAAGAAAUAUCCCAGGUCAUCCAUGACUGGUUCCACAAAUCCAUCUAGAGGGCUUGGGACUAUCGCUCAGCAAGUCCUAACACUGGUGGAGUACUAUAGGCUAAGGCACAUCAUCCUCGUGAUGUCCCACCUAGCACACUAUCCGUUGGAGGUACGACCUCAAACUCCAACAUCAAACAGUACUACUCAGAUUGCUUACAAUCUUAUCAAGUACACCAAAACUCAAGGCAUUUAACAAAGUCAAUGAAGCUCAGCACAGUCCAAACACCCAAUCGUGGUUCAAUUUGAAUCACGAUAGUCGACAUACAGUCAAAACGGCCCAACUGGUCCCACAACAAGUGAGAGUGCUUCUCCACGAAGCAAAACACUAACUAUAAAACAACCUCGCCAAUUGAGCUCACGAUUUGUGACUCGGUCGGGGACACAACGACGGAUCAAAGACAUCCUUCAUUUCAAGGAUUCUCAAGCAUCAAAAGCUAAUGGCCAAAUAGGCCCCAAAUCCUCUCCAACACUUACCAAUUUUAGGUAAGGGAGACAGUCAACACAACGAGCGAAAAUAAAUCCUCAAAUUGUACUAUUUCGUGCUCAAAAUCCUCAGGGCGAGUCAGGUCAGCUCGCAAUCUAAAGGUACCAGGUACCCACUACAACUCCACACUAAAUAAGGCCAAUCCAUUUGUUGGCGCACAAACCAUCCCACAUGGUAGGGUGUUGGGAACGACACACCCGAUCAACUGAUAAUCCUAUAUGCAUCGAAAAUGAUCAAUGCAAACAAAUCCUCGGGUCGGGUCACUACACACUCGGUGUAUCCUCGAUCUCACGGUCUAACACGUGGCAUACCACGCCCCCGAGUCUAAGCUCAGACUACCGUCCUGACCAAAACUCUGCCCUACCCGUGGGUACCGGGCAGCUGUCACACACAGCUACUGCGCCUGCCCAAAGGGCCCAGGCUCCACAGUCCACAAACGGUCCAGGCACGGUCAUCCCCAAGCACCAUCCGGCGAACAGCCGAUCAAGGGAUGCGGCUAAUGCAAUCAUCGUGAGAUCUACCAGCAUAACAAAACAUGCUGCCCGCAACUAGCAAAUCAACCUCCUAACUCGGGAGGUGCCAAUCGUCACCGCAAACAGCGAUCAAACGGUAUGCCAUACAACUCGGCGAAUAGCCAAUCAAAGAAUAGAUGCAAUGCACUGGACAGGUGGCCUCCCGGCCUGACAGUGAGAGGAAGGCAUCCCCUAGCUGCGACCCGGUAACACUGGUGCUGAUGCAGAAGAUGGCGCUGGUACUGAACCCCUCGGGCAGUCCGACUGGAUGUGGCCUUCCUGACCAUACAAGUAACACCUGCCCUGCCUCUAAGAGUACUGUCAUGGGUAAUGACGACCACCGCAGAUCACGCAACUCAGAGUCUGGUAACGCUCAGAUCCUCCACGCUGUGCAGAUGAGCCACGUCCUCGCGAUUGGCUUCUGUUCCUGGCAUAUCUCGGCGGCCACCCAGAGUGCGUCUGACUCGCACCCUCAGCCGCAGGCCUUUUGCCUUUUCCUUUGUCCGAGCCUCCUCGACGCUCCUGCAAGUAUGCAGCGCCGCUCUUCACGAUGAGCGCGCGGUUCAACAUCUCAGCAAGUCUGAAGGUUGGAGGAUUGCACCAACCGGAAGAUUAACGGCCGAAGUCCUCGUUCGAAGAUGCUAGCCUUAUUCUCGUCGUCCUGCACAACAAAGGGCACACAGUGUAGUAGCCGAGAAAACUCUCUCUGGUACUCGACCACGGUUCGAUCUCCUUGGCGCACCUCGCGCAGAUCCUGCUCCAUCUUUUCUUAACACUAACGGAAAAGUAGUGCUCCAAUAAGAGUUCCUUGAACCUCUUCCAAGAAAUGGCUGCUAGGUCAGUGUUGGGAUUAUCCUGGAUUCCCAACCACCAGCUAUAGGCCUCGCCGUCCAAAUGGUGAGUGGCGAGCCAAACUCUGUCUCUCUCCUCCACGAAAGUGUCGCGGAACAACUCCUCCAUGUGCAUCAGCCACUUUUCAACGAUCCAGUGGUCGGAUUUCUCUCCAUUAAAGAUCCUAGGAUCACACCUCCUGAACUCGUUGAGGCGAUCCAUGAGCCGCUGCCGCUCUGCUUCCUCAACCAUCAAGGGAAAAGUCGCCGCUGGUACAGGCACCUGAGCUGGUGGUGCUGCAAAUACCUCCUCCCGAGGUGCUACCGUAGGUGCCGUCGAUGAAGUGUCGAGUGUAGGGGACGACCUCCUGGGUGCAACCCCCUCUACCGNUGGUGGUGCUGCAAAUACCUCCUCCCGAGGUGCUACCGUAGGUGCUGUCGAUGAAGUGUCGAGUGUAGGGGACGACCUCCUGGGUGCAACCCCCUCUACCGGCGCGGGUAGUGCAGGGACCUGAGCCUCCCUGGCAGCUGCCUGCUGCGUCACCAAGUUAGUGAAGGCCGCAAGCUGGCUCCUCAACUCACGGUCCUCGCCGGAUCCGUAGGUAGUUGAUGUCUCCGCUUCCUCAAGGUUUGCCACGUCGUCCGCUCCAACAGACUUAGAGCGUGUAGUUGGCAUCGACAUUAGAACGUCAUAAAAGCGCAAGUUAACAAAACGCACGCUAUCGAAUCCCCGCUCAAAACCAAUACCAAAAUCAUGCGAAAGUAAGGAAGUGUUAUCCACAACCAACUCCCGAUGUUACGUUGUCGGCCGCCAACAUAACCCUCCGCGAAGUUAGAAGUCAUACACUCCGAUCCAACUCCAACUUUUUAGAGUUAUCGUAAAACCUAAUUGAAAUACUUCUGCUUACAAGUCAAAUAGACCUCGUCUCUCACGAGCCUAUUUCCUAUAGUCCAACAAGCCUAAGGUUCACUAGGUCCACUAAGACUCAACCCUUGGCUCUGAUACCAAAUUAAUCUGUCACGCCCGGAGACCCGGCGUAGGCCCGCCCGGUGCGUGCCCAGACCCGUCAUAUGCCUGCACAUAUAAGGCGUCUACAACAAAAACGAAUAAAUGAACAAGAAGUAGAAAAUAUUUAGAGAUAUCAGAGCAAAUACACAGCUAGGUUCUAUCGACAAGUAGAGUCAAAAAGAGAACAGAACCACUAAAGAAUAAGGUAAAUUAAUACAUCAUAAUUCUCAAGAUACAAAAAUGAAAAGGGUAGUCUCUACAACCAGGUACAAAACUCUCACAACCUCUCCAAAAGAAAACAAAAGAGAGGUGGAUCACCUAUCACCAAGUCCCUCGAUAGCUAACUUGGCGAAACCUUCCCCGCGAUCCCGAGCCUCUCCAGGAGUGGAAGGCUUUAAAAGAAAACAUAAAACAGGGGGCGUGAGAACUAUAAUUUAUAGUUCCCAGUGGGCAAUUACUGACCUUAGCCAAAUGCACCACUAGGCCCAAAUGAUGAGCAGAUAUAGAUAACGAAAUAACAACUGCGGAAAUAAAAGCAUAUAUUGAAAUGCUAUACUACUAUGCCACAAGUAUUCAGAAUGUCGAUAUGGAGUACAUCUACUCUACAUGAGUCAAUCUACCAAUACUUAAACAUAUAUGCUAUAAUACAACAAGUAAUACUAUGAAGUAUGCUAUAUGUCCCAAAAUCCACUACAUAUCUAGUAUGUACUAUCAUGGCAACAAGUAUACUGCAAUGCAAUAUGUAAAACUGUCAAGUAUACUAUAUAUCCCAAAGUUCAAUCCUAUGCCAUAGCAUGUCACGAAUCCAACUACUAUAACCUGUCUAGUAGUGAUUAUCAGCUUGUUGUUUAAUGUUCUGGUUUAAUCUCAUUUAGUAUCUACACAAGUGUAGUCCGGCUUAUGCCGCCUAAGUGCCGGUGGUAACUCCAACAUUUCCACUCUAAAAAUGAGUCUAUCCCUCCCGACCCCGUAGGCUUCUCGAUACCGCACGAGCGAGCAUAAGUCGCGUAGGCCAACUCCGGAGUGCCAGCUUGUAGGGAGCGACCCUCACAAGCAUGUGCGAAUGAGCACAAAUGGCAAGCAAGCAUAGUCAACAUCUCAAGAGUCCAAUCAUCAUGUCUCUAAUGUGGUAAUAGCCACUAUUAUCCAAUGAUCUAGUUCUAUAACUCAAUAUAAAGUUCCAACAUUCACUAGGUCUAGUGCCCCUUUAUGACACUAAGAUAUUUCUAUGUUCAAGUAUGUUCCAAUUCUGAAUCCCUCAAUGGCCCUAUCCACUAGGUUCACCGUAACCCGAGCUCAAUGCCGCUUUAUGACAUUAGCUUCCGAAUUCACAUGUCAUUGACUUUAGCUUUACUAAGUCCAUAUGUAUUCUAAGCCUAAUGCCUCUUUAUGACAUUAGCUUACUAUGUCAAAUCCAAGCCCGAUGUCUCUUUAUGACAUUAGCUUACCAUAUCAUAUGAUAGGUUAAUACGCAUGCCCUCUAGCGUGAUCCCACAUUGCUAACAUGUUCCUAGCAUGUAUUCCACAAUGCAUAUAAAUNGUAUUCUAAGCCUAAUGCCUCUUUAUGACAUUAGCUUACUAUGUCAAAUCCAAGCCCGAUGUCUCUUUAUGACAUUAGCUUACCAUAUCAUAUGAUAGGUUAAUACGCAUGCCCUCUAGCGUGAUCCCACAUUGCUAACAUGUUCCUAGCAUGUAUUCCACAAUGCAUAUAAAUAUUAACAUGCAUCUAUCAACUUAGCAUAAUUCUCACAAUGUUGGCAUUUACAUGCAACUCACAUAUCAUUCAAGGCUAAUGCCCCUUUAUGACAUUAGCUUAAUAUACCUUACAUCUCUCGAAUCUAGUGCCACUUAAUGACAUUUAUAAUCAUCUAAGCCGAGCAUGAGUUCCAAGUCCCAAAAUGCAUUGCACUAACCAUUUCUACUAAAUGAAAUAUGGUUCCCAUCCACAAAUAAAAAUGCUACCCUCAUGCUCGCCCAACAUGCAACUAUCUACUACAUAGAGAUCCAAAAAUGCGUUAUACAUAGUCUGUAUACAUUAAUCAUUCAAAAAUUCUCAAAUAUUCUAUCUAGCAUGAAUAUGCAUGCAUUUUCAUUUUACGAUAAUUAAAAACCCUCAUAAUGUGAAUUUUAUCUCAUUUUGGUGAGGCCAAACCCACCAAGUCCUCUCGAAGCCCAUCGUUUCGCCGAAGGGAGGUGCCCACUAUCCUCCUAGCUCCCUAUAGGUAAAACUAGGGAAGUUACACAAACGAAACGAACUAUAACAAGCUAAAACAAUAACAAACUCAAGAUAAGGGCAAAACUCACCUAUAGUGAAGCAAACACUUCCCAAGCUCCAAAUGGGAGCUAGAACCCUUCGAAUCCAACCUAGAGGAUGAUUCUAAACCAAUCAAUUGAGCUCCAAAAGCCCUAAAUCAAAAAUCCCCAAAUCAAGCCCUAAAUCCUCAUUUCUAGGGUUACAACAAGAAAACCAUGAGAAUCAAGAGAGGAGAAGUAUGCUACUAACCUCCCUAGAAGUUUCAAACCAUGCUCCAUGUCAACUAAGGUUGGAGAUCUCUCCUCCAACAAGCUCAACUCCAAGCUUCAAGUCUCCUCCUAUGGUGAAAAUUGCACCAAGAAGCAAAAAGAGCAAAAAGGAGGAGUUAAAUCUUCAAAAAUCCCAACAUAAAUCAAAAAAACCCAAGGAGAAGGGGUGGAGGGCUUCCUACCUCUUCUCUCCAUUGGUCUGGACUCAAGAGACCACCAAGGGGCGUGGGGGUUACUUGUAGUAUUGCUACAAUUGCAAAAACACCCGCCAAACCCAAGCAGACUGCAUUCUGCACCGUGUACUGGUACACGUGCCCGCGUACCGGUACACAUCCCACGAAAAUGCCAAACCCGAGCCUCGGGUUGGCUGGGAAGCUGCCUGGGUACCGGUACACAAGCCCGUACCGGUACAGCCAUCAACCCUGUACCGGUACUCAGCCUGCUGAAGGCUACCCGAGAGCUGACCAAAAAUCUGUCUUUUCGAGCUUUGGUGCAAAGCUUCAAACCUCAAUUCUCAGGGUACGAGCCAUAGGUCGGAACACUGUCAACGACCCACCAAAAAGUCUGGAAAAACUCAGAAUACAAGCCAAACACUCGAACCUCGCAAUUCGCAAAGGUCCAGUGCGUUACAGAAGGAAAGAGAGAGGUGUUUAGAGAGAGAGAGGAAAGCCUUUUGUGUUGGUGUGAGGGGAAUGAACCCUAACCCAAGCCCUCUCUCACUUAACCAUUAAACAUGACAUAUUGCACUUAAGCCCCUCACAAUUCCUUUUUUCCAAUCAGCCCAAACCGGGCAUUUUUCGCAUGCGGGGACCGGUCUCUCCCCACAGGGACCAGUCCCCGAGAGUGGGUUUUCCAGGACUUAGCCGUUGGGGCCAUUUUCGCUUACGGGGACCAGUCUUUCCCCGCAGGGACCGGUCCCCGAGAGCAAAACUCUUAGGACUUAGCCAAAUUUCCAUCUUUUUGGCUGGCUACGCGUACGGGGACCAGUCUCUCCUCCAGGGACCGGUUCCCGAGAGCACGAUUUUUAGAACAUAGCCGUUAGGCAAUUUUCCAACCUACGGGGACCGGUCUCCCCCUCAGGGACCAGUCCCGAAAGCAGAAUUGCUGGGACUUAACCAUUUUCCCAACAAUGACUCUCUUGGGUCCCUUUACUCUAUACCGAGGUUCCAAAACACUUAGAACCCAUUGUAACUUGUUCCACUCCGCGUUCCGCUCAUUUUGACGAAACUCGACACGUUUCUCGGGGAAGUGAUACAUUACAGCAACUCUUGCUCCGUUUCCAACACGUAAGGUAAGCUCUCCAUCCCUAAGUCUUCUACUUUGUUUUAGCCCUUGCAUUGAAAUACAUAAAUGCAAGGUGCAUCCAGAGUCAAUGACCCAUGUAAAAGUAGAACAAACCGAUAAGUUAGUAGUUUCAAUGACAUAAAUCUCGAACAUACCUUAAAAAGUCUUGUCCUUUACCUUGUCUUUUAGGCUAGCCAAAUAGUUUGGGCAAUUCCUUUUCCAGUGGUCAUCCUUUUGACAGUGGAAACAAGUUCCUUUAGCGGCCUUCUUUUUAGGAAUUACCUUAACGGGUUCAGUCCUUGGCUUCUUUGCAGGCUUCUUCUUUUUCCAUUUAGACUUUCUUUUGGAGGAAGUCCGUUCAAUAGCCAAAACUAACCCCUUAUUGACUUUUAGCAUUCCUUCAGCCGUGACCAACAUAUUCAACAGCUCGGCGAGAGUGCAAGUAAUUUUAUUCAUUUGAAAAUUUAAGGUGAACUGAGAAAAUGAAUCUGGUAAGGAUUGUAAGAUCAAAUCUGUUUGGAGUUCUGCGUUCAUAGUCAUUCCGAGCUUCUCAAGCUCCUCAAUGUCUUUGAUCAUUGCCAAGCAAUGGUCAUUGACUGACUGACCAUCAGACAUUUUAGCCCUGAAUAAUCGCUUCGACACCUCGUAGCGGGCUGUUCGACUUUGCUCAUCAUACAACUCCUUGAGAUGGAGCAGAAUAUCAGCAGCACUCUCCAUGUGCUCAUGCUAGUGUUGCGACUCAUUGCUCAUAGACACAAGCAUGUAACACUUUACCUUCAUAUCAUCAUCAGUCCAUUUAUUUCUUGCAGCUCUUUGCUGAGCUGUUGGAUUUUCAGGCACUGCUAGAGCCUCCGUGUCCAACAAUAGGCUAAUUUUUCGGAAUUGAGAACAAUUCUCAAAUUCCUCAGCCAAUCGGUGAAAUUCGGUCCAGUUAAGCGAUUAGUAUCAAGUAUUUUGGUAAGUGGGUUAGAUGCAGCCAUUUUCUACAGAAGGUUAAGAUUCUAAUUAGUUGUGUACUUAAUCGUAAUCCAUUUGAUUAGGGUCUUUAAAUCUAAAUAGUGCCUCCCACUAAUUUGACGAAUCUCUUAGUCCAAACAAUUUCAUCUUGAUUGAUUUGGUUGGCUCCCCGAGCGAAGAAAACGGAAACUUUAUUUAAAAGUUUCUAGUGGGCAUUGCGGUCCCAUCUGUUUACACAUCACCUCAUCCUAACAGAUUCUUGGCAAUGAGCAAAUAAAUGAGUGAACAACUCUUGUUCAAUACUUCUCAAGCAAAUUAUAAUCUAAUCUUUGGCCUCCAUAAGAUAUAGGCCUCAUCCUAACAGAUUCUUGGCCUUAUCUCGUGGUUAAGUUAGACCCAUCGUUCAUCGUGCAAAUAAGAAUGUCAUUGAAUCCUCAUCCUUACAGAUUCUUAGAUCAAACCCCUUUCUUACUGCACAGCAUCUCAUGCCAAUAGAAUGGUUGCGGCUCCCUAAUGCAACUGACCCCCGUAUCCGGGGGCAUCAAUCAACACUAAAGAGACGCCCACACCCUACAACAGUAGAAGGCCACUAAUGGGUUCAUAACACCAUUAACUUAAUAUUUUAUUUAGGGAGAUUAGUUUGUCUCAUCAGUUUUAAUUUAUUAUUAAUUUACAUCUCAUGCAAACCAUCGCAUCACAUGCAUACAUACAUUGCAUAUAUAAAAAAAACUAUCGGUGAUGAUCAUGGAUUUUAUUUUGAUUCGGGCCUGAGCCACUAGGCCGGAAUUGGGUCAUAAGGGUAUUACACACAAGAAAACCUUUUCUUAUUCUGCAUCUCGAUCGGAUUGGAGUUGAUCAACUCUUGUCUUCUCCCUUGAUCAGCAUCUGGUCCAAACUUGAUCCGCAUCGCAUCAACUCUUGAAUGCAACAAAUCCUCUUGGAGCCUAAACUACCCUUUUCCCUUAUUAAUUUUACAACAAUAACUUUACAACCCAUAAAAUUAAUGAGACACGUAGGUCUCCAAAUUACAUAAUUUAAUUGGUACACGCAGGCACCAAAAAAAAAAUAUUCUAAUACUGGGUCCUUAUUAAAUUACAACAAUUUACAUCACAAGGUCGCUAUCCAUGAUCAUCAUCUCAUAUACAUCACAUGUAUAUAAUAAUAAAUUCUCUAAUUUGAAUUCUUUCAGAUUAAUUUAAAAACAAAUCUUUAUUUGUUUCAAGAAUCGCAAUUCAUUCUCAAAAUUAUUAAACAAGAUCUAAUACAUCUCAUGUAUUAAAUUUUAAAAUUUAAAAUUAAUUUAAAUUGUAAUUCACGAUGCAACCGCAUGACAUAGCCGCAUCCUAGCCGCGUCGCACACAAACACCGCAUUAACUACGGGCUCGCAUGGCGCGUGCGGACCUUGCAACAUGUGUGUGUCGUCCAUGCAACUUGUAAGGAAAUGAAUUCUUGAAAUCCGAGAGUUGUACUUCGUUCAGGAUCGACUAAUUGUCGAAUGAGUACCCUUCGGGAAAGCUAAAGAUGUCCAAAACAUAAAAAGUGCUUUGGAAUCGAGUCCACGAGAGCAAAGAAUACAAAAUUCAGCACUUAGCCAAUUUUGCUCUCGGGGACCGGUCCCUGGAGGGGAGGACCGGUCCUCGUAGCUGAGGGUUGCAGGGGAUGCUCGAUGAAACCGAUCUCUGGAGGGAGAGACCGGUCCCCGUGUGCGACACCAGCGAGAGAAGACCAAAAAUGGCUAAGUCCUGGAAAUAUAGCUCUCGGGAACCGGUCUCUCAAGGAGAACCGGUCUCCGAGGGACCGGUCUCUCGGGCGGGGACCGGUUCCCGUUCGCGAAAAAGUUGGCAGAGGUCUCUGCCUGCAUAGAGGGAUCUCGGGGACCGGUCUCCCCGACGAAGGACCGGUCCCUCUGGGCGAAAACUGCCCAGUGAGGGCUAUGUACAGGAUGAAAAGUAGAGGGGCUAAAAUAGAUUUUGUUACAUUAGAGAGGCAUAUGGGCCCUCUCUCUCCCUCAGCCUUUCAUUUCUCUCCCUCUCUCACACUCUCUUGCUCCCUCUCUCUCUCUCUAGGAAGAAAAGGGAAGAAGAACAAGAAGGAGAAGGAGAAAAGAGAAGAAGAAGAAGGAGGAGAUCAAGCUCAAGGAGGCUUAGAGCAUCUCCCUCUUCCUCUCCUUACCAUUGGUGUAGCUCAUGAGGUAAGCUCUUGAACCCUAGCUUAUGGAACUUAGGGUUUUGGGUUUUGAGCUUUGGAAAUGAGGUCAAAUGGAUCUCUAGCACUCUUGUUGGUGGAUUAGAGCUAGAGCUAGGGUUCCAAAGUGCAAAUAGCAAGAUGUGAACCCUAGGGCUCUAAAUGGGGUUUUUGGUAAAGUAUGAGAUUGAUCUCAUUUAAGGCCUUGUAAACCUAAUUGCUAGGUGUCUAAACGCGGGAGUGAAGUCCGAAUUACGAUUCGUCGAGUGGGUUUAAAGCUAUCGGCAAGAUAAGGCCGAUUGAGCAUUGUUUUGGACCAAGGAGGCCAAGACUUCAUCGUAAAGAACGUCGAAGGGCAUUCUAGAACCUCUACGACUAUAAAAGGUGGAGGGUGUCAUCCCAAAGCAACCGAGCCCUUUUCUAUGUCUUAGAAUAAUAUAAUUUUCAUCUCUUGCAUGUUACAUUGUAGGAUUGCAUUGUAGUACCUUUCCUUAUGCUUUCUAAAUGUUAACCUAGUGUACUUAGAACGCUUGGUGAAAUGGAUAGGUGAGGAUUGGGUCGGAACAUGGAUCCUAUAGUGCUAAAGAAAAGAGAUGGACUCGAUAAUUAAUUAGUGACAUAGAGAGUGGCAUCUAAUGUUUAAUGAACAAAACGAGUGGCAUUAAUGUAGUGUUUUUGACACUAGAAGUCUAUGGACUUAGGGAUAGGUGNAAAGGAAAAAGAUGAAUUCGAUGAUUAUUUAGUGACAUAGAGAGUGGCAUCUAAAUGUUUAAAGAACAGAACGAGUAGCAUUAUGUAGUGUAUUUGACACUAGAGGUUCAUGAACUUAGGGAUAGGUGGAUUCCCUAGAAAAUGACUCGUGAACAAUGAACUUAGUAAAGCUAAGUAACUAUGCAUGAAAGUCGGAAUAGGUGAGUUCCGAGAGAAAUGUUGGCCCUAGUUCGUAGGGUAUCCUCACGUGGAGAGGAUAGAUCAAGCUCACCGUCUGUUAUUUGGGGUGGUAAAACCAUCCAUAUCCUCACAUGGAGAGGAUUGGUCGUCGAGUACUUCGGAGUGUCGGACGAUAGGGACCACAUGGAGGUCCACAGACAGUCCCGAGUUUGGGGGCACAUGGAGCUCCCCUACCCAAUUGGGAUGGAAAGGUGAGUUGAGGGCAAACCCAAGGGUCUCGCCACAGAUUCGGUAAAUGUAAAGUUAAUGUUGUCAUUGAAUAUUAUUUAUCGAUCAUAGAUCGAUCUCGUUAGCAUGAUAGUAUACCUUUACUAUAUGAUGCAUGCAUUCGUUACACAUGAUUAUGGGCAUAGUAGUAUAGAUUUCCUAUUAUGUCAUUUACAGCUUUGAGAUAUCCAUCUAUAUAUCUAUCUUGUUGUUACUUGUGCCCACUUGGACCUAGUGGAGAGAUCGGCGGAGUCGGCGGCCGAGCCCACUGGGAACUAUGGAAGAUAGUGCUCACCCCUACUCUAUUUGCAGUAGUAGUUACAGGGUUGCCGAGAGAGGACCACGACAACGGCAUCGCGCCCGAGCAGUGAGACCGUGGUAGCUAGUAUAGUGGUUUUCCUUUUUGUAUUAGCACAUCUAUGUACUGAGAGAGAUUCAUGUAGGUGAGGAUUUGGAGAGCUAUGUAUUUUGAAUGAUCAAAUGUAUUCAUUUUGAGAAAAGAUGUAAAUGUAAAAGAAAGCAAACUAUUGUAAUAGUUAGUAAAGUACUCUCUUUAUUUCACUUGUAUAUCUAGUGGAUUACUUGCUCUUGUUGUUGUUGGCACUGUUUGUGCCCUGUUGAUUGUGUACCUUUAGAAUUUAAACUCCUGGGUAAAUUCUUGUACUCAAUUUGUUGUUGAGCCUUGGGCGGACAGGGGAGGUGCUGUCCGUUUGGCGGUCCGUCCGGCACGCCCGAACCGUGCCAAAUUGGUAGGGGUGUCGGGGCGGGGGCGUGACACAACUAUUCAUCAAAUCACAUGAAAUCAAAUGCCCAACUAAUUAAUUAGUGAUGCCAUACACCAAUUUGUCAUGCAUGGCCACCAUAGUUAAUUAGAUGAGGUGUAAGGCAUUAAAUUGACAAGUGCAUGCAUGUCAUCGAGAUGACCACGUAAGGCAUGGGCUACUUACGGUUGCAUGCAAUCUUUGCAACUGUCUGCCCGCAUGCCAAGUGCAAUAGCCACGUUAAUAAGCAUCGUGCGAUUUAAUUAACGUCUCAAAAACAAUCAAAAUUGUUCGAAACAUAAUCUUUAUCGUUUUGAUUUCAAUCGUUCCGAAAAACCUAAUUAACAUCGAAAAAAAGAUUAGAUCUAAACAAACGACGAGGGUGGCUCUGAUACCACUGUAAGAAAAUCAUGUAUACGCAACGGAAGAAAAUAACACAAUUAAAAUAUUCUAAAACCAAAGAUCACCUCGUGUUUCGUUUUAAAUCAUUAAUAAUUGAUCUAAUUGAUCUAAUUAAUAGGAUCUAGUUUUUUUUUUUACCUUGCGCGGGUCGAGAUCACCGGAAGUCGACAAUCGUUGGUAAAACUUGUUCAUCCUCGCUUAGCCGCGCACGUGCCCGGCCUUUACUCGCUUUCACAUGAAAUCACACCCUUAAUCAAAUUAUACGACUGCUUUGAUCCGUGAUCCGAUCAUGAAUUAACCCUUGCGUCAACGUGAGGAAGAUGAAUCAAUCUUCUAGAUGUGCUAGCAACUUUUGAAGAUCGAAACCGAUGGAUUUAUUGCGGAGGACUUAAGAAAGAAAAAGGAUUGACGGCUAGGGUUUUCUUUUUCUUUUUGCUUAAUUUUUCGUUAAUUUUAAUAUGUCAUAUGACAUAUAUUUAUAAUGAGAAAACCCUAACGUAAUCCUAAUCGAAAUCCUAUUCCGAUUAGAUUAUGCAUUAAUCCACAAGUUGGUUAUGAUAUUAACCGAAUUCUGAAUCCUAAUUAUAAUUCGAUUCGUGUGUAACAUUUACACAUAAGUCCUCAUAUUAUUUACUAACGAUUAGUAAAUACACCAUGCAACUUUUACACAUAAAUACCUCUAAUUUACAACAAUUGCAAAUUAGUCCUUUUACUAAUAAAUUAGUAAACUUUAGUAUUUAACUAUAUUAUAAUUGUAAUUAAUCCAUCUGAUAAACUUCUUUUAUCGUUUCCUAAAUAUCGAUCAUGCGCGAUUUCUUAUGUGUGUGACCUAAUAGGUUCAAUUCUAUCUGGUAGUGAGAUAUGAUGCGAUCCUCAUCUACAUCAUCAUCGAAACUCCUUUCGAUGGCUCAAACUCUUUUGACUCUNUUUCUCUUGCAUUAAUUUUUUUUCUUAAUUUUAAUAUGUCAUAUGACAUAUAUUUAUCAUGAGAAAACCCUAACGUAAUCCUAAUCCUAAUCGGAAUCUUAUUCCGAUUGGAUUAUCCAUUAACCCACAAGUUGGUUAUGAUAUUAACCGAAUUCUGAAUCAUAAUUCUAAUUCGAUUCGUGUGUAACAUUUACACAUAAGUCGUCAUAUUAUUUACUAACGAUUAGUAAAUACACCAUACAACUUUUACACAUAAAUACCUCUAAUUUACAACAAUUGCAAAUUAGUCCUUUUACUAAUAAAUUAGUAAACUUUAGUAUUUAAUUAUAAUUGUAAUUAAUCCAUCCGAUAAACUUCUUUUAUCGUUUCCUAAAUAUCGAUCAUGCGCGAUUUCUUAUAUGUGUGACCUAAUAGGUUCAAUUCUAUCUGGUAGUGAGAUAUGAUGCGAUCCCCAUCUACAUCAUCAUCGAAACUUCUUUCGAUGGCUCAAACUCUUUUGAUUCUACCCUAAUAGAAUAAUUAAUUAUUAAUAAUUAUUUCUAUUGGUUCGCACAAUCCACCAGUGACGCCUAGCAGCAUACAGUGGCAAUCCAGUCAGAAGUGAAUAUCAGACUAAACCUCUAGGUGCAGUUACCGUACAAUACAAUCCUUCUAUCGCAUAGUUCCAACUGAGUGGAGGUCAUGGAAUAUUCGUCAAACCCCUUCACCCGUCAUAUGACAAAUUUGAUAGGACAGAAGCUCUUAUGGUUACUCUUGGAAAUCUCUUUCCAUACACCAUAUUACCCCGGCCGAGGAUUUCUGAGCUUUGCCUUACAAAUAGCAUAGAACUAAUUAUCUCUCUACCGAGAGCGAUAGAUCCCUUAUAAACACACUCCCAUUCCUGAUAUGAAUCGACUGCAGCCAACAUAUACUACUAAGACCCAUGGCUAGGAUCAGAGUUUGUUGCAUAGUCAAACUACAGUAGCCUCACAUUGAAUGGCCGUGGUGUAGCAGGUCUAAGGAUCAGUUGUACCACUGCAACAUCGAACCAGUUACUGACGAAUGAGUAGACAUCCAUGUAACUGUUCGUAGUUGUCACGCUCAGUACCCUUGUUCUCCAACAACCACCUGCAUGUUUGCUUCAGUGUCCCCACACUGAUGACUCGAGAUUCGUCAUCCCAAAAGGGAAGAAGCACACACAUCAAUCUUACCGGAUCAAUCAUCGUCCCCAUGAUGAUCCUCCGAUUGAGAGCAUUUAUGAAUUAAUCACCAAUAAUAUGUAUCUCAAAUUCUCAACUCUUGAGAAUACAUAUUAUCAUCUCAUUAAUUCAAAGGAUGAUUCAUGGACACAUUUAACAUGAAUGGAAUAAAAGGCCCAAUAAUAAAAAUUAAGUACAAAAAUAUGUCCCAUAGAAAAUAAAAUGCGUCAGCCUGAUAGACUUCUAGGGCAUACAACUAAUACCCAGGGCGUAACAUUCAGUGCAUUUUCCAGCGAAAUUGCCGGUAGAAUGCAAUUUCGCAUUGCGACGGUUUUCCGGCUACGUGGUUGCCUUGGAAAUCAUCGCUUAGUCUCGUUGGCUGGCCGCCGUGGUCCCCUCGUGUGUUCGAAGGCGACAGACGAGUGACGGAGGCUUCCGGUGGCAAUGUAAUGUACCAGAUUUUAAUAUAAAAUCAGGUAUAAAUAAAAAUAGUAUAAGAUACUAUUUUUAUUGGACUUAAAGAGGUAAAGUAUAAGUUGGAAAUGACCUGUGCUGAAAUCGGAGUGAAAACAAAAGAUUUAGAAUUUUCUGUGAGAAACGGGGCAGAUAAAUUAGCAGAAAAUGCACAGUGUCAGAAAAUUAUGAAAACUGGAGGAUAUGUCUAAAUUAUUUUUAUGAGGCUAGAUUUAAAAUUUCAUGCCAUUCUGACACCUGAAAAGUGAAAAAUAAAAUCCGACUGCCAUUUGCGUGAGAUUUAAGUUCGGUAGAGCUUUCGGUGACCAAACAGGGUCAAAACUGAAAGAUUAAAAUUUCUUUCGUUAAGUUAAGUAAAACCGAGCAUUACUGCCAAAUUUGAGCUCAAACAGACAUUCGGAAGGGCAGGUGAAAAAUAUCUGUACCGUGCUGCUAAACUGAAUGUAAUAGUGUGAAUAGUGUUUUUGGAGGUUUAUUAUAAAAGAAGCUAUUUGCUUCUUUUCUCCUUCAACCGAGCAUCACCACCAGCACAAGCAUCACACGCAUGCAUGGAGGGAGAGAGAGAAACCCUCCUUUCUCUCUCUAAAUAUCUCUCUCAUCUCUCUAGAUCUCUCCCUCAAACUCGCGGCGUUGGCGAAGAGCGUGCUUGCGAACGCGUGCGGAGCAUCGGUUCGAGUCUUCAUGCACCCGGUUGCGCGGUGUGCUUUCGACUCGGUGUUCACAAUUUGGUAAGCUUCUAGAAUUUGGUUUAAUCCUUAAUGUUUAGUGUUCUAAUGGUCUCUAAAGUGUUUCUAGCAUGUCGCUCCAUUUAAUUUCGGAUUAUUUGGGGGUUGUUUUCAUGCUAGGGUUAGAAAUGCUAGUUUUGUAAAUGUGGGGGUUUGAUCUAAAUUGGAUCCAUGUAAACCUAAUUGCUAGGUAUUCUAACGCGCUGACGAAGACGGUUCGGCAAUCCGUCGAGGCUACGCGAAGAUAUGGGAAAAAAGGACCGUUGAGCUUCGUUUCUGCCUUGAGGGCCGAGGCGACGUCCAAAAAUCGUAGGAUCGGAUCCGGGGCAUCGUGGCAUCAAGUUAAAGACCUAUAAUUUUCGAAUUUCGGAUUGGUGGUCGUUUGGUGGCCGAGUCCGAGUUUGAGCCAAAUAGGGCGGCGGAUGCCCGGGAGGCCGAUUGCAAGUGACUACGAGCAAUCAGAACGCGAUAACAUGUGGGUUGUGCUUACCGAAGCGACUAGGUCGCCUCCAUGUCAAAGUGGACUAUGAAAUUCGUGUCGAUGCAUAUGUAUAGGCAUGAUGAUGUUGUAGAUGGGUUAGAGCAUAUAAAUAUUUUGUAUGCUAGUUGAUAGUGCAUGUGGAUGCAUUAGAAGUGCAUACUAGUUGAUAAUGGCUAAUUGAUAUGUUGAAAUAUAUGCUAGAUGAUAUUUGCAUAUGGACAUGUUAGCAUUAUGUAAAUGCAUGCUAGUUGGUAAUUGCAUAUUAAUGCAUCGGAACUAUAUGCUAGAUGAUGAAUACAUGAUGACAUAAUAUAGAGAUGCUAAGUGAAAUACUUGACUGCACAUUGAUAUUCAUGCAUAGUGAAAGAUAUGCUAGGUGCAUUUAUCAUUAUGAGAUCAUGUUAGAUAUGCAUAUUGGCAUUGUAAAUAUGUGCUAGAGAAAAGGCUAAGUAUAAUAUGCAUGUUGAUAAUGUGGAUGGUUAUGGAAACCCGAUGUGGACAAUUAGGUGUCGGAUAGAUCGAGCGGCAUCGAACCUAGUGCAAUUAACAUAGGUCGGAUAUGAACCUAUAGUCGAGAACCUAGGAUGAAUAAGAAUGACAUCGAACCUAGUGUCGUGGACCUACGGUAGAUCGAGUGGCAUUAACCUAAUGUCGUGAACAUAGGUUGAACAGAAUAAACCUAGAAUCAAGAUCUAGGUAGAUUAAUAUCGAACCUAGUGUUGUUAAACAUAGGUUGACAUCGAACCUAGAGUUGUUGAACCUAGAGUUAAUAAGAUCUAGGUAGAGAAGCAUUAAACCUAGUUUGAUAAAGAAUUAACAUAGGUUGUGGAUUGAACCUAGAAUUGAAUCAGCCUAGGUUAUGUGAUAAGGGCGUUAAACCUAGAGUCAGCUAGACCUAGGGUGGAAAGUGCAUUGGACCUAGAUAGGUUGAUAUUAUAGGGUUGAGAUUACCCUAGAGACUUGAAAAAUAGAUUCCGAAAUUCUAGGAUUGUGAACGCGAUAGUUCUAGAGCAGUGGGUUGAGUGUGGCAUGUUCCUCUCCUACUGGACGAACUUCGAGGAUGAGCUGUUGAUUGAUUCGAGGCUGCGGGUUGAGUGUGGCAGGUUCCCCUCCCGCCGGCAGAAUUGUGCUUCGCUAGGGUGUGUGGCAUGUUCCCCUCCCUAUCGGGGGUCUUGGACCGCGGGUCGAGUGUGGCAUGUUCCCUCUCCCAUCGGAAAGAUCCCUGACCACGGGUGUACGCAACUCUGGGCGACUCGUCGGCGACGUGAUUGUGGAUUGAAAGCUGAGGUGUAUGCGAGUGUUCCUUUACCUCGAGCCAGAUAGAGCGCGGAUUAUCCGCAGUUGAUUGACUCGAGGCCGAGUCGGGUGGCUAGCUUGAAUAAAGUAGAUGGAACCUUAGGGCUAGUGGUAAGUGACAUAGAUCUAAGGCAAUAGAACCUUAGAGGCUAGUUGGAUGUGAGCUUGAUAGCGAGGUACAAGUAGAAUCAGCAGACCUACUUAUGAUAGUUGCAUUCUUGCAUCAUUGCAUAUAGCAUAGCAUUAUUGCAUUCGUGAGGCAAAGUAUGGUAUUGUUAGUUGCAUAAUUAAGAUAUAUAUCUAUCUGUUUAUUGAACUAACCUAUUGUUGCCUCCUUUGGACCUGUUGGUCGAGCUUUUCCCUUGGUUGGUCGUACCCACUGGGAACCAUGGAGUUGAUUCUCACCCCACGUUGUUUUGGGGUAUUACAGGUUCGCACGGAAGCGGCGCGGCGACGCGAAGCAAGGGCGUAGCUCCGUAGAUAGCGCCCUACCCCAGAGACCAGAGAUAGCAGUACCCUGAAUCGACAUAUCCUAGGGGUAUAAAGAUGAAGAGAUCAAAUGUAUCAAAUUGGAAUAAGUAAAUUGUAAUAACUUAGAUUGCAUUUGGAUGAAAAAGAAUUUGAAUUGGAAUGUAAAAGCAUGUAUGUGAAUGCUUGUAAUAGCUUAGCUGUUAUGUUUUGAUACUUCGUUAUGCAAUCUGUUUGUUAAAUAUUGUUCUUGAUUGGAAUCUCCUGUAAUUGUAUCGAUUGCGACGCCUAGGACGUACAGGGAAAACUCUGUCCGUUCGGCGGUCUAUCGGCGUGCCCGAACCCGACCAAAUAGGCGGGGCUCGGGGCGUGACAGGCAAACUGGACACUUUCGAAAGCUCGGUAGUGAACGAUCGAUCAGCGACGACCGAGUUGGCUUGGACACUUGUGUCGGUUUGGACACCCAAAUAGGUGUGUUUUGGGUUAGUAGGUGACUCCCAGUGUGAGUUGCUACAUUUAGGGAUGUUUCGUGGGUCCUGGGGGUAUCCCAUCGUUUUUUUUGGACUCUCGACGAGUUCAGGGUUCGGUUUGGGUUAGUAGGUGACUCCCAGUGUGAGUUGCUACAUUUAGGGAUGUUUCGUGGGUCCUGGGGGUAUCCCAUCGCUUUUUUUGGACUCUCGACGAGUUCAGGGUUCGGUUUUAGGAAAUCAAUUCCGCGAGCGAUUUUGGAUUUGUGAGAUAUGUGUUUUGAGUCUAGUGGAUUAAAUCCUCACUUGGUGGACCUAUCAUAGGUCCGGUCGGCGUCCCUGGCCUCGCAGGAGCUAGACGCGGCGACAGACAUAGGUGGGUACUUCGAUCUGAAGUUGGUUCAGUAGUGCAUGCUCGAUGAUGUUCCCUUCAUCCCUACCUUUUACUACUUAUAUAUAAUAUAUAUAUAUAUAUAUCUUGGUAAUUAGAGCUCUUCACGAUAUGACUUCAAUCCUUGCUCUACUUAGUAAACUCUCCCGUUUGCCAUGACAUAGAAGUAGAGCGGUAGUGAUACUUGCAUUUAUAUUCCCGUUGACCUGAGUGGUCGGUCCUAUGUGCUUUUAGUGUCAUUGAUUUCACACUUUCCAGUUGACUGGAGUGGUCGGUACUCGUAUACUUGAGAGGAUGCUGAACUUGUCAAUCUUAGUUGACCUGAGUAGCCGGUCCUUUUGGAUGCGUUGUCGUUGACCUGAGUGAUCGAUUCUCGUGGAUACAUUGUCACGCCCCACGACCACCCGCCUAUUUGGCCGGAUCGCGACGCCGCAAAUAGACCGCCGAACGGACAGAGUUUCCCCUGUACGUCCUAGGCGUCGCAAUCAAAACAAUGAACGAGUGUUCCAACCAGGAACUGAAAUCAAUCAAGAUUGCAAAAGGAAGUAUCAACAACAUAAAAUCUAACUGCUAUUACAAGCAUUCAUUUCAUACACUUUAAACAUCACAUUUUUUUCUCUUACAUUAGACUUCCAAAUACAGUCUUAGUUAUUACAUUUGAUACAAGUUGGUUGUUGUCAUUCCAUUCUAACACCUAGGCCCUGCUGACUCGGGGUACUGCUAGUUCUGGUCUCUGGGGUAGGGCACUAUUUAUGGAGCUACGCCUUUUCCUCGCGCCGCCACGCCGCUCUCAUGUGAACCUGUGACACCCCAAAACAACGUAGGGUGAGAACCAACUCCAUGGUUCCCAGUGGGUACGGCCACCCAAGGGAAAAGCUCAACCAAUAGGUCCCAGGAGGCACUGCAACAUGUUAGUUCAACAAUAUACAACAGAUAUAUAUUCAAAUUGAAAUACAUGCCAUGCCUCACAAUAUGCGAUAUGAAAGUCAUGCAACUCUAUGCAACAACUAGUAGAUCAAUUGAUUCUACACUUUACCUGGCUACUCUUAGCUCAUAUCAUUCACUCUAAGGUUUCUGUUACCUUAGGAUCUCACUCAAGUCCACUGGCUACUAAAGUCUCUACUACUUUAGCCUAAGCCUCUAUCUCUAGCUCAAAAGGGUUCCACUAUCUUAUUGAAGCUAACCACCCGACUCGGCUUCGAGUCAAUCAUCUGCAGAUAUUCCGCGCACUGGCUGCUCAACAGCCUAUCGCUCUCCGUGACUUAGCCUCUUAGCGGCGAAAUCGUCGCACACGCUGAACCCGGCUCAAGUCCCUUGACAUAGCCAUUCUGGCGGCGAACACGUUGCACUUACCCAGCGAGGACUUAAGACAUGACCUAUCCAUCUGGCAGUGAACUAAUCGCACCUCACCCAACAAUGGUUUCAGUCACGACUCAGCCACCUGGCGGCACCUGUAUCGUACUUACCCAGCAAUGGUUUCAGUCAAUCCCGGCGGUCUGAUCCACAAUCAGCUUAACCAUCUGGCGGCGAAAUCGUCGCACAUGCCACGGCAAUGGUUCAAGCCCCGGGCAGUGAUCUCUGUGUACUCACCCCCAAUCCAUCCUUGGUAUCAACCUCGGCGGCGAAAUCGGCGCACACGCCCUAGCCUUGAUACCAAGGUCAUCACAGGUCCUGGGAUUCCGCAAUCCACUUUCCACAGGUCGAGGGUUCAUAACCAACCCUAUGCUGUCGACCUAGAACAUCCUAGUGGCUAAUACCACUAUACUCAACAACCUAGGUUUAACUUCACUCUAGGUUUAUCACAUACAUAACCUAGGUAAAACCGCUAGGUUCUAUCUCAUCUCUGCCUAGAUGUCAACCUCUAGGUUCACUUGUUCGACCUAUGUUUACUAAUACUAGGUUCGAUGCCACACACCUAGACUUGUUCGACUCUAGGUUCACUUGUUUAACCUAUGUUCUUUAACACUAGGUUAAGUGCCACUCGAUCUACUUGACAUCCUAAUUGUCCAAUCGAGUACCAUAAGUUCUCAUGUCAAUCGACUCUACUCUUUCUAGAGUUAUCAUCUAGUUCACAUGCAUAUCUACCUAGCAUAUUCUCACAAUACUAAUCUUGCAUUCUAUGAUCUCUAUAUCAUUUUAUAUGCAUCUACUUAGCAUUUGCAUCAUAUUAUUAACAUGCAUUAUCCACAUGCUUUAUUUACAUUUAUAUGCAUCAUCUAUAUGCCUCGUUUACAUUUAUAUGCAUCAACAUGGAUUCUUAAUCAUCUUAGACAUAAAGGGCGACCUAGUCGCUUCGGUAAGCACAACCCACCUUAGCUAGCUUUCCGAUUGCUCGUCGACACUUGCAAUCGGCCUCCCGCGGCACUCGGCACCCGAUUUGGCCCGAUCUCGCAGUUGCUCUCCAACAGCGCGUCGCUUCACAGUCCCGAAAAUUAUAGGUCUUCGGUUAUGUGCCACGGUGGUCCAAAUCUAUUUUCACAAUUUUACGACGUCGCCUCGGCCCUCCAGGCGGAAAUGAAGAUAAAUCGCUUGUUUCUUCAAUAUCUUUAUAACGGCUUGUCGGAUUGUCGAACCGACUUCGCCAACGCGUUUGUUUACCUAGCAAUUAGGUUUACAGAGGGUCAAACGAGAUCAAACCCCUCAUAUAUACCAAAAUCCUAUUUCGGAUGCCCUAGAUGCUACUAUUGCAAAAACCACCAAAUCGAUUUAUGAAAUGGGAAAAAACCAUCUUGAUAGCAUGCUAGGGUUCCAUUCCGACCAUUUCUAGAGCAUUUAAACCUAUCUCUAGAGAUCCACCAUGAGAGAGCUAAAAAGCUUACCUCUCUAAACAUGUAAGGAAGUGAAUUCUCGAAAUCCGAGAGUUGUACUUUAUCCAGGAUCGACUAAUUGUCGAGUGAGUAUCCUUCGGGAAAGCUAAAGUGAACCAAAACAUAAAAAGUGCAUUGAAAUUAAGUCCGCGAGAGCAUAUGGUACAAAACUGCACUGGGCUGAAGUUGCUCUCAGGGACCGGUCCCUGGCAGGGAGAGACUGGUCCCCGAGGCUAGUGGGUGCGGGGGAUCUCGAUGCAACCGGUCCCUGGAUUGAUGAAACCGGUCCCCCGGCGCGCCACCAGCGAGAAAAGCCGAAAAUCGGCUAAGUCCUGAAAAUCGGGCUCUCGGGAACCGGUCUCUUCGAGAGGAACCGGUCUCCCGAGGACCGGUCUCUCGGGGAGAGACCGGUUCCCGAACGCGAGAAGGCCCCUGGCAGCAUGGGCUGCUCUCGGGGACCGGUCCCAAGUUGGGGAGACCGAUCCCUCCGCGCAAAUUCUGCCCAAUAAGGGCUGUGCAAGGAUGGAAAAGUGGAAGGGUUUAAGUGCAAAAUGGCCAUCAUAUGAGGGGUGUAUAUGGGAAAUUACCCUAUCUCCCUCUCAUUCUCAUCCCCUCAUCUUUUUCGCUCUCUCUCUCUCUCUUGCUCUCUCUCUCUCUCUAGAAAGAAAAGGAAAAAGAGAAGGAAGAGAAGAAGAAAAGGGAAAAGAAGAAGGAGAAGAAGGUAGAGAAGAAGAAGGAGAUCAAGGAGAAGGCCUUGAACAUCUCCCUCUCCCUCUCCUCUUCCCAUUGGUGUAGCUCAAGAGAUAAACUACAAACCCUAGCUUGUAGAACUUAGGGUUUUGGGUUUUGAGCUUUGGAAAUUGGGUCAAAUGGACCCCUAGCACCAUUGUUGGUGGACCAAAGCUAGAGUUAGGGUUCCAAAUUGCAAAUGGUAAGAUGGGAACCCUAGGGCUCCAAAAUGGAAUUUUUGGUAAAGUAUGAGAUUGAUCUCAUUUGAGGCCUUGUAAACCUAAUUGGUAGGUCACAAAACGCAAGGUCACAAAACGCGGGGGCGAAGUCGAUUUCGCGAUUCGACUAGUGAAAUUGGAGCUAUCGGCGAAAUACGGCCGAUUUAUCCUUGUCUUGGACCAAGAAGGCCGAGACCUCGUCGUAAGGUUUGCCGAGGAGCGUUUCUAAAGCCUCUACAUCGAUAAAAGGUGGGGGGUGCCAUCCCAAAGCUUUCGAACUCCUUUUUAUGUCUUAGAUUGCAUUUAAUCUCAUCUCUUACAUGUUGCAUUGUAGGAUUGCAUAGUAGCUCCAUUCCUUAUGCUUUCUAAUUGAUAACCUAGUGUACUUCGAACGCUUGGUAACUUAGAUAGGUGAGGAUUGGGUCAGAACGUGGAUCCUAUGAUGUGAACAUGGAUCGAAUUCAUUAGUAUGAUAGUAAACCUUUCCUAUAUGACGCAUGCAUUCAUUAUACAUGAUUAUGGGUAUAGUAGCAUAGUUUUUCUACUAUUGCAUUUACAGCUUUCAGAUAUCUAUCUAUCUAUCUGUUGUUGCUUGUACCCACUUGGACCUAGUGGGGAGAUCGGCAGAGUCGGCGGCCGAGCCUACUGGGAACUAUGGAAGAUAGUUCUCACCCCACUCUAUUUCCAGUGGUAGGUACAGGGCUGCCGAGAGAGAAUCGCGGCAAGGGCAUCGCGCCCGACCAGUGAGACCGUGGUAGUAUAGUAGCUUUCCUUUUUGCAUUAGCACACUUACGUAUUGAGAGAGAUUCAUUGUAGGUGAGGAUUUGGAGAGCUAUGUAUUUUGGAUGAAUGAUAUAAUCAUUUAAAGAAAAUGAUGUAAAUGAAAAAGAAUGAACUAUUGUAAUAGUUAGCAAAGUACUCUCUUUAUUUCACAUGUUAUUCCUGUGGAUUGCUUGCUCUCGUAGUUGCUGGCACUAUUGGUGCCCUGUUGAAUGUGUAUGUUUAGAAUUUAAAUUUCUGGAAAAUUCUUGUAGACAUUCUUGUUGUGAGCCUUGGGCGGACAGGGGAGGUGCUGUCCGUUUGGCGGUCCGCUCACCGCGCCCGAAUCGUGCCAAAUUGGUAGUGAUUUCAGGGCGGGGCGUAACAGUGCUGUGGUAUCAGAGCAAUGAGAGCAAGUAAAGAGGGAAAGUCUAGGAUGACCUAGGAGACCCCAGGUUGGUAAGCCCUAAGGUUAUAGGUGCGUGAGCGGAACGUGAACCUAUAGCGAUGGCGGAAGUUGAUUCAAUUGGAUCGAAGUUGGUAUUAUGUCUCGAGUUGUGAUUAGAGACGGAUUCAAGUGGUAUAAGUUCGUGUCUUGAGGUGGUUGUGUCGGCGGCCGACGACAUGAUACCAAGAGUCUAGAACGAGUACACUUGUGUGCUUUCGCCCAAUUUCGUUGUUGAGUCGUUGUGUGUCGUUAUUGCGACGAAAUGAACGGGUUAAGAGAAUUAACCAAGUAUUUGUGUUUCAGGAGCCAAUGGCACCAAGGAGACGCCCGAGUACGAGGUCUACUACGGCACCACCUCCUGAGGUGCCCGAGCAGACUGAACCGAGCGUGAUGGAUCGGUUGUAAGCGCAAGUCACCGUGCUGACCAAUGUGGUGUAGCGCCAGGAGACCCGAUUCGAGCAGCUCCAGGAUCUUUUGGAGCUGCAGGUUGCGGCGGCGGCUGCGACGGUGAAUGAGGGCGGUGGUCCGCCCGCACCCUCGACUCAUGUGCCCGGAGCGGUAGAGGGUGAGCCAUAGCGGCGGUUCCGGUGACAGCACGCCUACCACCAGCGAUCGUACCACAGGCGGCAUCGGGAUUGGCUACACCCGACGUGUCGGCCGAAGACGUGGAAGGAGAGCGCGCAUUAGCGGCUCUUAUCAAGUUCAACAUGUUCCAUCUGCCAACCUUCGAGGGCGAGAAGGUGGAACCGAAGAUGGUCGAGUCUUGGAUUGACUCGAUGGAAACCCUCUUCGAUGAUUUGCGUACUUUGGAGAGGGACAAGGUGUAUCUCGCCACCCAUUGCUUGGAAAAGGCGGCGAAGGUGUGGUGGAAGCGUGUCAAACGGGAUCGGCUUCUCGGCCUUCCGCCAAUGCUGUGGGAGGAAUUCAAGCGGGAGAUGUUCACUAACUAUUUUCCUGAUACAUUGAAGCGGAAGAUCAAGGAGAAGUUCCGCAAGUUAGAGCAAGGGGACCGCUCAGUGGCAGAGUAUGAGCAAGAAUUCUCCCAUAUUAUAGAUUGCAUCCCGGAUGUUGUAAAGGAUGACCGGGACUGGGCCGAGUGGUUCUUGCGAGGACUUCGGCCGGGAAUUUACAAGGCCGUGCAAAUACUCAAGCUCACGACCUUUGCGGAGGUCUUCGAUCGAGCGCUCUGGGCGGAGCACGGAGAUGCCCACGUUCGGGAGAAGCGUGAGCUUUUGGUCGAGUCCAAGGAUAAGGGCAAGAAACGCCAAGGCAGCAGUAGUUCGGGGGGACAAACACGUUACAAGAAACACCCGAAGUAUCCGCGCACUCAAGAGAAAAGCGGCGGAGCGCUGCGAUGCAUUGUAUGCGGCGGAGACCACCCGGUCUCGCGCUGUGAGCAAGGCCGAGGCAAGUGCUACAAGUGUGGGUAGCCGGGGCACUUCAUUCGAGAUUGCCCGGGAGGAGGAGCCUCACCUGCCCCAUCGAUUGCAUCGGCGCCGGCGAUUCCGGCUCACUAUGGAGGAGUUCCACUGACGGCCGCGUCGAUGGGAUGCGUGAUGAUGCCGCGUCAACCUGAAGUGACGCGAUCUGCCCCGAGCCGACGGGUAUUCGCCGCUCAGGUCCAAGCUGAGGAACCUGCGGAGGCGGAGGAGCAUCGCCUUGUGGCAGGUAUCGUUUUAAUUAAUGGAGUUCGCUCCAGGGCUUUAUUUGAUACAGGAGCCACGCAUUCAUUCAUAAGCAGGUCAUUCGCACGCAUGCAUGACAUUCUCAUAGAGGCGAGUGACAAGUGGCGAGUGGAGGGCCCUGGGUUGCCGGAUGUAUUUCCCGCGGAGUUGCCAAGGAUACUACCGGAUCGGGAGAUCAAGUUCGUCAUAGACUUGGUUCCCGGUACCGCACCGAUCUCGAAGGCUCCGUACCAAAUGGCGCCGGCGGAACUAAAAGAGUUGAGAAGUCAAUUGCAAGACCUCCUCGACAAGCAAUUUAUCUAGCCAAGUGUAUCACCGUGGGGAGCCCCGGUGUUGUUUGUACGGAAGAAGGACGGAUCGUUUCGACUCUGUGUGGAUUAUCGAGAGCUGAAUAGAGUGACGAUCAAGAACAAGUACCCACUACCCCGAAUCGAUGACUUGUUCGAUCAGUUGCAGGGGUCGCGUGUGUACUCGAAGAUAGAUUUGCAGUCCGGCUAUCACCAACUGAAGAUCAAGCCAGAGGAUGUGCAGAAGACCACGUUCCGCACGCGGUAUGGACACUACGAAUUCACGGUCAUGCCAUUUGGACUCACGAAUGCUCCAACGGCAUUUAUGGAUUUGAUGAACCGUGUCUUCAUAGAGUAUUUGGACCGAUUUGUCGUGGUCUUCAUAGACGACAUAUUGGUCUAUUCUCGCAGUGACGAGGAACAUGUCGAGCAUUUGAGAAUAGUGCUUCAAGUCCUUCGAGAGGAGAAGCUAUAUGCUAAGCUGAAGAAGUGUGACUUCUGGCUCCGAGAGGUCGCCUUCUUAGGGCAUGUGAUUUCUGCGGGUGGAGUUUCUGUAGACCCAAGGAAAGUUGAGGCAAUCAAGGAUUGGCCGCGCCCGACGAAUGUCAUGGAGGUUCGAAGCUUCGUGGGCUUGGCGGGCUAUUAUCGGCGGUUUGUGGAAGGCUUUUCCAAGAUAGUGAUUCCACUUACCCGCCUGACUCAGAAAGGCAUCAAGUUUGUUUGGAGUGAAGAGUGCGACCGGAGUUUCAAAUAGUUGAAGCAAAGACUGACUUCGACUUCGGUGCUCGCUCUACCGGUGCAGGGCGAAGACUUCGUGGUCUACAGCGAUGCCUCCUAUCUUGUAUUGGGGUGUGUAUUGAUGCAAAACGGGAAGGUGAUUGCUUAUGCAUCCCGUCAGCUGAAGAGCUAUGAAAAGAACUACCCCAUCCAUGAUUUGGAGCUAGCGGCGGUGAUUUUCGCCUUGAAGCUGUGGAGGCACUACUUAUAUGGUGCCCAUUGUGAGAUCUAUACCGACCACAAGAGCUUGAAGUACCUGUUCACACAGAAAGAGCUCAAUAUACGUCAGCGGCAGUGGUUGGAGCUAUUAAAGGAUUAUGACGUUGAUAUCCUCUACCACCCCGGGAAGGCAAAUCUGGUCGCAGAUGCGCUGAGUAGGAAGUCAGCGGAGAACCUUGCCAUGUGGGUUAUAAAUCAAUCACCUCUAUGGCUGGAAAUGGAGCGACUCGACCUCGAAGUAGUUACUCCCGAGACUCCAGCCUGGUUGAUGGCACUCGUUGUCCAACCGACCUUGUUGGAGAGGAUCAAAGAUCUGCAACCCGUAGACCCAGAACUCCAAAAGGUGCGGCGAAACAUCGAGGAAGGGCAUGGCGGCGAUUUCAAUGUAGACGCCGAUGGUACGCUCCGGUUCUGAAACCGAUAGUGUGUGCCGAAAGAUGGAGAGCUUCGGGAAUUGAUUCUAAGGAAGCACACCGAUCUCCAUAUGCCGAUUACCCGGGCGGCACCAAGAUGUAUCAAGGACUAAAAAUGCACUACUGGUGGCCGGGACUGAAGAGUGACAUUAGACGCUUUGUGGCAAAGUGCCUAACAUGCCAACAAGUAAAGGCCGAGCAUCGAUUUCCAGCGGGAAAGUUUCAAAGCCUACAAAUCCCCGUUUGGAAGUGGGAGGAUAUAUCAAUGGACUUCGUGGUCGGCUUGUCUCGCUUAACGGGCGGCCACGAUGCAAUUUGGGUAACUGUGGACCGAUUGACGAAAUCGGCUCACUUCUUGCCGAUCCACACCACGUGGUCGGGUGACAAGUUAGCGCAGGUAUACCUCAACGAGAUAGUGAGACUGCAUGGGGUGCCGAAAUCGAUCGUAUCGGAUUGUGACCCCCGGUUCACUUCACACUUCUGGAAGAGCCUGCAGGAAGCCCUUGGCACACGGCUCGACUUUAGCACCGUAUUUCAUGCUCAGACCGAUGGGCAAACAGAGAGAACCAUUCAAACUCUGGAGGACAUGUUGCGAGCGUGUGUCAUCGACUAUAAGGGAAGUUGGUGUGAUCACCUACCUAUGACCGAGUUCGCCUACAAUAACAGUUAUCAUGCUAGUGUGGAGAUGGCACCGUUCGAGGCUCUUUAUGGGCGGACGUGUCGGUCUCCUAUACACUGGACUGGCGUAGGUGAGCGGGCUGAGUUCGGCCCUGAUGUGUUGCGAGAAGCGGAGGAGAAAGUUCGCCUUGCCCGCAAAAGAUUGCUCACGGCACAGUCGAGACAGCAAAGCUAUGCAGAUAGGCGCCGACGAGAUAUAGAGUUCACGGUGGGCGACCGCGUAUUCUUGAAGGUUUCAUCGAUGCGGGGUGUGAAGCGGUUUGGAGUGCGGGAAAAAUUGAGUCCCCGAUACAUUGGACUCUAUGAAAUAUUUGAGCGAGUGGGCACGGUGGCUUAUCGACUCGCUUUACCGCCGAAGCUCGCAGAUGUACACAAUGUAUUCCAUGUCUCCAAUCUCCGCAAGUAUAUUCACGACCCCGAGCAUGCAAUGCUAUAUGAGCCACCGGAGCUUCAAGAAAAUUUGAGUUAUGAAGAGUUUCCGGUGAUAAUUAUCGCACGAGAGGUGCGGAAGUUGAGGAAUCGAGAAAUUCCCUACGUGAAGGUUCGGUGGAGCAAUCAUGAUGAUCGCGAGGUCACCUGGAAACUCAAGGAUCUGAUGAGAAAGCACCAUCCUCAUCUAUUUGAGAAGUAAGGUAUGGGUUUGAGUUAAAAUAAAGAAUCAAAUUAGUUCGAGGACGAAACUCCUUUUAAGGAGGGAAGGAUGUAAGGAAGUGAAUUCUCAAAAUUCGAGAGUUGUACUUCAUCCAGGAUCGACUAAUUAUCGAGUUAGUAUCCUUCAGGAAAGCUAAAGUGAUCCAAAACACAAAAAGUGCAUUGGAAUUGAGUCCGCGAGAGCAUAUGGUGCAAAACUGCACUGGGCUGAAGUUGCUCUCGAGACCGGUCCCUGGCAGGGAGAGAUCGGUCCCCGAGGCUAGUGGCUCGGGGGAUCUCGAUGCAACCGAUCCCUGGAUUGAUGAAACCGGUCCCCCGACGCGCCACCAGCGAGAAAAGCCGAAAAUCGGCUAAGUCCUAAAAAUCGGGCUCUCGGGAACCGAUCUCUUCGAGAGGAACCGGUCUCCCGAGGACCGGUCUCUCGGGGAGAGACCGGUUCCCGAACGCGAGAAGGCCCCUGGCAGCAUGGGCUGCUCUCGGGGACCGGUCCCAAGUUGGGGAGACCGAUCCCUCCGCGCAAAUUCUGCCCAAUAAGGGCUGUGCAAGGAUGGAAAAGUGGAAGGGUUUAAGUGCAAAAUGGCCAUCAUAUGAGGGGUGUAUAUGGGAAAUUACCCUAUCUCCCUCUCAUUCUCAUCCCCUCAUCUUUUUCGCUCUCUCUCUCUCUCUUGCUCUCUCUCUUUCUCUAGAAAGAAAAGGAAAAAGAGAAGGAAGAGAAGAAGAAAAGGGAAAAGAAGAAGGAGAAGAAGGUAGAGAAGAAGAAGGAGAUCAAGGAGAAGGCCUUGAACAUCUCCCUCUCCCUCUCCUCUUCCCAUUGGUGUAGCUCAAGAGGUAAGCUACAAACCCUAGCUUGUAGAACUUAGGGUUUUGGGUUUUGAGCUUUGGAAAUUGGGUCAAAUGGACCCCUAGCACCAUUGUUGGUGGACCAAAGCUAGAGUUAGGGUUCCAAAUUGCAAAUGGUAAGAUGGGAACCCUAGGGCUCCAAAAUGGAAUUUUUGGUAAAGUAUGAGAUUGAUCUCAUUUGAGGCCUUGUAAACCUAAUUGGUAGGUCACAAAACGCAAGGUCACAAAACGCGGGGGCGAAGUCGAUUUCGCGAUUCGACUAGUGAAAUUGGAGCUAUCGGCGAAAUACGGCCGAUUUAUCCUUGUCUUGGACCAAGAAGGCCGAGACCUCGUCGUAAGGUUUGCCGAGGAGCGUUUCUAAAGCCUCUACAUCGAUAAAAGGUGGGGGGUGCCAUCCCAAAGCUUUCGAACUCCUUUUUAUGUCUUAGANUCUUGUAGUUCUCACACCACUAACCAUACAGGUUCCAGUGCGGGUUUUGAGGCCGAGGAUCGUGGCAAGGGCCCUGCAGCUUAGCUAGCUGACACCAGAGUUUAGCAAUUACCAUUUUGAGUUCAUGUAUCAUCCAUUUUGAUGUACAGAGACAUGUAAAUGAAUGUAUAAAAGCAUGUAUAUAACUAAAUGUUUCAGUUACAAGUUCAGUUGUGUAAAGUUUUAAAUUACAGUGAAUUUCAUUGUACAGUUAGUUUACUAUCACUUGUGGUUGUUGCUUGCCUUCGUGCAAGCCAUGUAUAUUGAAAUGUGAUCCUGGGAAUUAUUUAAUUUCUUUAUACAUGUAUCCGUUGUUGUUGAGCCUUGGGCGAACAGAGGAGGUGCUGUUCGUUCGGCGUCUGUGUACGGGCCCGGAUCGACCAAAUUGGCGAUAGCGGGACGUGACACCGUGGUAGUAUAGUAGCUUUCCUUUUUGGAUUAGCACACCUAUGUAUUGAGAGAGAUUCAUUGUAGGUGAGGAUUUGGAGAGCUAUGUAUUUUGGAUGAAUGAUAUAAUCAUUUAAAGAAAAUGAUGUAAAUGAAAAAGGAUGAACUAUUGUAAUAGUUAGCAAAGUACUCUCUUUAUUUCACAUGUUAUUCCUGUGGAUUGCUUGCUCUCGUAGUUGCUGGCACUAUUGGUGCCCUGUUGAAUGUGUAUGUUUAGAAUUUAAAUUCCUGGAAAAUUCUUGUAGACAUUCUUGUUGUGAGCCUUGGGCGGACAGGGGAGGUGCUGUCCGUUCGGCGGUCCGCUCACCGCGCCCGAAUCAUGCCAAAUUGGUAGUGGUUUCGAGGCGGGGCGUGACAAAAGAGCUCCAAGGUGAGGAGAGGAAGAGAAGAAGAUGGAGAUGACCUCCUCCAAGCUCUACUCCUUCUCUUUCUUCUUAUUCCCUUCUCUUUUUCUUCUUCUUCUCUUCUCUUUUCCUUUCUUUCUUCUCUUUUUCUCCUUCACGUGUAGAGAGAGAGAGGGAGCAGUGAGGGAGUGAGAGAAUGAGAGAGAUAGAGAGAGAGAGACCCCUCUCAUAACCCCUCUCAUGGCCAUUUUGCACAUAAACCCCUCAACUUUCCAUCCCUUGCACUGCCCUUACUGGGCAAAACUCGCGCGUAGGGACCGGUCUCCCCGACCUGGGACCGGUCCUAGAGGACCUUCCCAUUUUCCACGCGUUCGGGAACCAGUCUUUCCCUGAGAGACCGGUCCUCCGGAGACCAGUCUGCCCACCAGAGACCAGUUCCCGAGAGCUCGUCUCGCGGGACUUGGCCAAUUUUUGGCCAUUCUCGCUGGUGUCACCUGCUAGGACCGGUCCCUCCCUGCCAGGGACCGGUUGCAUCAGCAAUCCCGCAACCCUCAGGCGAUGGGACCGGUCUCUCCCUGCCAGAGACCGCUCCCCGAGAGCAGAACCAGACAAAAAUACAGAUUUUGCAUCUUUGCUCUCGCAGACUCCAUUCCAAUGCACUUUUUGGGUUUUGGAUAACUCUAGCUUCUCCGAAGGGUAUGACCACUAGUCGAUCCUGGACGAGGUGCAACUCUCGGAUUUUGAGAAUUCACUUUGUUACAUACAUCCUAGUUGACCAGAGUGGUCGGUUCCCUUAUACUCUUGUGGUUGCUGAUUUCGCACUUUUUUGUUGACCUGAGUGGUUGGUACUUGCAUACACUUGAGAGGAUGUUGAGUUGUUCAUCCUAAUUGACCAGAGUGGUCGGUACUCGUGUUCCCUUACAGUUCGAUGACCUAUUGGUCGGUGUGCCCCGAGGGGUGGAGAUUGUCGGAUAUUUGCUGACGGUUGGCUAUUGAUCAUACUUGCAUUGAUCGCCACAGCUCGACAGUAUUUCACAAACACCAGCAGUCUGAUCCACGACAGGAGGGUGUUUUUUUCAGAAAAAGUUGUUGGUUGCCAACCUGUGAGCCGAGCGGCCAUUUGUUAGGGUUAUAUGCCAGACAGAGCGGUUGUGGUUUGCCUGAGGUCCUUAUACUUAUACCGACACGACGUUAUAGAUUGGGUAUACUUAUGCUAUCAAUUGCAGUUGACGCAUAGUCAUUUCUAUAUCUCCCUUGGAGUAGCGGUUAUUCAUACCAUUAUUACGGUUGUUUCUAAUUUAGUUACCAUGCUAUUGCACUUGUUUGACUAUUGAUUAUAGUUGGCUGUUGCUUUAUUAUCUCAGUUUACAGUAGUAACUUCUUUGGUGAUUACUGGUGGAUAUUUUUUCAUUGUUAUCAUACCCGAUUACUUGUUACUACUGCUGUUUACCCCUCCUUAUGCCGGUUGGUACAGCUUGCCUUCGUCGGCUUGCAGUACCCACUGGGAGGGGGAGACAUAUUUAAAUGUUCUCACCCCCCACACAUUUUUUGGUGACGCGAGUAGGAUUGUCUGGGACACAGCUAGUGGGCGAUCAUGGAGGUCUCGACCUACAGUAUACAUUCUUAAUUACUUCAUUCUUAACAUCAGAUAUAUAUUAGUGGAUAGUAUAGAUCUUGCCCUACACUAGUUAUUAGAUAUCUACUUGUGGUUCAGUUGGUGGUUUACACUUGAUGUUUUGUAUGAUGUAUAUAUGGUUUUGGAACACUCGUGGUUUUUAGACACAUAUGGCUUUGGAUUCGAAUUUCAAAAUGUAAUUUUCUACCCCUAUGGUAGUGUUCUCAAAACAAAGGUUUUCGGAUGGGAAACGAUUUUCAAGACCUAACAGGGAAUAACCGAAAGUUAGCUACGUGGUCAGAGAAUACCAUCACUCAAGCUUUCCCACAAGACAAUCUAUAGAGAUUGUCUUGCAAGAGAAAACACCGACCCAAUCCAAAAGUCCCAAACGGAGAAAGGGUAUUUCGUCCCAACUUUUGAAACUACGUUGUCUAUAGCCAACGUACUUAUCAAAAGAAAAGCGAAAUAUCCGAAGAUCCACUACCAACAACAAGUUGCAAGCGCGACAAAUCGAAGUAUCAAGCCACCUGAUACAUCUUUAUAGAACCAAAACUGUAGAAACAUCGACUUUGCAAAUCAACAUUCGAAAUCAGGUCAGCCCCGAGUCGACUCACUAAGAGUCCCAUAGCUCUGAAUAUUCAAUAACUGUUAGCGACACUAGGCCACGAACUACACGAGCUAAGGCUUAACAAAGUAGUUUCUUUAACCGAUUUCUGCACCAUAGUGCACUGUAAUUCUAUCGAAACAUCAACUUCAUAAGCCGAUUUUCAAAGCUAGAUCAACCUUUAAGCCAACUCUCCACAAAACAGACGAUAACCCGUGACCUAGAGUCACCACCCACACAAGCUAGUGCGAUAGCAACACGAUUUCGAACUUCGGCCAACCAGCUACAAACCUUUUGAGAUUCUCUAUUAAUCCCAAUGAACUGCUCAAAGCAUUCCAAAAGCCUACUGAUCCCACAACACACCAACCAAGGUGUUGGACAGUCGCACACGAUGUACAUAACGCAAGGACUCACACCAGAACUGUCUCUUCCAAAUUGUAUAGCAACGAUGCCUAAGGGUUACCAUGACUAUUAAUGAGAAGAUAAUAGGAACGCAGGUAUGCAUAAUGUGUACAACAGUUCAAGAGACUUGCGUAAUUAAUUAAGGUAACUAUGUAAACUGAAAUUCAUACCUACGCUCCCACGUACGGGCGCAUUCAUCAGUUGAGAUGAAACAAAGGCAAGCCCGCCAACUGCUUGUAAUGAAGUCACCAGAAGGGAAGCCGCACCCCGCAGUGGUCCAUUACCCCUUGGGCAAUCGCAAUGUAAAUGACCUGGCUCAUCACAUCGAUAAUAGUGGUCUCGACGUCGAGGGCAGGAGAUCACCUAAUGCACUCAACCGCAUAUUACGCAAGGUCGGUCACCUCGGUGUUGUCUAUCAACAAAUUCAUUUUUGGUUGCAGGUUGGGGCUGACGAUUCACGUAUAAAAUCGCAGGGCUAGGAGUGGCAGUCAGUGCUGCAGCAGAUCCCUGAGGACAGUUUUCUUGUUUAUGCCCCGUCUGACCACAACCGAAGCAGUGAUUAUGAUAGCGGGAACAGUGAGUAGUCAAAUGCUUCCUAUCGCAGAUCUUGCAAUGCUUAACAUAAGGCAAUAGACUUGCUGAAGCACUCGUAAUAGAUGAUUGAGUCUGAGGAUGCUUGGGUGGCUUUGAGUUGCUCGAUGAUCCACCCUCUAAAUUCGACUGAGGCCGCUUUCCGAAUGCAUUUUUACUCGAACUCCCUUUCUGAAUAGAGUCCACCCGUUCAUCCAAGGGCUUUGACGAGUUACAAAUUUUAAAUUCCGCCAAGCUCCCUCUCACGUGGGCUUCCUCCAUGGCCAGAGAGUCAACGCCCUCGGCAGAAACAGUGGACGUCGUCGUGUUGGGUAUAACGCGAGCAGCACCCGUGGAUCUAGGGCCACCCGUCACUGGCAUAACCCCAGUGACCACCGCUGUUGUCGUAGGAACGAUUGCCGUGGCACCCAGAAAUGACACUCUAAUGGCUUGAUCACCCGAAGGUCCACUAACCGCCUCGCAGACCACAUCAGCAACAUUACUCGCAGCUAUACCUGUGUCCGGCCCGACGGCGGAGCCUGUUCAACUCCAGCUGCAGCCUGCUGCUGCACCACCUGUUGGACUAAAUCGGCUAGUGCGGUCAACUGCUCCUCCAACCGUCGGAGGCCGUGCACAACAGCAAAAGCCUCGGCAUUAGCGCGUCGUCUCUCUCUACUGCGUGCCAUGUACUAAAAUUGUCACGUCCCGUUAUUGCCAAUUUGGUCGAUCCGGGCCCGUACACAGACGCCGAACGAACAGCACCUCCUCUGUUCGCCCAAGGCUCAACAACAACGAAUACAUGUAUAAAGAAAUUAAACAAUUCCCAGGAUCACAUUUCAAUAUACAUGGCUUGCACGAAGGCAAGCAACAAACACAAGUGAUAGUAAACUAACUGUACAAUGAAAUUCACUGUAACUUAAAACUUUACAUAACUAAAACAUUUAGUUAUUACAUGCCUUAUAUAUACAUUCAUUUACAUGUCUCUGUACAUCGAAAUAGAUGAUACAUGAACCCAAAUGGUAUACCACUAGUACUCGGGUGUCCACUAGCUAGGCUGCUGGCUCUUGCCUCGAUUCUCGGCCACAAUACUCGCACUGGAACCUGUAUGGUUAGUGGUGUGAGAACUACAAGAAAGUUCCCAGUGGGUUCGGCCGCCGACCUCGCCGACUCACCCUCUAGGUCUACUCAGGCAUAUGUAGACAAGAAAAGUAAACAGAUAGUAACCAACUAUAACAUGUAACUACUACAAUGCCUGCACAAAGCUGAAAGAAGUAACAGAUAUAAAAACUGUAAAUAUGCAUGCAUGCUUUUCAUUAACUUUACCCAAUCUUUUGGUUAACCCUCUGGUUAACAGCUGGACAAGUACGUUAGUCCUGGGGCAAGUACGUUAGCCCAUAAAUUUACCCAAUUCAGUGGUUAACCCUUUGGUUAACAAUAACUCACCAACGAAAUCCCUCACGGGCCCUAAGCUGCCUCCCGAUGGGACCGUCUGUCGGACAAGUACGUUAGUCCUGGGGCAGGUACGUUAGCCCAACAAGUGACUACUCCGGAGCUCACUGCCUGGGGGGAGCGACCACCACCAAGCUAAGAAAACAGACUAUGUGAGUAAGAUCUGAUCCCUCUUUAGAGGAUUCAACUGACAACAAUGUCACAAUUCAACUCUAACUAGUUCUUUAUGCUAGUUUCACAAUUUUAUUGCUCGAUGCUAACCAAAUCUCUAGUUAGAAUGUCACCAAGUUCACUAUUGUUCUAGUCCAUGCAUUCAUAGGGUUCUAUGUCCACAUUCUAAGGUUCACAAGUUCUCAUUGUUGAUAGGAAUUUACAUUUUCACUUGCACAAUGCCGAACACCCUAUAAUGCAUGACUACAAAUAUAAAUAUGCUUAACGAAUAAUCAUAGACAUAAAAGGUGAUUCAAAGACUUCGGAUAGCACCACCCACCUUUCUUUGAUGCCGGAAUGGGAGAAAUGCGCUUCUAGCGCUUUCCCGAGAAUCGCGACCCGCGCUCGCGACUUUCGACGCCGAAAAUCUUCUUUUGGCGAUAUCUUCGCGUAGGAGCGUCGGAUUGCCGAACCGACUUCGCCAGCGCGUUUCUUUUAUCCCCAAUUACGUUUACACGCGGUCAAUUUCACUUUAGGGCUUCUAUCCUGCAAAAGUGCAUUGUCGAGUCAGUUUCUCAAAAAACCCCGAUUUCAAUGCAAUUUUACAUGUAAAUAGCGUAUUUCAACUCUUUCUUCGUCCAAGGAUCUCAGAUCAGUUAUUAAAAACUGUACAAAUGCUUCGAUUCCACUUUUCUCUCCAUUCUAUUAUCUUUCUUUCAUUUUCUCUUCUUUUCUUACUUUCUUUCUUUCUUACUUGCUUUCUUUCUUACUUAUCUUUCUUUCUUUUCAUUCUUUCUUUCUUCCUUACUUGCUUUCUUUCUUACUUAUCUUUCUUUCUUUUCAUUCUUUCUUUCUUCCUUACUUGCUUUCUUUCUUACUUAUCUUUCUUUCUUUUCAUUCUUUCUUUCUUCCUUACUUGCUUUCUUUCUUACUUAUCUUUCUUUCUUUUCAUUCUUUCUUUCUUCCUUUCUUUCUUUUCUUUCCCUGCAGGCUGCAGCAGCAGCUAUUACUGCUGCUGCUGAGCUGCUUGACAGCAGCCUGCGCAGGCUGCUGACAGCAGCAGCUUGCGAAGCUGCUGCUGCUCCUGCAGCUGCCUUUGCUGCUGCUGAGCUGCUGCUCAGCAGCUCAUGUUGCUGCUGCUGUUGCUAGCUGCUCCUGCCUCUGCUGCUGAUGCUUCUACUGCAGCUGCUGUUGCUAGCUGCUGCUGCUGUACUGCUCUGCUGCUGAAGCUGAUGCUCUAGCUUGCAGCAGCAGCAAAGAUUGUUGCUGCUGCUGCUGCUUUCAGCAGCAGGGAAAAGAAGUAAAGGGGAAAACCAUAACAAAGAGAGAGAGAGGGAAUAAACAGCACCUUUCUCUUUUUCUUUUUCUUCCUCUUCUUCUCUGUUUCUUCUUCUUUUCUCCUUCUUUUCUCCUUCUCUCUCUCUCAUGCGUAUGCUGCUGGGCUGAAGAGAGGAUAAGGAUAGGGCUCUGGCAGCAGGUAAGUUAGUGGAAUUCCACUAAGUCAAGUGCAAUUACCAAAUUGCCCUUGACUUAAUCCGUUUAGCGACCUUGAAUCAAAUACCUUUCGUAAGUCCUUCCGACAGUCCGAUUGAGCUCAAAUUUGGCAGGAAUGUUCGUUUUUACUUAACAAAUCCACUGAAAUUUUAACAUUUCAGUUUCGACCCCGUUUGGUCACUACGAACUGUCCCGAACUGUAAUCUUUAUCAGAUAACUUCCUUAUGCAAUUUCUCUCUCUACAGGUGUCAGAAAAAUCUGAAACUUNUUAAGGGAGUUGGUAGAGUCAAAUCUUCUUCAUCUUGAAUAUAUUUCUACUGAAAACCAGCUUGCUGAUAUUUUGACAACACCUUUAGAUCAUAAACGUUUUCUGCAUUUGCGAAAAGCUAUUGGUAUGAAUCCAUCUUUUUAGAUGUAGUCUAUGGGCCAUAGAUCUUGUACAUCCUUUUUGCACAUCUGUCGUUUUUACUUGAUGAUUUUUGAGAUAUCUAUGACAUGAUUUUCAUUGUUUUAUAAUGUGGCUAGCUUGGUCAAACUUUGCAAAAUUCAACAUCUCUUUGCAUGAACUUUAAAAAUUGUCUUUGUCUUGUCAGAUUAUGAGCUUUGAUAUGAAUACAGAUUUUCCUAUUUUUGAACUUGUGAUAACAUCAUCAACUUGAGGGUUGCACUUAUUGAGGGGGAGUUUUUUUCUUGGAAUUAAAUUAGUAUGUCAAAAGAUGUGGAAAGAGUUACAUCCCUCAUGGGAGUGUAAAAACUACCACCACAUGGAGGAAAGAGCUACCAUUCCGGUCGUCCGGUACGUGUGUGCAGCUACCACAUGUUUGUUUAAAGCAUCGCAAUUGAUAAAGAAGCCAACAAUGUCUGGUGAUAUAUAUAUAUAUAUAUAAUACAAAAUUUAAGAAGGUACUUUGGAGAUGAUAAAGCAUGAGUUACUUUCAAUAAAUCUCCUAGGUGAUAUAAGGUGGAUAGUGAAAAGAUGCUCAAAGAGCCACUUCCUUUUCGAAUUUUGUGCAUAACUCAAUUUGAUCAUCUUAUCUUAAUUUCAUAAUUAUGGGAUCUUGUUAUUCCUCUAUUUAGCAACUAUGAAGACUAUUCGAGACGAUUUAUUUUUAGAUCUUGCUUGAUGUGUGGAUUUUGGCAGUAUACUUACUUAGAAUUUAUUUCGUCUAUUUGUUCAACGAAUUUUGACAUUUUGAAUAUUUUGAAAUUGAUUUUGUUUGCCAUAUUUAUAAAAUUUUAUUGUAUGUCAUUGGCAUAUAUCAUUUUUUUUUAAAAAAAAGAAGGGGAGGAAAUUUUUUUGGUACGGGGACCGGUCCCCUGUCUUGAAGGACCGGUCCCUCCGCCCGAUCCUUUAUAACCCCUUCGGUCCGGUCUCUCUCUUACUUUACCUUUCUCUUUCUAAGUCUUCUCCCACGAAAUUCCUAGAUCCCCAGAGGGAUUUUGCUUUGCUGAUUGCUGGUUUUCUUUACUUUGAUUGGUAAGUUUUCGAUUUAGGGCUAAUUUAUCCUUACCUAUUCCAAGAAUAUGAUUGGUUAGGAGUUGAUCUGAAAUUUUGUUGGGAUUUUUUGUUUCUUAACAUUAAUCUCUGGUAUAUUCUUGUGAUUCUCGAGUUUUUCAUGGAUUACUUCAUUUUUUUUUAUGCAUGUUUUUGGUUUUUUUUUUCAAUGUGGCCCUAGCUUUUCCAGUUUUCUUUGUUGUUUUUCUAAAAAUCUGAAUGGUAUCUGUGUUUUGAUUACAACAGGGAUCUUUUUCGAAAACCAAAAAUGUAUUCACUUUUGAUUGUGCUUGUGUUUCUCAUGGCUGGUGGUGGUCGUGGUGGUAAGCGCCAGCGUACUUCGACUCAGCAACAUGUCGAGCCACCGGUUGAGGAUGUCGGCAGUGAAUAUGCUCCUGAUGACGAUUCAGAAACUGAGUCGACGGAUUGGGAAACACUUUCUCCAGAAGUGGUGUUGACAAAGAAAAAAGGGAAGGAAAAGGUAGUUGCUGAACAGGAAAAAGGGCAGGGCAAAGCCAAAGGGAAAGGACCGGAAAAAUUGACAUACUCUCGUAGUAAGAAGAAGACCGGAGGUAUUGCAAUUCGCGAACCUACUGCUGAUCUACCUCGUCGAAGUACUCAGGAAGGCAAUGUUGAUCCAAAGAGACACUCUAUGUACUAUUCGAAGACUUGUAUUGGUGAGCGCCACGUUGGAGUUCAGAACUUAAUUGAACGAGUUCCUGGUCUUCAAGCCUUGUUUCAGAACGGAGGUCUUUAUGAAAUUAGCGAUUUUCCCGAACAAACUGGAUAUUGUUUGAAAUUAAUUCGGGAAUUCUAUAUGCGAGCGGGAUAUUUGGAAGAUUCCGAUGGUGGACCAUUCAUCUUUAAGACCAAAGUGCGUGGCAUUGAGUUGACAAUUACGCCUGAAACUAUUGCUUCUGUUCUUGGUAUGCAAGCUCGGACUGAUGGCGUUGAAUACUUGCAUGCUGGUUUUGAUGCGGUGCGAGACUGGCGUCUAGUUAUGAAUGGCGUAUGUUUGCCCAACGUUGAACCAAACGGCAUUUGUGUCAUGUCAAAGGAAUUGAAAAUCGAGUAUCGUUUCCUGAACUUUGUGGUCUGCUACAAUAUAAUGCCGUUGGCUAACACGAAGGUGGUGCGUUGGGAUCGCAUGCUUUAUAUGUAUUUGGUGGGUAAGCCGAAUGUGGUUCGUGAUAGAAAGAUCAAUCUUAAUGUUCCAUUUUUGGUAUGGCGCCGUAUGGCUAAAGAUAUUAAGACUUCUAAUCAGUCAGAAAGGUUGCCUUAUCCAUUGAUCAUUAUGAGGAUUCUGAGGAUGUUUGAUGUGGACACGCGAUGUUCGUCAUAUGAGCAUAGUCUGGGUGUGAUUAGUGAAACUACUUUCAUUAAGUCUUCGGUGCAACUUCAGUCUCAGCGCUCUCCUCCACGACGUUCGUCUCAACAGCGUUCAACUCCACCUCCUGGUUCUUCUCGUCCUUCGGCAGAGGUGUCUGAGGAAGAAAUGUCCGUCUCUUCUGUUUAUCGAGAACAACAAAGGUUAUCUUUAGAGCAAGAACGCAAUUCGGGCGAACUUCGACGGAUUUCUGAGGAUCAGGCUCGCAUGGUUGCCGAGCAGGAGCGCCUUACUCGGCAAGUGGGCAAGCUUCGUCGUAUGAUGCGCGCUAUCUUUGACAAACUAGGGUGUUGUAGCGCGGAUCUUCCUGCGCCUGGUGCUGAUUCCGACUAAGUUCUUUUCGUUCCCUCGUUUUGGUCGUUUUGGCGUUUUCUUGACAAAAAGGGGGAGGAUGAUGAUGAUGAUGAUACUUGAUGCCUUGAUGCUUAGGAUGCUUGAUGCCUUGAUGCUUAGGAUUAUGCUUGCUUGCAUGUGUGCUUGAACUUUGUGAACUAUGCUUGAACUUUGUUUAGGAUGUAACUAUGCUUGCUUGAACUCUUGACUAUGCUUGCUUGCUUGCAUGUGUGCUUGAACUUUGUGAACUAUGCUUGAACUUUGUUUAGGAUGUAACUAUGCUUGCUUGAACUCUUGACUAUGCUUGCUUGAACUGACUUAUACCAAAUUUUGAUGAAGUGUGUGGAGAUUGUUUUGCAGGGUAUUUCAAGACUUCGAGACUCCAUGUCAUGUCCUAAGUCAUAGAGUCUGUAUUAGGAUGUUAAAAAUGUAAUUUUAUUUUUAUUGGAUCGAUCACGCAGAAGGUUGUUGUUUGGUGAUUGCGAUAACCUUCUUAUUUUUGUCUUUGGAUAAGCAUUGUAAAUUCUUUUUGUAUUUUGUCACGAAAUCGCCAAAGGGGGAGAUUGUUAAGGAUUUUAUAAGUUGGCGAAUUUCGUGAAGGGUUUGGAUGGAGUCUCGAAGAAUUAGAAGAUGAAGAUUGACGAAAAGAAUUGAAGUUUUGCGAUCAAAGACCCUUGAGAACUCAGGUAUGAUUAGAAACAAUUUGUGGUGAAGUUUUCAUUAUUAAAAGAUGUUUAGAAGACUUGGUUUUCUUUUCAUUUAUUCAAACUUAAGUUUUCUGAAAAAAUCAGGGGUCGGGGACCGGUCCUUGAUCAGAGGGACCGGACCCAUCAAGCUUCUCUGCGUAGAAGUUUUGGGAGACCGGUCUCUGGUCUUGAGGACCGGUCCCCGUAAGUGGUUUUUCCCUUGAUUGCGGCAGGGGAAGGACCGGUCUCUGAAUUGAGGACCGGUCCCCGUACGCAUGUUUUACAUCUACGCAGCGAAAGACCGGACCUCAUCUUAGAGGACCGGUCUCCCAAGGACCGGUCUCCUCGAAAGGACCGGACCCUAAGACCGUCGUCAGUUUUUAAAAUUGAGUUUUUGGAAUCCUAAUCUAUCUAGAAGUCUUCUAAACCUAUAAAUAUGAUAUGAGGAUCUCUAUUUGACAGUAGUUGAGCGAGAUAACUUUUUAAAAACCCUAACGGCUUGAUUUGGAGUUUCGGUUCUAUGUUUUUAAACUUCGAGCAUUAGAUCAUUAAUUUGAUUCCUAGUUUUGAUUCAAAUUUUAGUUAAGGAUCAAAUUGGUGAUGUUUUAAUUCGAGUUUCUCCUCAUAUUAUAUGUGCUUUCAAAGACCAUUAAUCACCACAAAUAGUUGAACUUCUAAGAGCUUCGGAUGGAGCAUUAGCGCGUGGAUCUCGCGUGAAGACCGUGGAUUCGGUGGGCGUUUCGUGGAAUCGAGGCAUGUGCGGCUGCAAGGACUUGCAGUGUGAUCGGCUAGAGGAUUCCAAGUGAUCGUGGACUAGCAAAGAUAAUCUACAACGAGGAUUCGGUAUUUUGAGUCUUGUAUUUUUGCUAAAUCACUUGUACUCAUGUUUUCUUAGUAGAUUUCUUUGUGUGAUCGGUCCCGUGGGUUUUUCUCUCCGAUUUGGAGUUUUCCCACGUUAAUUCUCGGUGUGCUGAUAUUCUUUUCCGCAUUUACUUCAUAUUCGCAUCGAGUUUAUUUUAUUUUACCGUUUACACCUAUUCACCCCCCUCUAAGUGUUUUUCACCUUUUAGAUCCUCGGGAUACAUAUCUUACAAGUGGUAUCAGAGCGGGUAUAGGUUGUAAUCUAUGGCCGAGGGCGGCAACAUUAAUCGACCCCCCCUCUUCGAUGGCACUAACUACACAUAUUGGAAAGUCCGUAUGAGGGCGUUUCUUAUUGCUAUCGACGAGAGGGUUUUGCAAGCCAUUGAAUUCGGAUGGAAACAUCCUACUGAAGUGGUCAAGAAUGUUACCGGUCCGAAACCUAGAAAUAAGUGGACAAAAGAGGAAAACGAACUAUCUUCGUUCAAUGGGAAGGGUAUCAAUGCUUUGUUCAAUGCGUUGAAUCAAACUGAAUUUUCACGAGUAUCGGCAUGUGAAACCGCCAAAGAAAUUUGGGACACUUUACAAAUCACUCACGAGGGUACAAGCUUGGUAAAGGUUCAGAAAUUACAAAUGUUGACUAGUCGUUUUGAUUCUAUUCGUAUGGAAGAAAAUGAAACCUUUACCGAGUAUUACACUCGUCUUCAAGAUAUUGUCAAUACUUGUGCAAAUUUGGGUGAAAAAAUUUCUGAACCAAAAAUNAGGUGAGGUCCAGUCCUUCGCUGCGUAGCUGUAAAAACAUGCGUACGGAGACCGGUCCUCAAUUCAGAGACCGGUCCCUCUCUGCGCAACAAGAAAAAACCACGUACGGGAACCGGUCCUCAAGAUCAGAGACUGGUCUCCCAAAACUUCUACGCAGAGAAGCUUGAUGGGUCCGGUCCCUCUGAUCAAGGACCGGUCCCUGACCCCUGAGAAUUUUUGAAAACUUUAGUUUGAUAAACAAAAAUAGAAACCAAGUCUUCUAAACAUUUUUAACAACAAAAUCUCACCACAAAUUAUUUAUAAUCAUACCUGAGAUCCCAAGGGUCUUGAUCACCAAACUCCAAUUCUUUCUUCAACCUCCGUCUUCUAACACUUCGAGACUCCGUCCAAAACUACACAAAAAUCGCCAACUUAACAAAAUCCUUAACAUUUAUCGACGACGUAUUGGUGUACUCGCAGAUUGAAGAAGAGCACGAGGAACAUUUAAGGACCGUGUUGCAAAUACUCCGGAAUGAGAAGCUUUAUGCUAAGCUUAAGAAGUGCGAGUUUUGGUUUUCGAAGGUAACCUUCUUAGGCCAUGUGAUUUCCGGGAGCGUAGUCUCGGUGGAUCCAAGGAAAAUUGAGGUGAUUCGGGAUUGGCCUCAUCCGACGAGUGUGGCGGAAGUCCGCAGUUUUCUCGGAUUGGCAGGCUAUUAUUGGCGUUUCGUGGAGGGGUUUGCGAAGUUGACUACUCCUCUCACACGCCUUACGCACAAAGGAGUAAGGUUUGAUUGGAGCGACGGUUGCAACCAAAGCUUCCAAGAGCUGAAAGAAAAGUUGACGUCUACUCCGAUACUUGCGUUGCCAACGCCGGGAGAGAGUUUCAUGGUAUAUAGUGAUGCUUCCUAUAGUGGUCUCGGAUGUGUUCUUAUGCAAAAUGGGCGAGUCAUUGCGCAUGCUUCGCGCCAGUUGAAGAGCUAUGAAAAGAGCUACCCGAUACAUGAUCUCGAGUUAGCGGCGGUCAUUUUCGCGCUAAAGCUAUGGAGGCACUAUCUUUACGGUGAGCAUUGUGAGGUAUAUACCGAUCACAAGAGCCUCAAGUAUUUGUUCACCCAGAAAGAGUUAAAUAUGCGGCAGCGGCGGUGGUUGGAGUUGUUGAAGGAUUAUCACCUUACUAUCCUAUACCACCCUGGGAAAGCUAAUGUCGUUGCCGAUGCGCUAAGUAGGAAAUAUGUUGAGAACUUAGCGACGGCGGUUACUAGCCAACCGUCAUUGCAUAGAGAAAUGCAACGGUUUGGAUUGGAAGUAGUGGCGCCGGAAGUUCCGACUAUCUUUGCGGCACUAGUGGUUCGACCGACCUUAUUGGAGCGAAUAAGGGAGCGGCAAGUUGGUGAUCCAUAUCUCAAAAAGGUGCGGAGUGACAUUGACAGCAGACGCGCCGGCGACUUCGGCGUGGGAUCUGGCGGUGCACUUCGGUUCAAAAACUGAUUGUGUGUGCCCAAGGAUGAGGAGAUUCGUGAGAUGCUGUUGCAAGAGGCGCAUCAUUCCCCGUAUAGUAUACACCCGGGCGGCACUAAGAUGUAUAAAGAUCUAAAGAUACAUUAUUAGUGGCAGGGAAUGAAGAAGGACAUUGGGGAGUUUGUGGCGCAGUGUUUGAUGUGCCAACAAGUGAAGGCCGAGCGUCGAUUUCCCGCGGGAAAGUUGCAAAGAUUACCAAUCCCUGUGUGGAAAUGGGAGGAUAUUGCGAUGGACUUUGUGGUCGGUCUACCCCGAUUGCUAGCUGGACAUUAUGCCAUAUGGGUGGUUGUGGACUGUUUGACGAAGUCGGCUCAUUUCUUGCCGAUCCACACCACGUGGUCAGGAGACAAGUUAGCACAAGUCUACUUGGAUGAGGAAGUGAGAUUGCAUGGGGUUCCAUUAUCGAUUGUAUCAGAUCGAGAUCCCCGGUUCACUUCUCAUUUCUGGAAGAGCUUGCAGGAUGCUCUAGGCACGCGGCUCGAUUUCAGUACAGUGUUUUAUCCUCAGAGUGAUGGCCAGUCAGAGAGGACAAUUCAGAUACUCGAGGAUAUGUUGCGAGCGUGUGUACUCGAUUACUGUGGAGGGUGGCAUGACUAUUUGCCGAUGGCGGAGUACGCUUACAAUAAUAGUUAUCAAGAAAGUAUAGCGAUGGUGCCGUUUUAGGCACUCUAUGGGCGUAGGUGUCGCUCUCCUAUCCAUUGGAGCGAAGUGGGUGAAAGAGUCACCCUUGGUCCGGAUGUGGUGCGAGAGGCAGAAGAGAAAGUCCGUCUUGCUCGCCAACGAUUGAUGACGGCACAAUCGCGGCGGCGAAGCUAUGCGAAUAAGCACCGAAAGGAUUUGGAAUUCGCGGUUGGCGACCGUGUGUUUCUCAAAGUGUCGCCAAUGCGCGGGGUGAAGCGAUUUGGCAUUCGAGGGAAGCUUAGUCCCCGGUACAUUGGCCCUUAUGAGAUUCUAGAGCGAAUUGGGCCGAUGGCGUACAAGUUAGCAUUGCCGCCAAAGCUUGCGGGAGUCCAUAAUGUAUUCCACAUUUCGAAUCUUCGCAAGUAUUUCCGGAACUCCUCACAUGUGUUGGAGUAUGAACCGGUAGAGUUACACAAGGAUGGCACUUAUGAAGAGUUUCCGGUGAGCAUUCUUGCUCGAGAGGAGCGGAAGCUACGGAAUCAUAUUAUUCCGUAUGUGAAAGUGCAAUGGAGUAAUUACUCGAGGCGUGAAUCCACGUAGAAGCUCAAGGAGAAGACGCGCGAGGUUUAUCCUCAAUUGUUUGAACAAGUGGACUAAGGUAUGAGUUAAGUUUCGCAGUCGAAACUAUUUUUAUGGGGUGGGGAAUGUAACAUAUCACUUCCCAGUAAAUCGCGCUGAGUUCCGUCGAAAUAUGCGGAACGCGGAGUGGAACAAGUUGGUAUAGGUUCUAAGUGCAUUGGAACCUAUAUAUAGUGUAAAGGGACCCGAGAGAGUGAAAUUGCAAAAUCUGGCUAAGUCCCAGAUUUUGGGCUCUCGGGGACCGGUCCCUGAAGGAGAGACCGGUCCCCGUACGCAUAGCAACCGGUCAGGGUGAAAAAAUUGGCUAAGUCCUGGAAUUGGGGUCUACGGGAACCGGUCCCUGAGUGAAAGACCGGUCUCCGAGGGUCCGGUCCUUGAAGGAGAGAUCGGUCCCCCAUUGCACAGUCAGCCAAAAAAAAUGUGAAAUUUGGCUAAGUCCGUGGGAGCAGACCUACGGGGACUGGUCCCUGUGGGGAGAGACCGGUCCCCGCAUGCGAAAAUUGCCCAGGAUGGGCUGAUUGGAAAAAUAAAAAGUUGAGGGGCUAAGGUGCAAAGUGACAUGAGUUGUCACGCCCCGUGCCCUGCCUAUUUGGUCGAGUUCGGGUACGCCGACAGACCGCCGAACGGACAGAGUUUUUCCUGUAUGUCCUAGGUGUAAUAUUCCGAAAAUUCGGAAAAUAAAUAUCGAACUUUAGUCAAAUUUACCAAAGUGCGAGAAUGGUACACUUCAAAAAGUCCGAAGGUGUUAAAAUGAGUAAAAGAGUGUUGUGGAAGGUUUUCGAGAGCUAAGAAUCAAAAUUCUGCAAACUGCAGAUUUUCAGCUCUCGGGGACCGGUCCCUGGUGGAAGAGACCGCUCCCCGAACGCGCAAGAAUUGAGAAAAGCCGAAAAUCAAUUAAGUCCCUGAGAACCAGCUCUCGGGAACCGGUCCCUCCCUGAGAGACCGGUCCCCCAGAGACCGGUCCCCUCAAAGAGAGACCGGUCGCAUCACGCGGGAGCCUCGGCUGCCGUAGGGAAAGCUCUUGGAGACCGGUCCCUAGUCGGGGAGAUCGGUCCCCGAACCCGAAAUCUGCCCAGUUUGAGCAGUUUAAUAAAAUGAAAGUUGAGGGAUCUAUUUGCAAUUAUGUAACAAAUGGGUUAUGUUAAGGGGGUUAUGAGGUGUUUUCUCUCAUUCUCUCCCUCUCACACACUCCCUUUCUCCUCUCUUUCUCUCUCUAGAAGACAAAAAAGGAGAAGAAGAAGACAAAGAAAGGAAAGGAAAAGAAGAAGAAGAAAGUAGAGAAGAAGAAGAAGGAGUGAAGAAACUCCCUCUCCCUCAUCUCUAGCUUGGAAAAGGAGAGCUUACAAGGUAAGCUUUGAACCCUAAAUGUGGUAGAUCCCAAAUUAGGGUUUGGGUUGUCUAAUAUACCGAAAAUUCGGAGAAUAAAUAUCGAACUUUAGUCAAAUUGACCAAAGUGCGAGUAUGGUACACUUCGGAAAGUCCGAAGGCGUUAAAAGGAGUAAAAGUGCGCUAUGAAAGGUUUUCGAGAGCUAAAGAAUCAAAAAUCUGCAAAUUGCAGUUUUUGAGCUCUCGGGGACCGGUCCCUGGUGGGAGAGACCGGUCCCCGAACGCAUGAGAAAUGAGACAGCCAAAAAUUUGGCUAAGUCCUGAGAAAAUAGCUCUCGGGAACCGGUCCCUGCCUGAGAGACCGGUCCCCGAGAGACCGGUCCCCCAAAGAGAGACCGGAUGCAUCGCGCUGGAGCCCUGGCUGCCGCAGGGAAGAGCUUCGGGAACCGGUCCCUGGUCGGGGAGACCGGUCCCCGCAUGCGUGAAAUGCCCAGUCCAGGCAGUGUAAUAAAGUAAAAGUUGAGGGGUUUAGCUGCAAUUUUGCAACCCAUAGAGAUAUGUAUGGGGACAAAUGAGGUAUUUCUCUCAUUUUUCAUCCCCUCCCACUCUCUCCUCUUUUUCUCUCUCUAGAAGACAAAGAAGGAGAAGAAGAAGAGAAGGAAAAAGGAAGGAAAAGAAGAAAAAGAAAGUGGAGAAGAAGAAGGAGUGAAGAAACUCCCUCUCCCUCAUCUCUAGCUUGGAAAAGGAGAGCUUACAAGGUAAGCUUUGAACCCUAAAUGUGGUAGAUCCCAAAUUAGGGUUUGGGUUGUCUAAUAUACCGAAAAUUCGGAGAAUAAAUAUCGAACUUUAGUCAAAUUGACCAAAGUGCGAGUAUGGUACACUUCGGAAAGUCCGAAGGCGUUAAAAGGAGUAAAAGUGCGCUAUGAAAGGUUUUCGAGAGCUAAAGAAUCAAAAAUCUGCAAAUUGCAGUUUUUGAGCUCUCGGGGACCGGUCCCUGGUGGGAGAGACCGGUCCCCGAACGCAUGAGAAAUGAGACAGCCAAAAAUUUGGCUAAGUCCUGAGAAAAUAGCUCUCGGGAACCGGUCCCUGCCUGAGAGACCGGUCCCCGAGAGACCGGUCCCCCAAAGAGAGACCGGAUGCAUCGCGCUGGAGCCCUGGCUGCCGCAGGGAAGAGCUUCGGGAACCGGUCCCUGGUCGGGGAGACCGGUCCCCGCAUGCGUGAAAUGCCCAGUCCAGGCAGUGCACAGAGGUAAAAGUUGAGGGGUUUAGCUGCAAUUUUGCAACCCAUAGAGAUAUGUAUGGGGACAAAUGAGGUAUUUCUCUCAUUUUUCAUCCCCUCCCACUCUCUCCUCUUUUUCUCUCUCUAGAAGACAAAGAAGGAGAAGAAGAAGAGAAGGAAAAAGGAAGGAAAAGAAGAAAAAGAAAGUGGAGAAGAAGAAGGAGUGAAGAAACUCCCUCUCCCUCAUCUCUAGCUUGGAAAAGGAGAGCUUACAAGGUAAGCUUUGAACCCUAAAUGUGGUAGAUCCCAAAUUAGGGUUUGGGUUGUCUAAUAUACCGAAAAUUCGGAGAAUAAAUAUCGAACUUUAGUCAAAUUGACCAAAGUGCGAGUAUGGUACACUUCGGAAAGUCCGAAGGCGUUAAAAGGAGUAAAAGUGCGCUAUGAAAGGUUUUCGAGAGCUAAAGAAUCAAAAAUCUGCAAAUUGCAGUUUUUGAGCUCUCGGGGACCGGUCCCUGGUGGGAGAGACCGGUCCCCGAACGCAUGAGAAAUGAGACAGCCAAAAAUUUGGCUAAGUCCUGAGAAAAUAGCUCUCGGGAACCGGUCCCUGCCUGAGAGACCGGUCCCCGAGAGACCGGUCCCCCAAAGAGAGACCGGAUGCAUCGCGCUGGAGCCCUGGCUGCCGCAGGGAAGAGCUUCGGGAACCGGUCCCUGGUCGGGGAGACCGGUCCCCGCAUGCGUGAAAUGCCCAGUCCAGGCAGUGUAAUAAAGUAAAAGUUGAGGGGUUUAGCUGCAAUUUUGCAACCCAUAGAGAUAUGUAUGGGGACAAAUGAGGUAUUUCUCUCAUUUUUCAUCCCCUCCCACUCUCUCCUCUUUUUCUCUCUCUAGAAGACAAAGAAGGAGAAGAAGAAGAGAAGGAAAAAGGAAGGAAAAGAAGAAAAAGAAAGUGGAGAAGAAGAAGGAGUGAAGAAACUCCCUCUCCCUCAUCUCUAGCUUGGAAAAGGAGAGCUUACAAGGUAAGCUUUGAACCCUAAAUGUGGUAGAUCCCAAAUUAGGGUUUGGAUUAACCUAGAAAUGGUUUUAAUGAAAUGUUUAGAGUCCUUGAAGCUUUCCUUUUGCUUCUUUUGAGAUCAAAACCAUGAAAUGGUGGAAAUGGGUGAAGCUUAAAGGUGAGCUUGACCCCUUCCAUGGUGAAACCCAAACUAGGAUUUUGAUAAAGCUAAGAAUGGUUUAGAUGGACUCUUUAGAGGAGAAUAAAGCUACUUUUGCUUCUCAUUGAGAUCAAACCCUAGGUUUGAUAUAUGUAAUGGAGCUAGGGCACCCAAAUUGGGGCUUUUGCUCAUGGGGAUUUCUAAGUGAAAUUGACCCUUUAGAAACCUAAUUGGGGGUAUUUCCAACGCGUUGGUGCGUUCGGAUUAGCAUUACUAAAAGUCUAUAAAAAGUUAUGGGCAAAAUGACCUAAGUUGGCAUCGUUUUGCCGCAGGUAAAGAACGAGAAGUCUAAAAAUCCCAAGAAAGUCAUCGGAGCACCCUUGAAAGCCUACGAGGUGGGUGGUGCUUCUCAAACUCGUUGAACUUCCCUCUAUGCCUAAUGUGUCAUUCAUUUGAGCAUAUGUAUAUACAUUGUUGCAUGCAUUUAGGGUAAAGUAAUGAUAAUAAUGUGAUGUUGCAUGAUUGUGAGUACAACUUGCAUAAUGUGAUGGUUGAGAACCUUAUGAAUGUCAAAAACCCUAUAUGUGUGCAUGAGUUGAAAUGUGAGAACCAAAGUGAGGCAAAAGAACAGAGUGACACAUGACAUAGAUCGAGUGACAUUUGAUAGUGCAAAGUAAAGUGACACUAGAGCUAGUGUGAGGCAAAGAAUCAAUGUGAUGUAAAGAAUAAUGCUAAUGACUAAAGUGAGAACAAAGUAGGGUGUAAAGAACACAAAUGCUAGAGAUAGCCAAAAGUAAAGACAUGUAAAGAACAUGAUUGCUAGAGUAGCAACAUAAAGUGACGUAAAGAACACUAGAGCUAGUGUAAAGUCAAGAUUGAACAUAUAAUCCUUUGAGUUAAGGAUUCGAUCAUACUUGCUAUGAGUUCCAUGCUCGAGGGCGGUCGCUCUCCCUGGGGCGAUGCGCUCCAGAGUUAUGCAUCACGGGUUGGAGUAAACCUGAAGGACGGUCCUAGCGGGUGAGUUCCUGCAAUGAUGGACUUAAUGUGAAGCAAGCUAAUGUGGCGAAACCCCCGGGUUAGCCUUGAGAUUAAAGAACAAAAACUAAAGAACAAAGAACAAAGAACAAGAACAAAGUGUAAAGUGUAAAGAAUAAAAGAAUUUGCAUAAUCUGCAUAUAUUAAUGUUGAGCAUAUUUCCUGCUUAUUGUUCGGGCAUAUUAGCAUCAUAUUAUAGAUUGGUUACUAUAUACAGCUUAUCCUUUCUAGUAUGCCUGAGUUAGUCCUAGUGGGAAAGUCGGUGAUGUUGAGGCCGAACCCACUGGGAACUUUGUUAUAGUUCUCACCCCACUAUUUCCACAGAGCCAGGACCGAGCGAGCCGGCGAGCGACCGAGGUAAAGGUAUCGCGCCUUAGUCAGAGGCCACCAGAGUUGGGUUUACAUUUUGUUAGUAAUUACCCUUUUAUCAUCUUUUGAACUUGAUGAUUAGUGAUGUAAAGGAAGAAUGUAAAGCACCCUUUUGAGGUAAAUGUGAUGUAAGAAAGAUAUGAUGUAAUGAAUGUAAGAAUUCAAAAAUGUACAAGUGAAUGUUUAGUUUCCUUUUUCUUUCACUCGUGGCUAUUGCUUACCCUCGUGUAAACCGUAUUUGUAUGUUUCCGCUAGUGCACUUCUUGUUUGAAAAUGUACAUGUGAUGAGCCUUGGGCGGACAGGAAAAGCUCUGUUCGUUUGGCGUCUGUUUGACGUGCUCGGGCCGGCCCAAAUUGGUAUCGAUCCCGGGGCAUGACAGGUUGAGUUAAUAAUGAUUUCUAUAGAAUCUCUAGAGUCUUUGAAUCUUUCUUUUUGCUUCUUUUGAGAUCAAAACCAUGGAAUGGUGGAGUUGGCGAAGCUUGCAUGAAAGCUUCAACCUCCUCUCAUAGUGAAACCCUAAAAUGGGUUUUGAUAAAGCUAAGAAUGGUUUAGAUGGACUCUUUAGAGUAGAGUGAAGCUAUAUUUGCUUCCCAAUGAGAUCAAACCCUAGGUUUGAUGUGUGGGAUGGAGCUAGGGCACCCAAAUUGGGGCUUUUGCUCAUGGGAAUUUCUAAGUGAAAUUGACCCAGUAGAAACCUAAUUGGGGGUAUUUCCGGCGCGUUGGUGCGCUCGGAAAAACGUUACGAAAAGCCAAUGUAAAGUUAUGGGCAAAAUGACCUAAGUUGGCUUCGUUUUGCCGCAGGUAAAGAACGAGAAGUCUAAAAAUCCCAAGAAAAUCAUCAGAGCACCCUUGAAAGCCUACGAGGUGGGUGGUGCUUCUCAAACUCGUUGAACUUCCCUCUAUGCCUAAUGUGUCAUUCAUUUGAGCAUAUGUAUAUACAUUGUUGCAUGCAUUUUAGGGUAAUGUAAUGAUAAAAACGUGAUGUUGCAUGAUUGUGAGUACAACUUGCUUUAUGUGAUGGUUGAGAACCUUAUGAAUGUUAAAACCCUAUAUGUAUGCAUGAGAGAAAAUGUGAGUACCAAAGUGAGCCAAAAGAAUCGAGUGGCACAAUGACAUAGAUCGAGUGGCAUUUGAAAAUGUAAAGUAAAGUGACACUAGAGUUAAUGUGAGGCAACGAACUAAUGCGAGGUAAAGAAUGAUAUUAAUGAUUAAAGCUAAUGUAAAGUGGGGCAUAAAGAACGUGUAAAGUUAAAGAAUGUGAAAGCCAAAGAUAGCCUAAAGUAAAGGAAUGUAAAGAACUUGAUUGCUAGAGUUAGCAACAUAAAGUGAUGUAAUGAACACUAGAGUUAGUGCAAAGUUAAGAUUGAACUUAAAAUCCUUAGAGUUAAGGAUUCGAUCAUACUUGCUAUGAGUUCCGUGCUCGAGGGCGGUCGCUCCCCCUCGGGCGAUGCUCUCCGGAGUUAUGCAUCCAAUACAUGAGUCGGGUCGAAGAUGUACUUCCGGAUGACCGAUACAUGAAAGACGUUGUGCACGCCCAAUAGGUUUGGUGGUAGAGCAAGUCUAUACGCCACCGGACCUACACGCUCCAAGAUCUCAUACGGUACAAUAAACCUAGGGCUCAGCUUACCCCGAAUCCCAAAUCUCCUGAUCCCUCUAGUCAACAAGACCUUCAAGAAUACAUGGUCUCCAACUUGGAAUUCUAAGUCUCGCCGCCGUCGGUCGGCGUAGCUCCUCUGUCUACUCUGUGCCGUCAAAAGUCGCUCCCGAGCAAUUCGAAACUUGUCCUCAGCUUCUUGGAGCACAUCAGGGCCUAAAGCCAAUCUCUCGCCAACUUCACUCCAAUGAAGUGGCGAUCUACACUUCCGUCCAUAGAGUGCCUCGAAGGGUGCCAUCUUGAUGCUUGCUUGAUAACUGUUGUUGUAAGCAAAUUCCGCCAUCGGUAAAUACUGCGACCACCCUCCCUAGAAGUCUAUCACACUAUCCAGGAGCAUAUACUCUAAAGUCUGUAUAGUGCGCUCCGACUGUCCAUCACUCUGCGGGUGGAAAGCUAUACUGAAAUCCAAUCGAGUGCCUAAGGCGUCUUGCAGACUCCUCCAAAAGUGAGACACAAAGCGGGUGUCUCGAUCAGAUACAAUCGAUAUAGGCACUCCGUGAAGUCACACAAUCUCAUCAAGUACACUUGUGCGAGCUUCUCCCCGGUCCAAGUCGUAUGGAUAGGUAUGAAAUGCGCCGACUUCGUCAACCUAUCCACGAUCACCCAAAUAACAUCAUUCCCAGCCUGUGAGCGAGGCAAUCCAGUCACAAAGUCCAUGGUGAUCUUCUUCUACUUCCACACGGGAAUAGGCAAACUCUGAAGUUUUCCCGCGGGAACUCGGUGCUCAGCCUUAACUUGUUGGCAAGUUAAGCAUCUAGCAACAAACUCACCAACAUCCUUCUUCAUCCCGGGCCACCAAUAAAGCAACUUCAAGUCCUUGUACAUCUUGGUACCUCCCGGAUGGAUAGCAUAGGGUGCUCGAUGUUCUUCUUGAAGAAUAUCCUCUUUAAUUCCCGAAUACGCCGGUACGCAUAUCCGCCCACGGAAUCGCAUCAACCCUCGGUUAUCCACUAGGAAGUUGCCGGUGCAACCAUCAACCAUUUUACCUCUGAUCUUGAGCAACUCCAAUUCAAAAACUUACUUUUCUUUGAUUCUGUCAAAAAGAGUAGGUUGCACUACCAAGGUCAUCAACUUCAAGGGUGUGUCAGGAGUCACCACCUCCAACUCUAACCGCUUCAUCUGCUCGAUCAACUGCGGUUGGGUAACCAAAUGCAUCGCUAAGUUUUCUAUCGAUUUCCUACUUAGCGCAUCCGCCACCACGUUAGCCUUGCUCGGGUGGUAGAGAAUAGUAAGAUCAUAAUCCUUGAGUAGCUCUAACCAUCUGCGCUGCCUCAAGUUCAACUCCUUCUGAGUAAACAGGUACUUUAAGCUCUUGUGAUCCCUGUAUACUUCACACCGCUCGCCAUAAAGAUAGUGGCGCCAUAGCUUCAAUGCGAACACUACGGCCGCCAACUCCAAAUCAUGCGUCGGGUAGUCUUUUCAUAUUCCCUUCAGUUGCGAGAAGCAAUACGGCGAUCACCCUUGCCAUCUUGCAUCAACACACAGCCCAAACCAUUAAGGUGAAGCAUUAUAUAUACCACACUGCUCCAGCUACUGGUAGGGUCAGGAUCGGGGCGGUAGUCAAUCGUUGCUUCAACUCUUGGAAGCUUCUCUCGCACGCAUCAUUCCAAAUGAACUUGACUCCUUUAUGCGUGAGCCUCGUGAGGGGAGUAGAUAACUUAGCAAAUCCCUCAACAAAUCUCCGGUAGUAACAGGCCAAUCCAAGGAAACUCCGUAUCUCCGUGACGCUCGUCGGUCUCAGCCAAUCCUUCAUUGCUUCAAUUUUCUUAGGAUCCACAGCUAUACUUGAUCCUGAAAUCAAGUGUCCAAGGAAAGCUACCUCCCAAAGCCAAAAUUCACAUUUCUUCAACUUGGCAUAAAGCUCCCUUUCCCGAAGUACUUGAAGUACAAUCCUCAAGUGUUCCUCGUGAUCCACAUCGCUUCGGGAGUAGACCAAAAUGUCGUCGAUGAACACCACGACGAACCUGUCUAGAUAAGACUUGAAAACACGGUUCAUUAGAUCCAUAAAAGCUGUCGGGGCAUUAGUUAGCCCAAACGGCAUAACUAUGAAUUCGUAAUGUGCAUACCGUGUUCUAAAAGCUGUCUUCGAUACAUCCUCGGGCUUGAUUCUCAAUUGGUGGUAUCCCGACUGCAAGUCUAUUUUGGAAUACACACACGAUCCCUGAAGCUGAUCAAACAAGUCGUCGAUCCUCGGCAACGGAUACUUGUUCUUGAUCGUGACCUUAUUGAGUUCACGAUAAUCCACGCAAAGGCGAAGUGAUCCGUCCUUCUUCUUGACGAACAAAACUGGCGCUCCCCAAGGCGAGACACUCGGUCGAAUGAAGUUUUAUCCAACAAAUUCUGCAGCUGUGCCCUCAGCUCCCUCAGCUCUGCCGGUGCCAUCCUAUAGGGUGCCUUUGAGAUUGGGGCAGCCCCAGGGACGAGAUCUACCACAAACUCAAUCUCCCUAUCAGGAGGCAUACCCGGUAGCUCAGCUGGAAACACAUCCUGGAACUCCCGCACCACCGGGAUAUCCUCGAUCCUAGGGGUGUCAUCCUCGCCCCUCAGCACAACACUAGCCAAAUAGGCUACGCAACCUCUGCUAAUCAGCUGCCUAGCUCGAGACGAGCUGAUCGUCAUCGCAAACAGCGAACUCCGGCAUCCACUAAAUACCACCUCAGUCUGCCCCGGUUCUCUAAAAGUAACCGUGCGAUUCUUGCAAUCAAUCGUGGCAUAAUACUUGGUCAACCAAUCCAUGCCCAAGACCACAUCAAAAUCCCCCAGCUUGCGCAAAGCUAGCAAAUCUAUAGGCAUGAUCCAAUCUCCUACCCGAAUAGGGCAACUGGGGCUAUACUCUCUAAUAUCCAAAAUGUGGUCGGGUACAACAACAUGUCCCGUAUGCAACAAAGAAACCAACGGGAUGCCAUGCAACUCGGCAAACAGCCGAUCUAUGAAUGAAUGCGAUGCACCGGUAUCAAAUAAAGCACGAACUCUAAUGCCAUCAAGUAAAAUGAUACCUGCAACCACAUCCUCGGCUGCUGCCGCCUCCUCGGUCUGAGCGGCGUACAUGCGCCCACUCGGGGCCUGUCGAGAUCCCUCGCUCUGGCGCUGGACGGGUGGCCGCCCAGGCUGGUACUGUGUCGACGGAGUCCCGUGGCUGACGGCUGGUAGAGCCGGUGCCGAUGCAGUCGACGGUGCCGGUGAAGAACCUCUCGGGCACUCGGUACGCACGUGGCCCUCCUGGCCACACUGGAAACACCUGCCCGCCCGCUGUGGACACUGCGGUGGGUAAUGGGGACCACCGCAGAUCACACACGGGGAAGGCCGGCGCCGAUCGGAUCCUCCUCGAUGCGCUACUGAGCCGCGUCCACGCUGCUGGCUCCUCGGAUGCUUCGGCGGCCUCCUAGAGUGCGUCUGGCUCGCACCCUCAGCCGCAGGCCUCUUGGCCUUACCCUUGUCCCUAGCCUCUCGCUGCUCCUGGACCUCUGCCGCGCCGCUCUCCACGAUGAGCGCGCGAUCCACCACCUCCCGGUAGGUUUGGAGGUUAGAGGAUUGCACAAACCGGAAGAUCGACGGUCGCAACCCUCGCUCGAAGAUGCGGGCCUUGUCCUCGUCGUCCCGCACGACGAAGGGCACGCAAUGCAGAAGCCGAGAAAACUCCCUCUCGUACUCGGCUACGGUCCUGUCACCCUGGCGCAAGCUGCGCAAAUCCUGCUCCAUCUUCCUCUUGACGCUGGUCGGGAAGUAGUGCGCCAGAAGAAGCUCCUUGAACCUCGUCCAAGUGAUAGAUGCCAAGUCAGUGCUGGGGUGCUCCUGAAAGUCCAACCACCAGCGGUAGGCCUCGCCGUCCAAGUGGUGAGUGGCGAGCCAAACUCUGUCCCUCUCCUCCACGAAGGUGUCGCGGAAGAGCUUCUCCAUAUGCAUCAACCACUUCUCCACGAUCCAGUGGUCGACCUUCUCGCCGUCGAAGACUUAGGGACUGCAUCUCCUGAACUCAUUGAGGCGCUCCAUUAGUCUGUCUCGCUUCGCCCUCUCAACCAAGGUAGGGAAUGCAGCUCCAACCGGGGGCCUCUGCACAGGUAGUGCCGCCAAAACCUCCUCCCGGGGUGCGGCCGCAGGCGCCGCACGCGAAGAACUGGGCGCGGGGGACGGCGCCCUCGAUGCGACGUCCACAACGGGUGCUGGCGGUGUAGGGGCCUGCGUCUCCCUAGAAGCUGCUGCCUGCUGCAGGAGUAAGUCCUCCAGGCGCUUCAUCCGCGCCUCCUGUCGGCGUGCCGCCUUAGUCUGCUGUCGGGCCGCCUCCGCCUGCUGAGUGACUAAAUCGGUGAGGGCCGCAAGCUGGCCCCUCAACUCACGGAUCUCGCCAGAUCCGGAGGUAGCGGAGCAUUGGGAGCCUUUACUUGAAGUAAAGUGUAAACCUAAGAAGCUUGAAUACCUGGAUCGCUUAUCAGCGUGAACUCGACAAGAGGCGUUGUAUAUUGGUGGGUCGAACCUUCCCGAAAUUGGUGAAUUUUCUCUAUGUCUCCUUUGACAUUAUGAGUUGAAGUUAUUACAUGUUUAUGAAUAUAUGUAUAGUGCGAGAAAUUGAAACAUGCGUAAAUGUGUAGAUCAUAUCGGAUAUGAUAGCAUAUCUAAACAAUAAGGAAAGACUUAUGACUUGCUUAUUUCAAUAAUCACUUAUUUGAUUAUUAUGCAUUCAUAGUAUUAAUGAUUUGUAUAAGCAAGUUAAGCUUGAGGUCAUUUAAAAGGAUAUAACUGUUACAACGUGAAUAUACCAUUUAGCUCAGUUGAACAGCAAAGAAAGUGAUGUACUUGGGAUCACGCUAGGUAAUGUUAUAUUGUAAGCAUGAUGGCUAUACUUCAACCUAUUGUGCAGAUGAAUUGGCUUGAGUAUACAUUCAUCGUAUAGAGAUUAUGUGAAAAGUAUUUCAUCGAUUAUUUUGCCUACUUAUAUUAAGUAGUUGGUUUCUACCUUCAUCUGAUAGAUUGGCUAGAGCUUCACUUGAUAUUAUAUGAACUAGUCAGGUAACUAGAAUUUAGUAUUAUGACAUAACAUGAAUGUUAUACAACUGAAUGUAAUCUAGUUGAGUCAAUAACUAGAUUUGGAUAUGAUAUCAUACUUGUAUAAUCAAGUAGAUGUAAUUGCAUAGCAUUUGUUCUCUCCAAGUAGUGGAGGUUUACAUUGAACUACAGAAUAUGUGCCAUUAGUCUUUGAGUAUGACUUUAGUAAACCACUUCCCUUAUGUGUAAGGAGUAGUGAGAAGACUAUGAGUGAGUGACUAGGUGUAGUGUCACGUCCCAAUCCCCGCCAAUUUGGUCGGGUUCGGGUCACGUCAACAGACGCCGAACGGACAGAGCCUCCCCUGUCCGUCCAAGGCACCAACAACAUGUAUAAAUAGGCAAUCAACAAGAUAUUUGCAUAUAUAUAUAUUACAAGGCUUGCACGAGGGCAAGCAACAACGGAAGCGAAAGCUCUAAGCUAAAUAUACAACAUACAUGAUAUUUGAUUAAAUUUAAAUCAAAUACAAGUGAUUAAAACUAUUACAUUUCCACUCAACCAUCAUUUCUUUUUACAUUUAGCCAUCCACCAAAAUUACAUGAUUGUUUACAACUUUACAUCUCUAAAUCAACAAAAGAAGUUGAUACAUGUAUACCAAAAGGAAAAUGGCUACAAAAUACAUAAAGUUCCGGUGGCCGCUAUCUACGGCACUAUACCCUUGCCUCGGUCCUCCGCCGCCCCGCUCGUGCUAGGACCUGUAGGGUUAGUGGUGUGAGAACUACAACGAAGUUCCCAGUGGGUUCGGCAUCCGACCUCGCCGACUUACCCACUAGGUCUAUCCAGGCAUAAAUAUUUCAAGGAAAGAAAAGUAACCCGUAGGCUAACUCCGGAGUGCCGGCUUGUAGGGAGCGACCCUCACAAGCAUGUGCGAAUGAGCACAAAUGGCAAGCAAGCGUAGUCAAGGCUCAAGUAUCCAACCCUCAUGUCUCAACAUGGCAAUAGCCACUAGUAACCCAACGGUCUAGCUCUAUGACACAAAGUGAUAUCUCAACACUAACUUGCUUAGUGCCUCUUUAUGACACUUAAGCAUCACAACUAAUCAAGCUCAAUUCAUGUUCUAGGUUCCAAAUAUGACGUUAAUACCAAUGCUCACUAUAGCCCGGAGCCCAAUGCCUCUUUAUGACAUUGGCCCAAACUCUCAAAUAGUCUAAGUCCCCAAGCCUUUCUAGGCUUCCAAAAUCCCUAAUGUCACAAUUGGGCAUAUGGUUAAAAUGCAUGAAAGCAAUAUUCAUUUUCAUAAUAGGAAUCAUGGUCCCAAGCCCCAAUUAGAAUGCUAUGUCUCACAUGCAUGCACCCUACCACAUAGAGGUCCAAGAAUUUUACUGUACAUAACAUAUGCAUGUUAAGCAUUCUAAAAUUCAUAAUAAAUAUAUCUAACAUGAUUAUGCAUGCUUUAUCAAUUAACGAUACUCAAAACAUCACAAAUGAGAUUUUCUCAUUGUGUGGCUAGGUCAAACCCACCGAACCGUCGUGUAGUGCCUCGUUUCGCCGAACGAAGUUGUCCACGAGUCUCAAAAUACCCUAAAAGCAGUGAACGAAGAGAUACGCAAGCGUUACGAGCAACUUUAGGCUCAAACAUUAUCCACCACAAGAAAAGGGCAAAAACUCACCUAGGGGAUAGAAAUCCUCUCUCAAGCUCCAAAAGAAGGCUAGGAUCCUUCCAAUCUAACCCAAAGGAAGGCUCUAAUCCAAGAAAUUUAGCCUCAAAAGCCCUAGAUUCAAAAUGCCCAAAGUUAACCCUAAAAUCCCAUUCUAGGGCUCCAUCUACUAAAAAUCCUCAAAUCAAGGUCUAGAGGAAGGAAAUGAGCAACUAACCUCCUUAGAAGCUCCAAUCCAAGCUCCAAGGGUGAAGACCUCCUCUCUUGCAAGCUCCAAGUCCAAGCCUUCAAGCACCAACGAGGUGGGAAGAAAAAGAGAGGCAAAGAAAUGCUCCAAGUCCAAGCUAGAUCCUCCUCCUCUUCUUCUCUUUCUUCUUCUUCUUCUCCUUCUUCUCUCUCUAACAAGGGUGUGGGGAGAGUGUGAGAAGAGAAAUGAGAAGGAGAGAGGGUGGGGUGGCCAUAUAAGCCAUCUAGUGUAAUAAAAUCCCAAGAGGCCCCUCAAAAAUCCAAUAUUGCAACAGCCCAGUCUGGGCAGUUUUUGCACAGAGGGACCGGUCUCUCCCCAGCAGGGACCGGUCUCUCGUGUCGAACCCGAAAAACCAUUGUUCGGGAACCGACCUCUCCCCGCGCGUGACCGAUCUCUCACUGCGUAGACGUGCUCGGGGACCGGUCUCGCCCGCUAGGGACCGGUUGCCUCAGGGCUGCCGCAACGCUACUCACUGUGGGACCGGUCUCUCCUUUCAGGGACCGGUCCCCGAGAGUGAAAACUCUCAGGACUUGUCCAAAACUAAGGUCUUCGAACUUUUUAGGUCGGAAAACAUUCUACGACCCUCCACCGAGUGUGGAAAAGCUCGAAACACAUCCAAUCACGCGAACCCCGCAGUUUGCAACGGUCCAGUGUGUUACAUAACUUGUCUCCCGACCAAGUAGUGUGGAUCGGCAAAAAGUGCGCCGAUUUUGUCAACCGGUCCACAACUACCCAUAUCGCAUCGUGUCCACCUUGUGACCUAGGCAGACCUGUCACAAAGUCCAUUGCAAUAUCUUUCCAUUUCCACACGGGUAUAGGUAGACUCUGCAAUUUGCCCGCUGGAAAUCGACGCUCCGCCUUCACUUGUUGGCACGUGAGACAUUGCGCCACGAACUUCCCUAUGUCUUUCUUCAUGCCCGGCCACCAAUAAUGUAAUUUCAAGUCUCGAUACAUUUUGGUGCCGCCCGGGUGAAUGCUAUAGGGAGAUUGAUGCGCUUCUUGCAUAAUCGCCCUCCGAAGAUCGUCGUCCUUGGGCACGCACCAACGAUCCCGAUAUCGUAGUGCGCCGUCGGUUCCAAUGCCAAAAUCUUCGGCACUACCGCUCUCAACUUUGGCCCGCACCUUUUGGAGAAAUACAUCCGAUGUUUGCAAUCCUUUAAUUCUCUCCAUCAAGGUUGGUUGCACAACUAAAGUGGUAAGUGUUGCCAGCACUCUCGGCGCCACAACUUCUAGUCCAAACCGUUGCAUCUCCUUUUGCAAUGCCGGUUGAGGCGUAAUCUCCGUCGCCAAAUUUUCCGCCGACUUUCUACUUAGAGCAUCUGCCACGACGUUCGCUUUCCCGGGGUGGUAGAGAAUCGUGACGUCAUAAUCUUUGAGCAACUCUAACCACCGCCGCUGUCGCAAGUUUAGCUCCUUCUGGGUGAACAAGUAUUUGAGACUCUUAUGAUCGGUGUAGAUCUCACAAUGUUCCCCAUAUAGGUAAUGCCUCCACAGUUUUAGCGCGAAAACGACCGCCGCUAGCUCAAGAUCGUGAGUCGGGUAGUUUUUUUCAUAACUCUUCAACUGGCGCGAAGCAUAAGCUAUGACUCGGCCGUUUUGCAUUAAGACACAUCCGAGACCGAUACAUGAAGCAUCACUGUAUACGACAUAACUCUCUCCCGGCGUCGGUAAAGCAAGCACCGGAGUAGAUAUUAGUCUAUUCUUUAGCUCCUCAAAGCUCCGCUCACACUCGGGGCUCCAAACAUACUUCACCCCUUUGUGCGUAAGGCGCAUCAGUGCAGUCGUUAUCCUGGCGAACUCUUCCACGAACCGUCGGUAAUAGCCCGCAAGUCCAAGGAAGCUACGAAUUUUCGCUACACUUGUCGGGCGAGGCCAAUCUUUAAUCGCCUCAACUUUCUUUGGGUCCACCGAGAUGCCAUCUCCGGAUACAACGUGGCCCAAGAAGGUAACCUCCGAAAGCCAAAACUCGCAUUUCUUUAAUUUUGCGUAAAGCUUUUCCUUCCGGAGUAUCUCCAACACGAGUCUUAGGUGCUCCUCGUGUUCUUCUUCGGUUCGAGAAUAUACCAAUACGUCGUCAAUGAAAACCACGACACACCGGUCCAAUAGCGGACGGAAGAUCCGAUUCAUUAGGUCUAUAAAUGCCGUCGGGGCAUUAGUGAGCCCGAAUGGCAUGACCGUAAACUCAUAGUGGCCAUACCGCGUACGGUACGCUAUCUUGUGUACAUCUUUGGGUCGUAUCUUCAGUUGAUGAUACCCCGACUGCAGAUCAAUCUUGGAAUAUACCCUUGACCCUUGCAACUGGUCGAACCGGUCAUCAAUUCUUGGCAAUAGGUAUUUAUUCUUGAUCGUCACUCUAUUCAACUCGCGAUAAUCCACGCAGAGUCGGAGUGUGCCGUCUUUCUUCUUUACAAAUAGCACCGGAGCUCCCCACGGGGACACGCUCGGUCGUACGAAGCCUUUAUCGAGCAAAUCUUGUAAUUGAGCUUUCAACUCUUUUAGCUCCACCGGUGCCAUUCUGUAUGGAGCCUUCGAAAUUGGCGCCGCCCCGGGAAUCAAGUCAAUGACAAACUCGACUUCCCAAUCUGGGGGCAAUCCCGGUAACUCCGCUGGGAAUACAUCCAGAUACUCCCGCACAACUCAAAUACUCUCCAGUUCCGGGUACUCCUGUCGAAGGUCUACGAUGGUCGCCAAGUAGGCCUUACAACCACCCUUGAUCAUCCUUUUCGCCCUCACCGUCAAUAUAGUGGCUGCGAAACGCUUGCCUUUACACGCCCAAUAGACAACCUCCUCUUGGUUGGGUUCACGGAACGUGAUCACCCUUCUUUCGCAAUCUAUAACCGCGUAGUACUUGGAGAGCCAAUUGAUCCCCAAGAUUACCUCGAAUCCCCACAUUUCUUUCAAUACUAGAAGGUCGAUCGGCAUAAUCUAAUCACCUAUUUGCACCGGGCAGUCCAAGCACUCAUCGUAGACGUCGAUCGAGUGCUCGGGAGUGUUCACCAACCAAUACUCCUCAUUAUGAGUCAUCUCUAUAUUAUGAGCUUGUGCAAAUGAUGCUAAUAUGAAUGAAUGAGAUGCACCCGUAUCAAAUAUAGCUCUAACUCUAGUGCCUCUGAUCAGAAUAAUACCUGCCACCACGUCCUCGGGAACUAUGAUCGGCUGCUCCUCCACCUGAGUGGCAAAAACCCGCCCACUAGGUGCUCGAGAAGCCUCCAGCUGAUGAGGCACCGACGGUCGUCCAGUAGAUGUUGCAGGUGGCAGUCCCGCCAGCGGUCGCUAAGUGUAUUGAGCCGAAGCUGAUGACGGGGUUGGGGACACGCCGCCCGGGCACUCUCGGCCAAGGUGGCCCGCCUGGCCACACCGAUAGCAUCGCCCCUCUCGCUGUGGGCAAGAGGUAACCCGGUGGUCUUCACCGCAGAUUACACAUAGAUAGGCGACACGGCUCUGGGUCUGACUCCUACCUCCCCGCCAAUGUGAUCGUGGAGGUCGCGGGGGUCACUUAGAACUCGAUUGCCCCGCAGAUCCACCAGCCGGUCGCUUCUUGGUCUUAUCUUUUUCCCUGUCUCUCUCAAAAGUCUCGCGCUCAUCACGAUCAAUGGCAUUCCCGCGCUCCACCCAAAGCGCGCGAUCAAGCACUUCCUCAUAGGUCUUCAAGCGAAAUGCAUGAAUAACCUUGAAAAUCUCGGGUCGCAACUCGCGCUCGAAUACCUCCGCUCGGUCCCUAUCUCCAUGAACCAAGUCCGGCACACAGUUAAUCAUGUGCGUGAACUCCCUCUCGUACUCCCGCACUGAUCGGCUUCCUUGCCUUAACUUCUGAAAAUCCUCCUUGAUUUUCCUUUUGUCGCUUUCGAGGAAAUACUCCAUCAGCAGCAUCUCCCGGAACGCUUCCCAAGUAAGAAAAGGGUGCCCUAGCGAGCGAUUUUUCCUCGCUUGAUUCCACCACAACCGGGCCGACCCAUCAAAACAAUGAGCCGCCAAAUGAACUUUAUCCUUCUCGAGGGUAUAAAUAUCCUCGAACAAAGCUUCCAUCGCGGCUAGCUAGUUCUCUGUCGUCCACGGAUCCUUCACGUCACCAUUGAAGGUAUGAGGGUUGAACCACUUGAAUGCUGUCAGCGCCGCCAACGUGCGCUCCUGCUCGACCUCAAGUACAUCGAAAAUAGGAGCCGAUAAACCCGAUGCCGUCGGAGGAAUAGCCGUCACUGGCGCUGCCGCCAUCGCAGGAGGUGGUGCUACAGGAGCAGCCGGUGGGGGUGGAUCCCUUGGCACUGAUGCCGCUGCCGCCUGUUGCGCCAUCAUCUCGUGGAGCCGCCCUAUCUGCAACCCUUGAAUCCGCAUAGCCCCGGCCAAAGCCGCUACUUGGGCUCGCAACUCGCGCACGUCAUCCGUCCCCGACUGCCCGGGCUCUUCCCGAGGCUCCGCCGGUGUGGACCUCGUAACUCUCCUUGGUGGUGCCAUCAUGUCCUGAAACGCAAUGCACACACACAUUAGUAUUCGAAACACGUCACUUUUACACGUUCCAAAUAACUACCCAAUUAAGCGAAAGCAACAAGCAUAAUCGUGUCCACUCUCGGUGUCAUGUGGUCGGCCGCCCCACAAAGUCCCUUAAGUAGACAACAAUUAAGCCUUCGAGUCCAUCUCUACUUCCUUCUAGAGAAGCGUUAUCGUUGACCCAAUCACUCGCUUCCGCAUAAACCAAGUCCACAUUAAGCGUUUUCCUAGGUCCUUAUGGUCUCCAUACCUAUGGUUCCUAAGUCAUUUCUAGACUUUUGCUUUCCACUUCUCUCUUAUACCCUUAUAUCUGUCACGCCCCAAUCCCCGCCAAUUUGGUCGGGUUCGGGUCACGUCAACAGACGCCGAACGGACAGAGCCUCCCCUGUCCGUCCAAGGCUCCAACAACAUGUAUAAAUAGGCAAUGAACAAGAGAUUUGCAUAUAUAUAUUACAAGGCUUGCACGAGGGCAAGCAACAACGGAAGCGAAAGCUCUAAGCUAAAUAUACAACAUACAUGAUAUUNCAAAGUCCCUUAAGUAGACAACAAUUAAGCCUUCGAGUCCAUCUCUACUUCCUUCUAGAGAAGCGUUAUCGUUGACCCAAUCACUCGCUUCCGCAUAAACCAAGUCCACAUUAAGCGUUUUCCUAGGUCCUUAUGGUCUCCAUACCUAUGGUUCCUAAGUCAUUUCUAGACUUUUGCUUUCCACUUCUCUCUUAUACCCUUAUAUCUGUCACGCCCCAAUCCCCGCCAAUUUGGUCGGGUUCGGGUCACGUCAACAGACGCCGAACGGACAGAGCCUCCCCUGUCCGUCCAAGGCUCCAACAACAUGUAUAAAUAGGCAAUGAACAAGAGAUUUGCAUAUAUAUAUUACAAGGCUUGCACGAGGGCAAGCAACAACGGAAGCGAAAGCUCUAAGCUAAAUAUACAACAUACAUGAUAUUUGAUUAAAUUUAAAUCAAAUACAAGUGAUUAAAACUAUUACAUUUCCACUCAACCAUCAUUUUUUUUUUACAUUUAGCCAUCCACCAAAAUUACAUGAUUGUUUACAACUUUACAUCUCUAAAUCAACAAAAGAAAUUGAUACAUGUAUACCAAAAGGGAAAUGGCUACAAAAUACAUAAAGUUCCGGUGGCCACUAUCUACGGCACUAUACCCUUGCCUCGGUCCUCCGCCGCCCCGCUCGUGCUAGGACCUGUAGGGUUAGUGGUGUGAGAACUACAACGAAGUUUCCAGUGGGUUCGGCAUCCGACCUCGCCAACUUACCCACUAGGUCUAUCCAAGUAUAAGUAUUUCAAGGAAAGAAAAGUAACCAGUACUAAUGCAUUUAAUACUAUGCCUGCAGAAGAAUGUCAGUGGAUACAAAUACUCAAUGCAAUAACGAAAAAUGCGUGCAUGCUCAAUUCGUAAAUAAGCUUUGGCUCUUACCCAAUCUUACAGGUUAACCUUGUUAACCCCAAAAACUCAUAACCCAGAAUCCCUUUCUUUACCGGGGAGGCUCCAAGCACUACCGACCCGAGGGACCGUCUUCAGGGACCUCGCUCCCUGUGGUGUCGAUUUUCGGAAACACACUGCUUGAAGAGGAGCGACCUCCCUCAAGCCAAGACUUAUUAUGAGUGUCGAUCAAAUCCCCGCGUUGAGGAUAUUAAGCCACUUGUCACGAUGCCACUUUUGUGAUAGAUUUUCUACCGAUGUUCUCAUGCCACUUUCUAGUCGAUCUCGUCACAAUGCCACUAUAGUUAAAUCUAUGUUUAACAUCCAUUUAUCCAAGCCAAUCUAUCUCUCUAAUGUCAUUGUCACCAUUUGCUUACUUGUGCUAAGUCCAAGUCCGACUAUCAUGCAAUUCCUAGGGUUCAAUAACACAUGUCCAUCAUGGUCCCAUUUCUCUCUACUUUCAAAUACAUUUGGAAUAAACAUAAUGAAAACAACCGAAGUUCACAUAUGAAUUAACCCUAAUAUGCAUGACGGAAUGAAUAACCAUAUGUUCAAGAAUAGAGAAAUAGACAUAGAAGGGAAUCCAAUGAUUCCGGCGUGCACCCCCCACCUCUAGUAAUCGUGUGGGUGAGAAUACGAAACUCCUGAACACUACGAACGCCGGCUCCGCGUCCUACAACCCAAAAUGGUGCCAAAUUAGGCCCUUUACAUAUGAACUACUCCCAAACAUUUUCGUAAUGUUAAACGGAGUUGUCCCACGCGUUUAGGACACCCCCAAUUAGGUUUCUACGGGGUCAAUUUGUCCCCGAAAAAUCCUAGGGCAAAGGCCCCAAUUUUCAAGCCCUAAUAUUGUCAUUUAGGGUUUCCCCAUGAAUCGAUCUCAACCCUAAGCAAAUAAUAGCUUAGAUUCAUCUAAGGAACAUCUUAGUAAGGUUUCUAGACCUUUGGAACCAACCUUAAGGCUCCUAACUCAACUUCCAAGGGUUCACCAUGAGAGCACCUUUAGCUCUCAUGGAUACCUUGUUGUUCAUGGCUCAAAAGAGUCUCUAAAACCCCUAAGGAGCACAAAGCUCAAAUCCCUUAGGUUAAAACCCAAACCCUAGAGGAAAACCUCACAAAACUUACCUCUAGUCCAGGCUCUUCUAAGAUUCUUCUUGUUGGAGAGCUCCUGGAACCUCCAAAGCAUCAAAUCCACCUUCUUCUCCAAGUUCUUCUUCUUCUUCUCCAAGCUCUAGGAGAGUUCUAGAGAGAGAAAGUGAGAAAAUGAGAGAGGGGGAGAGGAAUGGCUGUGGGAGAGAGGGGAUGGCCCAUAUAAAGUAUUAUGACAAUUGCAUUUAAGCCCCUCCACUUGUUUCCUCUUGAUCUGCCUAGACUGGGCAUUUUUUGCCUUCGGGGACCGGUCUCCCCGACCAGGGACCAGUUCCCGAACGUGGGUUUUCCAGGACUUAGCCAAAUUUUCGGGUUUUUCAGCUGCUGCGCAGCGAGGGACCGGUUUGCCCUUCAGGGACCGGUCUCCCGAGGACCGGUCUCACCACCAGGGACCGGAUGCCUCAGGAUUUCCUGGCAGGCUACGCGUACGGGGACUGGUCUCUCCUUCAGGGACCGGUCCCCGAGAGCACAAAAUCUGGGACUUAGCCAGAUUUCCAGAUUUACUCUCUCGGGUCCCUUUUAGCUUCACUUAUGGACUCUAAUGCUCUUAGGGUCCACUCUAACUCAUUCAACACCGCGUUCCGCUCGUUUCGACGGAACUCGGCACGAUUUACGAGGGACGUUGUAUGUUACAUGUAGCCUGAUAGAAUCACUAGUACGAUGUAAAGCUUAAACUUAUUAAGUUAUACUAGCUAUUGAUAGUGAAUUAUGUUAACAAGUAGUUGAUAGCAAUUUAUAACUUGGUGCUACAGUGUCGACCUUGGGUCGAGUUGAGAUUCCAUGAUGUCGUUGUGAUAUUGUAUAAUUGAUUACAGCUUGCAUACUAGACAGCCUUCGGGUGGGUCUUCAUAUUAGACAGCCUUUGGGUGGGUCUUCAUAUUAGACAGCCUUCGGGUGGGUCUUCAUACUAGACAGCCUUCGGGUGGGUCUUCAUACUAGACAGCCUUCGGGUGGGUCUUACAAGAUUUAAACUUUAAGUAGUUAACGACAAGUGGACAUUGACUAGAAUAGUGAACAAUGACAUCUUUAUCAUUUACAUUGUGGACAUUGUGUCGGUCGGAUAUUUAUUGAUGAACAAGCUAGAAAGCUGACAUUUUGACUAGUUAGUAACAUAAUGACAGUAUGUCUCAUUAUUGCUAAUGUAGAAGGUAAUUACAUAAUGUUAUCAGUUAUCUGAGCAAUGAUGAAUUAUCUUGCUUACAAUCUGGUAAAUGACUAGUUAAAAUUUUCAACUAAUAUGAAUGAUAGAAUCUAUCAUAAUAAACUAGUACCUGCAACCUGUUGAUAUAUGUUUAUUUCUGAGCAAAUAGCAUGAUUGGUUUAUUUUCAUCCCUGUUACAGUUAUUUACAUAUUUAUUGCUAUUUACUCAUGCCAUAGUUGACCUAGUAGUGUACUUCGCCACUCUCGGCGGCUUACCCACUGGGAACUAUUGUUUAAUAGUUCUCACGCCCUCUUUGUUGUUGUUUUUACAGAGCCUUCCACUACGGGAAAGGCUAAGGUUCCUGGCGAGGAGUCAGCGGCUAGCUAGAGCCUUCUGGACGUUUACUAGACAACCUUUAUCAGUCUAUGUAGUUUAGUUUACUGAUGUAUAUUAAGCUCAUGUACACUGUACUUUGUUCUUAUCUAUUGUAAUAAGGUUUGGAUUGUAUAAGUUAAACUUUUAAGCUUUGCUAUGAUUACCUGAAUAGAAUCGAAUGCUUUUACUAUAUUGAUUGUAGACGCCUGGUGUAUACUUGAGUUAUGGUGUACACGGCGGGUCUGUGCAUGCGACUGGUGAGCUUCCGCUGAAAUCCAGGGCGUGACAAUAUCCGGAUAGGUCGUCGGUGGACGCAUGAAUCAUUGGCAGUGUCUGCUCUGUGACAGGCAACGCUUGAGGUCUGCGGACAAAUAUAGUUGUCACGUCCCGCUAUCGCCAAUUUGGUCGAUCCGGGCCCGUACACAGACGCCAAACGGACAGAACCUCCUCUGUCCGCCCAAGGCUCAACAACAACGAGUAUAUGUAUAAAGAAAUAAACAAUUCCCAGGAUAACAUUUCAAUAUACAUGGCUUGCACGAGGGCAAGCAACAACCACAAGUGAUAGUAAGCUAACUAAACAUGAAAUUCACUGUAAUUUAAAACUUUCAAACUGAACUGUAUAACUUAAACAUUUAGUUAUCUACAUGCUUUAUAAUACAUUCAUUCACAUGUCACUGUACAUCAAAAGGUCUCACAUGAACUCAAAAUGGUAAAGUACUAUACUCUGGUGUCAGCUAGCUACACUGCGGGGCUCUUGCCACGAUCCUUGGCCACACCGCUCGCACUGGAACCUGUAUAGUUAGUGGUGUGAGAACUACAGAAAAGUUCCCAGUGGGUUCGGCCGCCGACCUCGCCGACUCACCCACUAGGUCUACUCAGGCAUAUGUAGGCAAGAAAGGUAAAACAGAUAGUAACCAACUAUAUAUGUAACUACUACAAUGCCUGUACAAAGCUGGAAGAAAGCAAUAUAUGAAAACUGUAAAUAUGCAUGCAUGCUUUUACUGAGUUUACCCAAUUCAUUUUGGUUAACCCUUUGGUUAAUAAUUACUCACUGACGCUAUCCCAAAUAUCGGGGAGACGCACCUGCACCCGAUGGGACCGUCAACUGGGGGAGACGCACCUCCUGGUCCAGUAAAGAUGACUACUCCGGAGCUCAUCGUUCAAGGAGGAGCGACCUCACUUGAACCAAACAAAUGUGAGUAUGAUCUGAUCCUCUUUAGAGGAUUCAACUGACAAACACUGUCACACUUUACUCUAACUAGUUCUUUAUACUAGUUUCACAAUUUCAUUUCUCGAUGCUAACCAAAUCUCUAGUUGAAUGUCACCAAGUUUACUAUUGCUAUAGUCCAUACAUUCAUAGGGUUCUAUGUCCACAUUCUAAGUUCACAUUUUCUCAACAUUGAUAAACAUUCACAUAUUCAACUAUCACUUGCAUAAUAUCACUACCCUAUGAUGCAUGAAUACAAGUAAUAUGCUCAAUGGAAAACCAUAGACAUAAAAGGUGAUUCAAAGACUUCGGAUAGCACCACCCACCUGUAGGGAUGCCAACUAACUGGAAUCCACGUCUCGAACUGUGUCAAUGAUGAUCUCACGCGACCCAACGCAAAUAAAUCCUAAACGGCUUUUACCGUAAUUAGUGCGUCGCCGACCUGUCGGAAGGUCAAUUUAGACUUCCGAGCAUGUUUAACUUUCAUUUAUAUAAAAAUAAAAGAGGUUACACUAGAAUCAUAUUUACAUAUUUUACAAGUUUGCAUUUCCAUUUCAAUUGCUUGUGUAUAAAUAUAUAUAGUAUCAAUAUCUUUAUACACAUAGUCUGUCAUUAAACCCCCCUAUGGCAGUUUAAAAUUCUUAAGCCAAACAAUUCAUAAUUACUCCUUUAAGGCAGUAAACAUCAAUUCUAAUAUUUAACAUCUCAAUUCUAACUUGCGUUUAUGUAUGUACUACUAACAUAUGCAUAUACUUGUCUUACUAUUAAGUUCUCUACUUCACUUUAAUAAUUAAGAACUAGGAACAACUAGUAUCUACUUUAAACAGGAUUUAACAUGGUCCCAAUUCAGCUUUUGGCUUCCCAUAAUUAUUCACAUGUAUAUGUACAUGUAGUAUGCCGUUUUAUAGUAGCUGAAUACUAAUUCCAGCAUCUACAUAUUAAUCAAGAUCCUUCCAAUCCAGAAUUGGGAGUCAAUUUAUCUUAAUACUUGUCAUUUCAUUAAAGUAAGGUACACCAUUCAAUCAGGAUUUGGAUUCAUUUACCUCAAUUUUGAGCUCCUCCUGCUCAAUUAACUAGCAAGCUCUCAACCUUCACUCCCUCUUUAAAUCUGGGUACCCAGAAAUUCCUGAAGCCGCAGCAGCUUCACAAUUGGGUCUUCGCUUUGGCAAUCCCAACAGCCCGCACACAGCUUAAUCUGUCCACUGCAGUAACAACCCUCUAGUUGUACUCAUUUUCUUAAUAAAAUUAGUUAGAUUGUCAUUAUCUAUUAGGUACACUUUACCUUUAUUUGAUAAUUCUCUAGAUCACUCUCAAUUCAAGAGGCCCAAUUCUUCUACUAGAUAGCUCCAACAAUAGGGACACUCUCCUUCAGCUGCAAAUCUAAUUCGGCAGCACCACUCAACUCGAAGCUCCAAAUUAGCCACUUUCAGCAACAAAAAUCCAUAUAUGCCUCUUUUCUAAAGUAAUUAAUUUGUCUAGGAACAAAUACUAAUCAAAUUUACCUUGACUUAGAUAUCUCACCAAAUCUCUCUCUUUCUCUCAAUUCGAAUAGCCCAAGCCUCCUGUUCGGCUACUCCAACAGCAGGAACUUCCUCCAAUUCUGCUGCCCAGUUCACCAAAUUGCAAUUUCCUGGCAGCUAAUACACCUUAGUUAACUUUUCUCUAAGGUAAGCAAUUCAAUUAUAAUUAAAAAUCCAUUCAAUCUUACCUUAAUUUCAAGGUUCCACAGCUGAUACUCAGCUUCCAAAACUUUCUUUUCAGCUCACAACACAUAAACUUCUACUUAAAUUCCUGCACACAUAUAUCAAUUGGUUCAUUGAAAAGCUAUUCUAAAGCAAUUACAACAAUCCUAAUCGAACAAUAAGUCUUCUACCUUAAUUAAGUGCUCUUCCAAAUUGCCCUUUGCUGAAUUUAACUUGCUCACAGCUUCAAAUUUCUUCUCAGCUCCACAAGGUUGCUUCUUUGCUCCAACAACAAGAAAUCCUACUCCACCAAGCUUUUCUUCCCUAGCUUGCUCUUAGGGUUAAGAAAGAAAAGAAAGAUGAAAAGGAUGAGAAAGGAGCUGUGGAAAAACAAUCCCUGAUACGUAGGCAGGUGUAGGCAACUUGGGGCUAAGUGAUAAGCUCAAAAAACUACACCUUAGCCCUUCAAACUGCUGAAACUGCAGUGCAGUCCAGAAAUUCGCAGUUCAGUCCCUGCAGGUUCACAGUUUAGUCCCUGCAGGUUCGCGGUUUAGUCCCUGCACUAACCAAUAGCUUGGUAGCAGUAACUUGAAGCCCUAUUUCGCGUCUUGUUUGCUUCGAACACAUCUAAUCACUUCCAAAUAACACUAAUAAACCUUAACAAGCUAUCAAAUUAAUUUGGAAGCAGUUCAUUUCAAAUUUGGCAUCAAAUUGACUAUUUUUGACCAAAUUGACCCAAAAUUUCAGCAUUAAGGUAACUUCGGCAAUUGGAGUUCUCUUGCCACUUCGAUUCCAUUCUUAUACAUUCCCACACUUCCAAAAUAUGUCAACGACAGAUCACAAGCUGCUAGUUAAGUUUAAAAUUACUUAAUUUGCAUUUUAGCAUUAUUGUGGUCACUUUGAUCACAAUUAGCCUAUAAUCGAAAUUCAGUCCAUUACAAUCUCCCCUCCUUAAAUUGUUUCGUCCUCGAAACUUAAAUUCAUACCUCAAGUUUCCUGGAGGAAUAGAUGGGGAUAGGCUUCACGCAUGGCAUCCUCCAAUUCCCAAGUGGCCUCUCGUCCUGAGUGAUUACUCCAUUGUACUUUCACGUAGGGGAUAGUGCGAUUUCGCAGCUCUCGCACUUCUCGAUCAAGGAUACAUACUGGAUACUCUUCAUAGGUCAUAUCCUCUUGUAGAUCUACAGGCUCGUACUCCAUAACAUGCCCUGAAUGAUGCACAUAUUUUCGGAGAUUCGAAAUAUGAAAUACAUUGUGAAUUCCUUCAAAUUUCGGCGGUAGAGCCAAUCUAUAAGCUACUGCUCCCACUCGCUCUAGGAUCUCGUAAGGUCCAAUGUAUCGAGGACUAAGCUUUCCUCGAACACCAAAUCUCUUUAUCCCGCGCAUUGGCGAUACCUUCAAGAAUACCCGAUCGCCAACCGCAAACUCCAAGUUCUUUCGGCGUUUAUUUGCAUAACUCUGCUGCUGUGACUGAGCUGUCAACAACCUCUGGCGGACUAGGCGCACUUUUUUCUCCGCCUCCUGGAGUACAUCAGGACCAAGCAUCAUUCUUUCUCCUACCUCACUCCAAUGGAUAGGGGAUCGACACUUUCUUCCGUAGAGAGCUUCAAACGGUGCCAUUGCGAUACUUCCUUGGUAGCUAUUAUUAUAUGCAAAUUCAGCCAUCGCUAAGGAAUCAUGCCAACUCCCUCUGAAGUCAAGUACACACGCCCGUAGCAUGUCCUCCAAUAUCUGAAUCGUCCUCUCCGACUGUCCGUCGGUCUGAGGAUGAAAAGCUGUACUAAAAUCAAGACGUGUGCCAAGAGCAUCCUGUAAACUCCUCCAGAAGUGAGAUGUGAACCGCGGGUCUCGAUCAGAUACAAUCGACGUCGGGACUCCGUGUAAUCUCACAAUCUCGUCGAGGUACACCUGUGCUAACUUGUCCCCUGACCAAGUAACAUGAAUCGGCAAGAAAUGCGCCGAUUUCGUCAAUCGAUCAACAAUCACCCAAAUAGUGUCAUGUCCAGCCUGCGAGCGAGGUAACCCAACAAUGAAGUCCAUCGCAAUGUUCUCCCACUUCCAGACUGGAAUAGGCAAGCUCUGUAACUUUCCUGCGGAAAAUCUCCGCUCAGCUUUAACUUGCUGACAAGUCAAACACUGCGCUACAAACUGUCCAACAUCCUUCUUCGUUCCAGGCCACCAAUAAUGCACUUUAAGAUCUUUGUACAUCUUAGUGCCACCUGGAUGUAAACUAUAAGGUGACUGAUGAGCUUCCUGUAGUAUAGCCUUCUGAACCUCCUCGUCUUUAGGCACGCACAACCGGUUGCGAAACCGAAGUGCACCGUCAGAUCCCACUGUAAAAUCAUCCCCUCGCCCGCUCUCAACUGCACACCGUACUUUUUGGAGGUACGGAUCUAAAGAUUGCCGAUCUUUAAUCCGUUCCGAUAAAGUCAGUUGAACAACUAGGGCGGCAAGAAUAGCUGGUACAUCUGGAGCUACUACCUCAAGAUCAAACCGCCGCAUUUCAUUCUGCAAGGACGGUUGAUGCGUGAUCAUCAUAGCCAAAUUCUCCACUGACUUCCUACUUAAUGCAUCUGCAACCACAUUCGCCUUUCCUGGGUGGUAUAGAAUAUUAACAUCAUAAUCUUUCAAUAAUUCUAACCACCGGCGUUGUCGCAUGUUCAGCUCUUUUUGGGUGAAUAAAUACUUCAGGCUCUUGUGAUCAGUAUAAACCUCACAAUGCUCGCCAUAAAGAUAAUGUCUCCACAACUUCAGUGCGAAGAUCACCGCCGCCAAUUCCAAAUCAUGAAUAGGAUAAUUCUUUUCAUAGUUUUUCAACUGGCGAGACGCAUAAGCAAUCACUCGACCACCCUGCAUAAGCACACACCCAAGUCCACUGUAGGAAGCAUCACUGUAGAUCACAAAACUCUCCCCUGAAAUCGGCAAGGCCAGAAUAGGAGUCGACGUCAACCUUUCUUUCAACUCCCGAAAACUACGAUCACAUUCUUCGCUCCACACAUAUUUGGUUCCUUUAUGUGUAAGACGCGUUAGUGGAGUAGUAAUCUUCGCAAACCCCUCCAUGAACCGUCUAUAGUAUCCCGCUAGUCCAAGGAAACUGCGGAUCUCUGGAACAGUCGUCGGGCGAGGCCAAUCUUUAAUUGCCUCUACUUUCUUUGGGUCAACAGCUACACCACCCUCAGAAAUCACAUGCCCCAAAAAUGCGACCUCUCGCAGCCAAAAUUCACAUUUCUUCAAUUUGGCAUAUAAUUGUUUUUCUCGAAGAAUUUGCAUAACUAUCCUCAAGUGUUCUUCAUGCUCUUCAUUACUUCGAGAAAAGAUCAGGAUAUCAUCUAUAAAUACCACCACACACUGAUCCAACAGCGGCUUAAAGAUCCUGUUCAUCAGAUCCAUAAAUGCUGCAGGGGCAUUGGUCAGUCCAAAUGGCAUCACUGUAAACUCAUAGUGACCAUAUCGAGUGCGAAACGCUGUCUUGUGUACAUCCUCUGGCUUGAUCUUCAAUUGAUGAUAACCCGAUUGAAGAUCAAUCUUCGAAUACACCCGUGAUCCUUGCAAUUGAUCAAAUAAGUCAUCAAUUCGCGGCAAUGGAUAUUUAUUCUUAAUCGUGAUCUUAUUCAGUUCACGGUAAUCAACACAAAGACGAAGUGUUCCGUCUUUCUUCUUUACAAACAAAACAGGAGCUCCCCAGGGUGAUACACUAGGCUUCACAAAGCCUUUAUCCAUCAAAUCCUGCAACUGAGCUUUCAACUCUCUCAACUCAGCUGGUGCCAUUCUGUACGGAGCCUUCGAAAUUGGCGCCGUCCCGGGAACCAAGUCAAUAACGAACUCAAUUUCCCGAUCCGGUGGCAAUCCCGGUAACUCCGCAGGAAACACAUCAGGAAACUCUCGAACCACUGGAAUAUCACUCAGUGCUGGAAGUUCCUUUUGAGUCUCCACUACAGUCGCCAAAUAAGCCGCACAUCCACUACUAAUCAACUUUCUUGCCCUCGUCGACGAUACAGUCAGUGCAAAGAGCGAACUCUUGCACGCCCGAUAUACAACUUCUUUUUGCCCGGGUUCACGAAAAGUAAUAACUUUACUUUCACAAUCAAUCAUGGCAUAAUAUUUUGUAAGCCAAUCCAUUCCAAGGAUUAUAUCAAAACCUUUCAUUUGAUUCAACACUAGCAAAUCAGCUGGCAUAAUCCAAUCUCCAACCUGAACUGGACACGCCGCACACUCCUCGUGAACACUAAACGUGUGCUCAGGAGCAUAGACCCACCAGGCAUCUGGCCUAUCCGAAAUCUCAAUAUCAUGUGUUUUAGCAAAUAAACUACUGAUGAAUGAAUGAGAUGCACCAGUGUCAAACAAUGCACGAGAUCUAAUACCAUAAAGUAGAACAAUACCUGCCACGACAUCGUCGACCACGGCAGGAUCCUCUGUCUGAGCUGCAAAUACACGACCACUCGGCGCAGGUCGAGGUGCCUCUGUACGGGUACUCGGUGCAGGUCGGGGUGGCUCGUACUGACGCGGCACAAAAGUACGUCCAGCUGACAUAGCGGGUGGGAGACCCGCACGCUGCCUCGCAGGUGACUGGACUGAAGCUGUCGACUGUGCAGAUGAUGCUCCCCUCGGGCAAUCACGAAUCAUAUGUCCCGGCUGCCCACACUUAAAACAUUUACCUUCCCGCUGUGGACAAGCCACCGGUCGAUGAUUUCCGCCGCAUAUCACACAUCUCGGGGGUCCCUGAUACCUCGACUGAGAACGUGGAUAACGAGGGGGCCGUUUAGAGCUCGACUGUCCCCCGGCACCACUAGUAGUCCUCUUCUUUCCUUUUUCUCUUUCUCGUUCUCUUUCAAACGAUUCGCGUUCAUCACGCGCAAUCGCAUUUCCACGCUCAACCCAAAGAGCUCGAUCUAGAACUUCCUCAAAAGUUUUUAACUUCAGAGCAUUAACUGUCCUGAAUAUGUCAGGUCGCAACCCCCGCUCAAAGUACUCUGCUCGAUCUCGAUCCGUAUGAACCAUACCAGGUACACAGUUCACCAAAUGAGUAAAUUCCCGUUCGUACUCCCGUACCGAACGGUUCCCCUGUCUCAUCUUGCGGAAGUCUUCCUUCAUUUUCCUUUUAUCACUGUCGGGAAAGUACUCCAUAAAUAACAUCUCUCGAAACUCCUCCCAAGUGAGCGGUGGUAGGUUUGGUGCCCGCUUCUUCUUGGCCUUUUGCCACCAAAUCUGAGCAUCUUUCUCAAAGCAGUGUGCCGCCAAAGGAACCUUAUCCCUUUCCAAAGUGUAAAUAUCCUCGAAUAAGGCCUCCAUCGCUGUAAGCCAUGUCUCUACUACCCACGGAUCAGCUUCUUUUCCAUCAAACAUAGGCGGAUUAAACCGCAUAAAUGCCUCUAGUACCUUUAUAAAUCGUGCGCGCUCAACCUCUAACGCGGUCACAUCAGAACCAGAGGGCCCAGAAACCACUGGAGGAACAGUCGGCGAAACAGGAGGCACGAUCGUCGGCGCCUCGGAUACGGGUACAUCCUGACUCCCCGGUACUGCUGUCUUUGCCUGUCGCGACAUUAGAUCCUGUAACUCUUUAUAUGCUCCUCCUGUCUCUGCAUAGCCCCGACUAACGCGCUUACCUGAGCACGCAACUCUUGGACCUCAUCAGAUCCAGACUGCUCUGGCACCUCAGAAGGUAAUGCCGGAGUGGAUCUCGUCGCACGUCGCGGUGGCAUUUCUCCUGAAACGAACCAUUCACAUUAGUAAAACAAAACCAAUCAGGCGAAAGCAAUCAAGCGUAUUUAUACUCAACCCUUAGCUUUAUGUUGUUGGCCACCAACAUAACUCCUUAAGUUGUGUAUAAAUAACACUUAGAUCAGCCCCUAAUUAACAUUAGAGACUUACUAACAACUAACCCAAUUUGUUUAGCUUUCGCUAUUAUUNAUUCACAUUAGUAAAACAAAACCAAUCAGGCGAAAGCAAUCAAGCGUAUUUAUACUCAACCCUUAGCUUUAUGUUGUUGGCCACCAACAUAACUCCUUAAGUUGUGUAUAAAUAACACUUAGAUCAGCCCCUAAUUAACAUUAGAGACUUACUAACAACUAACCCAAUUUGUUUAGCUUUCGCUAUUAUUAAAUUAACGCCACUCGCGUUCCUGGUUCCUAGGUUUCCAAUCCUAAGUCCCCUAGGUCAUCCUAGACUUUUACUAUCACUUGCUUUGAUACCACUUUAUCUGUCACGUCCCGCUAUCGCCAAUUUGGUCGAUCCGGGCCCGUACACAGACGCCGAACGGACAGAACCUCCUCUGUCCGCCCAAGGCUCAACAACAACGAGUAUAUGUAUAAAGAAAUAAACAAUUCCCAGGAUAACAUUUCAAUAUACAUGGCUUGCUCUAAGCUAAAUAUACAACAUACAUGAUAUUUGAUUAAAUUUAAAUCAAAUACAAGUGAUUAAAACUAUUACAUUUCCACUCAACCAUCAUUUUUUUUUUACAUUUAGCCAUCCACCAAAAUUACAUGAUUGUUUACAACUUUACAUCUCUAAAUCAACAAAAGAAAUUGAUACAUGUAUACCAAAAGGGAAAUGGCUACAAAAUACAUAAAGUUCCGGUGGCCACUAUCUACGGCACUAUACCCUUGCCUCGGUCCUCCGCCGCCCCGCUCGUGCUAGGACCUGUAGGGUUAGUGGUGUGAGAACUACAACGAAGUUUCCAGUGGGUUCGGCAUCCGACCUCGCCAACUUACCCACUAGGUCUAUCCAAGUAUAAGUAUUUCAAGGAAAGAAAAGUAACCAGUACUAAUGCAUUUAAUACUAUGCCUGCAGAAGAAUGUCAGUGGAUACAAAUACUCAAUGCAAUAACGAAAAAUGCGUGCAUGCUCAAUUCGUAAAUAAGCUUUGGCUCUUACCCAAUCUUACAGGUUAACCUUGUUAACCCCAAAAACUCAUAACCCAGAAUCCCUUUCUUUACCGGGGAGGCUCCAAGCACUACCGACCCGAGGGACCGUCUUCAGGGACCUCGCUCCCUGUGGUGUCGAUUUUCGGAAACACACUGCUUGAAGGAGGAGCGACCUCACUUGAACCAAACAAAUGUGAGUAUGAUCUGAUCCUCUUUAGAGGAUAUGAAAACACUGUCACACUUUACUCUAACUAGUUCUUUAUACUAGUUUCACAAUUCAUUUCUCGAUGCUAACCAAAUCUCAGUUGAAUGUCACCAAGUUUACUAUUGCUAUAGUCAUGCAAUUCCUAGGGUUCAAUAACACAUGUCCAUCAUGGUCCCAUUUCUCUCUACUUUCAAAUACAUUUGGAAUAAACAUAAUGAAAACAACCGAAGUUCACAUAUGAAUUAACCCUAAUAUGCAUGACGGAAUGAAUAACCAUAUGUUCAAGAAUAGAGAAAUAGACAUAGAAGGGAAUCCAAAGACUUCGGAUAGCACCACCCACCUGUAGGGAUGCCAACUAACUGGAAUCCACGUCUCGAACUGUGUCAAUGAUGAUCUCACGCGACCCAACGCAAAUAAAUCCUAAACGGCUUUUACCGUAAUUAGUGCGUCGCCGACCUGUCGGAAGGUCAAUUUAGACUUCCGAGCAUGUUUAACUUUCAUUUAUAUAAAAAUAAAAGAGGUUACACUAGAAUCAUAUUUACAUAUUUUACAAGUUUGUAUUUCCAUUUCAAUUGCUUGUGUAUAAAUAUAUAUAGUAUCAAUAUCUUUAUACACAUAGUCUGUCAUUAAACCCCCCUAUGGCAGUUUAAAAUUCUUAAGCCAAACAAUUCAUAAUUACUCCUUUAAGGCAGUAAACAUCAAUUCUAAUAUUUAACAUCUCAAUUCUAACUUGCGUUUAUGUAUGUACUACUAACAUAUGCAUAUACUUGUCUUACUAUUAAGUUCUCUACUUCACUUUAAUAAUUAAGAACUAGGAACAACUAGUAUCUACUUAAACAGGAUUUAACAUGGUCCCAAUUCAGCUUUUGGCUUCCCAUAAUUAUUCACAUGUAUAUGUACAUGUAGUAUGCUGUUUUGUAGUAGCUGAAUACUAAUUCCAGCAUCUACAUAUUAAUCAAGAUCCUUCCAAUCCAGAAUUGGGAGUCAAUUUAUCUUAAUACUUGUCAUUUCAUUAAAGUAAGGUACAUCAUUCAAUCAGGAUUUGGAUUCAUUUACCUCAAUUUUGAGCUCCUCCUGCUCAAUUAACUAGCAAGCUCUCAACCUUCACUCCCUCUUUAAAUCUGGGUACCCAGAAAUUCCUGAAGCCGCAGCAGCUUCACAAUUGGGUCUUCGCUUUGGCAAUCCCAACAGCCCGCACACAGCUUAAUCUGUCCACUGCAGUAACAACCCUCUAGUUGUACUCAUUUUCUUAAUAAAAUUGUUAGAUUAUCAUUAUCUAUUAGGUACACUUUACCUUUAUUUGAUAAUUCUCUAGAUCACUCUCAAUUCAAGAGGCCCAAUUCUUCUACUAGAUAGCUCCAACAACAGGGACACUAUCCUUCAGCUGCAACUCUAAUUCGGCAGCACCACUCAACUCGAAGCUCCAAAUUAGCCACUUUCAGCAACAAAAAUCCAUAUAUGCCUCUUUUCUAAAGUAAUUAAUUUGUCUAGGAACAAAUACUAAUCAAACUUACCUUGACUUAGAUAUCUCACCAAAUCUCUCUCUUUCUCUCAAUUCGAAUAGCCCAAGCCUCCUGUUCGGCUACUCCAACAGCAGGAACUUCCUCCAAUUCUGCUGCCCAGUUCACCAAAUUGCAAUUUCCUGGCAGCUAAUACACCUUAGUUAACUUUUCUCUAAGGUAAGCAAUUCAAUUAUAAUUAAAAAUCCAUUCAAUCUUACCUUAAUUUCAAGGUUCCACAGCUGAUACUCAGCUUCCAAAACUUUCUUUUCAGCUCACAACACAUAAACUUCUACUUAAAUUCCUGCACACAUAUAUCAAUUGGUUCAUUGAAAAGCUAUUCUAAAGCAAUUACAACAAUCCUAAUCGAACAACAAGUCUUCUACCUUAAUUAAGUGCUCUUCCAAAUUGCCCUUUGCUGAAUUUAACUUGCUCACAGCUUCAAAUUUCUUCUCAGCUCCACAAGGUUGCUUCUUUGCUCCAACAACAAGAAAUCCUACUCCACCAAGCUUUUCUUCCCUAGCUUGCUCUUAGGGUUGAGAAAGAAAAGAAAGAUGAAAAGGAUGAGAAAGGAGCUGUGGGAAAAAAAUCCCUGAUACGUAGGCAGGUGUAGGCAACUUGGGGCUAAGUGAUAAGCUCAAAAAACUACACCUUAGCCCUUCAAACUGCUGAAACUGCAGUGCAGUCCAGAAAUUCGCAGUUCAGUCCCUGCAGGUUCACAGUUUAGUCCCUGCAGGUUCGCGGUUUAGUCCCUGCACUAACCAAUAGCUUGGUAGCAGUAACUUGAAGCCCUAUUUCGCGUCUUGUUUGCUUCGAACACAUCUAAUCACUUCCAAAUAACACUAAUAAACCUUAACAAGCUAUCAAAUUAAUUUGGAAGCAGUUCAUUUCAAAUUUUGCAUCAAAUUGACUAUUUUUGACCAAAUUGACCCAAAAUUUCAGCAUUAAGGUAACUUCGGCAAUUGGAGUUCUCUUGCCACUUCGAUUCCAUUCUUAUACAUUCCCACACUUCCAAAAUAUGUCAACGACGGAUCACAAGCUGCUAGUUAAGUUUAAAAUUACUUAAUUUGCAUUUUAGCAUUAUUGUGGUCACUUUGAUCACAAUUAGCCUAUAAUCGAAAUUCAGUCCAUUACAAUAGUAGCAUCAGAUUGGGUUUGAUUUUGGACUAUUUACCUUUGAGGCAUCCAUUUAGUUGAGUUUUGUUACAGUAUUAGUUUCGUUCUUGCUCUGUUAUUAUCUUGUUUCUAUUACUUCUGUAGUUGCUCUUGUAUCAUACCAUAUACAUAUCUGUUGUUCUAUCUCCUUUGGUUUUCGGUGAUUACGGCUUGCCUUCAUGGCUCUGUCGUACCCACUGGGAAACCUUGAUUGCGGUUUCUCCCCCCAUUUCUCCAGGUGAUUCGGGCAAGGAGUUGGCUUUUGGGCACGACGAGAAAACGAUCUAGCUAGCCUGCCGUAGCGACCGUCACCCGGGUUACUUUUAUUUCCGCAUUUAGUAGUUUAAUAAAUAAAUGGUUCAGUUAGAUGAUCCCUAUGAUUGUUUGAUUGUUAGUGAAUUGGUUUUAGUGGAUGUUUUCGUUAUACAUGCACAUGAUUAGAGAUUUGUGGAUCUGGGUUUUGGUUUUAUGGAUAUUUGAUUCUUGUAUUUACGCAUCGUGGUUUUCUACCCCUCAAGGUAGUCUGUUUUCAAAAUGGAGUUUCCGAGUGGGAAACAAUUUUGAAAAGAUUUUCGAAUGAUUUUCGUGAAUGAUUGAAGUAGAGUUUAAAAACAAAACUUUCGGAUGGGGAACACUUUUAAAUAUGAUGCUUGUUGUAUUGUGCAUUGUAUCAUCCAGCACGUAAGGAGUGUUUAGAGACAUGCAUUAUCUCUAAGGAUCGCUAGCUGUAUGGAAAUGUAUGGCAUGAAUUGGUUGUUGAUUGGUGAAUGUAGGUUGUGGUUGAGAUCCUGAUGUUCGGUUGGUACGCCGUGCAAAUACAAAGGAGACUCUGUCCGAGUGAACAGAGAAAUUUUGUAUUUGUGGCAGGUCUGUACGUCACGUGGGCCAGGUUGAAAAAAAAAAAAUUUAGCACGUUUUUCGCAAUUCUGAUUUCUAAAAAUGGUGAUCGUUUUAAAAAGACUUUUAAAAUUGGCCCCGGGGCAUGACAUUAUUUUUUUUCUUCUUCCAUCUUCUACAAAUUUUUUUUUGUCACGUCUCUUCGUCAACGGCCAUGGCGCCGGCAACGGCGCUGCUAAAGACCCCCGCUCCGAGGCCACGGCGCCGCGGCGACCUCCGAGGCGCCGAUGUCGGCGGAGAGGCGUCGUCAUCGGAGGUGGCGGAGGAGGCGAAGGAGGAGGGAGAGGGAAAGGGCGAGAAGGGCGAGUCGUCAUCGGAAGCGGUGGAGGAGGGUCAGAGAGCGGAAAAAAAAAAAUCGCAGCACAGCCUUGGCGGGGUUGGAGGCGAGGAAGGUAGGAGGGGGUGCGCGGGCGAAGGUAAGGAUGCGACGGACAAAACCGAAGUGGGUCGCCUCCGCCUCCGCCUCUGCCUCCGCCUCCGCCUCCGCCUCCGCCGCUCUCUGGGUAGAGAAAGAAAAAAAGAACGAGAGAAAAAAAAGAGGACAGAGGAAAAGGUACAAAGGUAUUUUGGUCAGUUUGCUAAAAAUCCAGCCCGAAUCUGCAAAAUCGAAAAAGGUGACCCACGUUUGCAAAAACACAAAACUAGUAGAUUUUUUUAUGCAAAUUGGCCUUAAAUUUAAUUUUGGAUAUCAAAUUUGAAUUAAUUAUUAAAAAUUUUAAUUAAAGUGGAUCAAUUAAAUUUUAAAUUUGAAUUAAAGUGAAUUAAAAUUGAUAUGUAUCAAAAUUUAAUUCACAUUUAAUUUAAUUUAAUUUCAAUUUUAAUUUUGAUCCACUAUGAUUAAAAUUUUUUAAUUGUUAAUUCACAUUUGAUAUCCAAAAUUAAAUUUAAUUUACGAUUUAAACUUAAAUUUUAAUUUUUAUGAAAAAUUAAUGGAUCACAAAUUGAUGAUGACUAUUCAUAGGGUUGGAUUUAUAGAUGGACAAGAACGCUAUUUUUAAUAGAUUGAUCAUAACCGCUCGUUCUUAUUUAAGAUAUUUUUUAACAAAUUGAUUAUAACCGUUCGUAAAAAAUACUUUUUUAUUCCCUUUUGGAUUUCAUCUUUCAUUGUCAAAAUUUAUAUACGAUUUUAUAUAUAGUGUCACGCCCCGAGCCCGCCUCUUUGGUCGGAUUCGGGCACGCCAACAGACCGCCGAACGGACAGGAUUUUUUCCUGCACGCGGACAGAGUCUUCCCUGUACGUUCAAGGCGUCGCAAUCAAUACAAGUACAAGAGGUUCCAAACAUGAACAAUUUUCAACAACGAUUGCAUAAGGAAGGUAUCAAACAACAUAACACAUCCUAUGUUAUUACAAUCAUUCAUCUCAUCAUUUUACAUCGCAUUUUUCAUUACAUUGAUCCUCAACUUCCAAAUAUACAAUCGAUUUCUAAACAUAAUAUUACAACAUCGAUUCUUUUCUUUUCUUUUCUUUACCCCUAAGAAGCCGACUCAGGGUGCUGCUAUCUGGUCUCUGUGGUAGGGCGCUAACUACGGAGCUACGCCCUUUCCUCGCGCCGCCGCGCCGCUCGCGUGUGAAUCUGUACCCCCAAAAACAACAACACGGGGGUGAGACUAUUGUCCAUAGUCCUCAGUAGGUACAGCCACCCAAGGGAAGAGCUCAACCCACCAGGUCCAAAGGAGGCACUGCAACAUGUUAGUCCAACAGAUAUAUAUACAUAUAACAUCAUGCAAUACAUGUUCAUGCCUCACAAAUAUGCAAAUUAUGCAACUCUUAGUCAUUCUUUACCAUUAGCCUUUCUUUAGAAUUUGCUAUUCUUUAUCAUUAGCCAUUCUUUACUCUUUAUUCUUUAUUCUUUAUUCUUUAUUCUUUAUUCUUUAUUCUUUGCUAAGGGCACUCGCACCUUGGGCGCAUUAUACACAUUUGCCAUUCUUUAUAACAUUAACAAACGUUUCUGAAUUGUCAUUCUUUCACAAUUGUCAUUCUUUCCUAGGGUUACCUUUACCCUAGCCAACUAUGCCACUCGACUCGGUCUUGAGUCAAUUCAUAAUGAAUACAAGAUCCACUUUCCAAUUCAUGAUUCCUUUUUGUUCUUUGUUCUUUAAUCUCACGGCUAACCUGAGGGUUUCGCCACAUUAACUUGCUUCACAUUAAGUCCAUCAUUGCAGGAACUCACCAGCUAGGACCGUCCUUCGGGUUUACUCCAAUCCGUGAUGCAUAACUCCGGAGCGCAUCGCCCGAGGGGGAGCGACCGCCCUCGAGCACGGAACUCAUAGCAAGUAUGAUCAUAUCCUUAACUCAAAGGAUUUGUAGUUGAAUCAUGGCUUUACACUAACUUUAGUGUUCUUUACAUCACAUUAAUUGCUAACUCUAGCAAUCAUUGUUCUUUACAACCCACUUGUCAAUUACUCUAGUAAUUGUCAUUCUUGAUACCACACUUGUUCUUUUGUUGCCACACACUAACUCUAGUGUACUUCAUGUCACAUUGAUUGCUAACUCUAGCCAUUAUCAUUGUUCUUUACACUUUGCUUGUUCUUUAUGCCACAUUACUUUUACAUCGCCUCUAGCCAUUAUCAUUAUUCUUUACAUCACAUUGCUUUGCCUUGUCUCAAGCCAUUAUCAUUAGGUUCUCACAUUACAUCUCAUGCAUACACAUAGAUUAUUUAGAUUCUUAAUCAUUCUAAUAAGCACGUGUACUCACAUCAUGCAACAUUACAUUAUUAUCAUCACAUUGUUUUACAUUAUCUUUAGCCAUUAUCAUUAUUAUUUACAUCACAUUUAUUCUUUGUUGUCCCACUCUAACUCUAGUGUCCACUUUACCAUUUCGAAUGCCACUCGAUCUAUGUUCAACAUGCAUAUAUUUUGUCAUCCAUUGGUAGUCAUUACUUAGCAUUUUAUGCAUUCGUUAACAUUUACUACAUGCAUUCUCGGUUAGUAUAAAUCUCAUACUUUCAUUUGACAUCUGUUUAGCAUUUCUAUAAUAUGCACAUGUAAAUUAACAUCAACUCAUACAUUCAUUUGGCAUCUAUUUUUAUCAUGCAUUCUUAAAUAGCAUACUUUAUCAUGCAUUCUCAAAUAGCAUACUUUAUCAUGCAUCAAUAGUAAACAUACUACACUUUGGCACGGAAAGCGACCUAAUCGCUUCGGUGAGCACAACCCACCUCAAUAUGCUUUCCGAUUGCUUGUCGUCACUUGCAAUCGGCCUCCCGCGGCACCCGGCACCCGGCACCCAUUUGGGCCCGUUCUCACAGUCGCACUACAAGAGCGUCCGCUUCGCCGUUUCAAGUGCAGUAUCUCUUCGCCAUGCUACCACGGUGCCUCAAAUCCAUUUCCACGAUUUUACGACGCCGCCUCGGCCCUCCCGGCGGACCCGAAGCCUAAACGUCCGUUUCUUUAAUAACUUUGCAACGGCUCGACGAAUCGCCGAACCGACUUCGCCAACGCGUUCGUUUACCUAGCAAUUAGGUUUACGGAGGGUCAAAUGAGAUCAAACCCUACUAUUUUACAAAAUCCCAUUUUUGAGCCCUAAGAUACACUAUUGCAAGAAUUCAUCAUAUGAUCCCUUAAUUCAUGCAAUAGUCAUCCAUUUAGCAUCUAAGGAUUCCUCUAAAUCCAUUCUUAGAGCAUAUAAUUAAAGCUCUUAAGACCUAUCAUUAUAAACCUAGCCUCUACACAUGCUCCAAUUAACCCAAAUUAAAUGGAUUUAACAUGCUAAUCAACACAUUAGAGGCUAUUGGAACACUAAGCAUUAAGGAUUAAACCAAAUCCUAGCUUAAAUUAUGAGAUCUCACCUUAGACCACCAUUCACAUCAAGCUAAAUCCACUAUUGGAAAGCUUGCUUCCACCAUUAGAGAGAGCUUCAACUUCAAGCUACUCUAAUCUUCUCCAAGCUUGCUUCAAUUUUUCUUCUUUUUCUUCUCCAAUCCUCUCUUUGGUGUAGAGAGAGAUUUUUCUCUUUGCUUGUGAGUGUGAAUAAUGAGAGGAAAGAAAGCCCAAGUCCUAUAUAUACAUAGAGAGGAAACUUGCUCUUCAAGUUUCCUAUGAAGCUUCCAAAAAUACUAUUCACUCCAGGCAACUUAAAAUCUGAUAUCUUUCGCCGGAGCUCCCAGAGUAUCCGUUUGAGCUCAAAUUUGACAGUCAUAUUCGGUUUAACGUACUGAACAAAAAUAUACUUUAAGUUUUCAGUUUCGACCCCGUUUGGUCACCGAAAACUGUACCGAACUGUAAUCUUUAUCAGAUAGAUUUCGGAUUUUAUUUCUCAACUUUCGGGUGUCAGAAAAAUAUAAAACUUUAAAUCUAGCCUCAUAAAAAUAUUUCUGACUUAUCCUCCAAUUUUCAUAAUUUUCUGACAUUGUGCAUUUUCUGCUAAUUUAUCCGCCCCGUUUUCAACAGAAAAUUAUAAAUCUUCUGUUUUCAUUCCGAUUUCAAUACAAGUCAUUAUAGACUUAUACUUUGUUUCUCAAAAACCAAUAAAAAUAGUAUCUCACACCAUUUUUAUUUACUUUUAUUUUUAUGCCAAAAUCUGGUAUAUUACAUAUAGUAUAGAUAUAUAUAUAGAGAGAACUUUACUAGAAUACUAUCGAUAGUAAAAAGCUCAAUUUACUACCAAUUUAUUUUUGAUAAUAGAGCUUUCAAAUCAACAAUCGACACUAUUAAACAUGAUCUAAAGCAUUUAAACUAGCUAGAAAUCAAAUUUUACGUUUUUUCGAUAUUAUUUUCUUGUCUAUUAAGUGAACAAAAAAUGAACCGCUAAAAAUGAAUAUUUUUCAAAAAAAUAAUCAUAUAACUUUUGUAUUUAGGAUCUAUAAUCUAGAUCUUGUUUUAAAUAGUUUAAAUAAUUUUCUAACAAAAAUUUAGCUGAUUUGGAUUCUUCUAUAUAUUUAAACGAGCAAACACACCAUAUUAGCUAUUAAAAUUACAGAUUUUAUAAUAUUUUGAUCGUUAAGCCAGUAAUGUCAAAAAGUAUAAAAUUUAAUUUUUAAAUAAGUUAAAUAAUUUAGAUAAUAUUUAAUGAUGUCGAUCACCGAUCAGAAAUAUCUGUUAUCAAAAAUCAAAAAUAAAUUAGCAGUAAAUCAAGCCGUUUACUACAUAUAGUAGCCCAUUUAUCCCGACCACUUGUCCUAUAUAUAUAUAUAUAUAUAUAUAUAUAUAUAUAUAGAGAGAGAGAGAGUUGGACUGGGCUACUAUUAGUAGCAAAAUCCCAUUAUUGCUACCAGUUUUUUAGCCUUUGGAUCAACUCUUUUCAUUAUUUCUAACCAUUGGAUUAAAUACUAUAACCCAGUGGGGACCACUCAACCCUAGAGGGAUCACUCAACUCUAACUGACUAAUACAGGAACUAUUCCUAGAGGGAUCACUCAACUCUAACCCAGUGAGGACCCUACAAUUUUUCAUUCAAGGGUUAAAAACUUGAUAGCAAAAAGAGCGUUUUACUAUUAAUAGUAUUCCAACCUAAUUCUAUAUAUAUAUAUAUAGAGUGAGGCUACUAUGCUCUCGGAAGCACGAAGCCUUCCGUGCUUCCAGCUCGUUUUCGAUGUUGCGACUUUCGAAUCGUCGAUCGGCUCCGUUAAACUUGAUCUAGAGUAUUUGGAGUACCUAGAAAAUAAAUUUUAUUAUUUUUCGAUAUCAUUUGCCUAGUGAUCGAAUGGGCUCAAAAUCAACAAAUUUCAAUGGCCGUAGUGAGCCGUUUGCAAGUUUAACGGUGUAGAAAUAUCNNNNNNNNNNNNNNNNNNNNNNNNNNNNNNNNNNNNNNNNNNNNNNNNNNNNNNNNNNNNNNNNNNNNNNNNNNNNNNNNNNNNNNNNNNNNNNNNNNNNNNNNNNNNNNNNNNNNNNNNNNNNNNNNNNNNNNNNNNNNNNNNNNNNNNNNNNNNNNNNNNNNNNNNNNNNNNNNNNNNNNNNNNNNNNNNNNNNNNNNNNNNNNNNNNNNNNNNNNNNNNNNNNNNNNNNNNNNNNNNNNNNNNNNNNNNNNNNNNNNNNNNNNNNNNNNNNNNNNNNNNNNNNNNNNNNNNNNNNNNNNNNNNNNNNNNNNNNNNNNNNNNNNNNNNNNNNNNNNNNNNNNNNNNNNNNNNNNNNNNNNNNNNNNNNNNNNNNNNNNNNNNNNNNNNNNNNNNNNNNNNNNNNNNNNNNNNNNNNNNNNNNNNNNNNNNNNNNNNNNNNNNNNNNNNNNNNNNNNNNNNNNNNNNNNNNNNNNNNNNNNNNNNNNNNNNNNNNNNNNNNNNNNNNNNNNNNNNNNNNNNNNNNNNNNNNNNNNNNNNNNNNNNNNNNNNNNNNNNNNNNNNNNNNNNNNNNNNNNNNNNNNNNNNNNNNNNNNNNNNNNNNNNNNNNNNNNNNNNNNNNNNNNNNNNNNNNNNNNNNNNNNNNNNNNNNNNNNNNNNNNNNNNNNNNNNNNNNNNNNNNNNNNNNNNNNNNNNNNNNNNNNNNNNNNNNNNNNNNNNNNNNNNNNNNNNNNNNNNNNNNNNNNNNNNNNNNNNNNNNNNNNNNNNNNNNNNNNNNNNNNNNNNNNNNNNNNNNNNNNNNNNNNNNNNNNNNNNNNNNNNNNNNNNNNNNNNNNNNNNNNNNNNNNNNNNNNNNNNNNNNNNNNNNNNNNNNNNNNNNNNNNNNNNNNNNNNNNNNNNNNNNNNNNNNNNNNNNNNNNNNNNNNNNNNNNNNNNNNNNNNNNNNNNNNNNNNNNNNNNNNNNNNNNNNNNNNNNNNNNNNNNNNNNNNNNNNNNNNNNNNNNNNNNNNNNNNNNNNNNNNNNNNNNNNNNNNNNNNNNNNNNNNNNNNNNNNNNNNNNNNNNNNNNNNNNNNNNNNNNNNNNNNNNNNNNNNNNNNNNNNNNNNNNNNNNNNNNNNNNNNNNNNNNNNNNNNNNNNNNNNNNNNNNNNNNNNNNNNNNNNNNNNNNNNNNNNNNNNNNNNNNNNNNNNNNNNNNNNNNNNNNNNNNNNNNNNNNNNNNNNNNNNNNNNNNNNNNNNNNNNNNNNNNNNNNNNNNNNNNNNNNNNNNNNNNNNNNNNNNNNNNNNNNNNNNNNNNNNNNNNNNNNNNNNNNNNNNNNNNNNNNNNNNNNNNNNNNNNNNNNNNNNNNNNNNNNNNNNNNNNNNNNNNNNNNNNNNNNNNNNNNNNNNNNNNNNNNNNNNNNNNNNNNNNNNNNNNNNNNNNNNNNNNNNNNNNNNNNNNNNNNNNNNNNNNNNNNNNNNNNNNNNNNNNNNNNNNNNNNNNNNNNNNNNNNNNNNNNNNNNNNNNNNNNNNNNNNNNNNNNNNNNNNNNNNNNNNNNNNNNNNNNNNNNNNNNNNNNNNNNNNNNNNNNNNNNNNNNNNNNNNNNNNNNNNNNNNNNNNNNNNNNNNNNNNNNNNNNNNNNNNNNNNNNNNNNNNNNNNNNNNNNNNNNNNNNNNNNNNNNNNNNNNNNNNNNNNNNNNNNNNNNNNNNNNNAACUGUCCCGGAACAUACCGACUCGAGCUACGAGUCACCUGCUGCCACUAAACAUAAAUAAUCAUGCAUCAUGGCAGCGAACACAACUCCUCGUGUCGAAACAAUUAUCUCCGGAUAAUCGUUUCGAUUCGGGUUCCCAGAAGUGUCUAAUUCGACACCGGAACUCACCGUCGCUCACCCGUCAUUUCCGAACUCUCGAAAUGACGCAAGUGACCAGCCAACAAGGCUCAGCGACUACACAAAAGCUCACGAAGCACCGUCGGAAUAAUUCCGAACCGAACCCGCGUUCCGUCGGCGGAUUUCGCCGAAAAACGCACCGGAAAUGCAUUUCCGAUCUUCACAAGGGUCUGGGGCCUUGCACCAUCAGUCCAGAGGUCACCCACAGCUCACCCAUGCUGCCAACAGCAGCUACGACAAAUCAAAUUGCAUAAAAGCCCUCCCGAUUACCCGAAAUCGCAUUAUUUCAUGCGAUUUCGGCGCUUUUAUGGUCCGUCUACCCAAACCAGGAGUCAUGCAGCCAAACCGAGACACCUACUGACAGGUCUCGACGUGCCGGAGGCCGUGCUCACCUUUCGGAGCAAUUCCGGCCACUGUGGAGGGCGCGCGCAUGAAGCGAACUUCAGCGAAACAGCGCGCACAGCGCUUACAUUGCGUCAAAUUCGCAAACCAGGGCAUCGUUGACCCCAACGGAGGUGAGCACGACGUUCGGCAUGAAACGAGGAUGAUCGUGCUCACUUCCACAUUCACCGGGGUGCCUUCGGAUCGCCUGAAGGGUGACCGGAACCCUAAAACUGAGUGCUGUAACUAAAGUUUCAGCUUACCAAAUCCGAGAGAGCUAGGGUUGGCCGGCAGCUGCCGGAAGGUGGGCGCUCCGGCCGGGGACGAGCGUGGAAGGUCGGAGGGGUCCCGGGCAGGCGCUGCCCGGCGGCGGAAGGCGGCCGGUGGCGCGGCGGCACAGAUCAACCCGAGACUUGCUCUCGGGUUCAUAGGUUCCGCGGCGGUCCGGCGGCGGCCGGAGGAGCUCCGGGAGGCGACGGUCUGUCGGCGGAGGUCGAGGAGGAGGAGGUGCUCCCGACGGUGGGCGGCGGCGGCCCUCGAAGGCCGUACUGGUCCAAGCAGGGCCCGCACGCGCUCGGGACGGCCGCAGAGAGCUCGGGCGGCGGCCGGCGGCGUGCGGGGACGGCGGGGAGGCGCGCGCGAGGUCGCCGGAGGUCGCCAGAGGGCGGCGCGGCUGAUAGGGAGCGGUGGCGGCGCGCGGAUGCAAGGACGACGGCGGCGACGAGGGGAGUCGCCGAAGGCUGGGCCACGGCCAGGGGACAACGGUGCUCGAGCUAGGUGGCUACCAGGGUCCGCGAACCACAAUGCGGUGAAGGGGUUGGCCAAAAGGGAGAGAAAGAGAGGUGAUGCAGGGAUUUCCGGCGGCCGGAGGAGCUCGCCGGCGGCCGGAGCAUGCGCACGGGGAGGGCAGGAGAUGGCUGAGGCGGCUGGUGGACUACGGCUAGCAGGAACGACCUAGGGUUAGGGUUUCCAAGCAAAAAUCUAACAUCAACCUAUAAAUGUAAGUGUAAAAUUGCCGAAAAGUCCUCCAAGACUCAACCAUUUAAUCUUAGUCCCUCACCGCACGAAUAAAACAUGCAUAAACCCCUCCACGUGCGAUUUCACGCGAAACGGUACAUAAAAUGUCGCAACUUUUGCGAAAUUACCGUUUUGCCAUCACCGACCUCUCCUCGAUCAACGCGCGAUCUCCGCAGAUCCGUCCGUCGGAUUUGCGAACGGAUUGCACCAGUGCGAUCAGGACCUCGGAGACAACAAAGCUACACUUCGAUUCACCUCGAUCGAUCACGGAUUCACAACAAAAUCCAACCUUCUUUCAAUAGAAGGAAACACACAUACAAAUACAUAUAAAACAUGUAUUUUUGGAUUUUCUCGAAAUCCGUGCGUCAAACUCAAAAUCCAUCAGCGCCACUAGUUCCAGAACAGCUGAACCGGUCGAAACGAGCUAUUGGACUGAUAUGAACGGAGUCCGAUACGCACCAGAUAGCCAACUCUACUCCGUGGCUUCCUCCGAAAAACCGGAGUUACUAUUCACUUAAUGUGAAAACUAAAAGUCGCGUAUCUUCUCCAUUUUAGCUCAUUUUUCGCCCGGAAACUUGACGAGUGCUUAUGUAAUUAAAUUACCAACAAUAAACAUCAUCAACAGAGAGUUUAGUUGCACUGUCAAAAUCUCAGUCCUUACAGGGAUACGCGUAUAAACCGGUGAUGAAUAAAAUAACCAUUUUGCCCUCACCAUUUUGCCCUUUCACCAUGUUCACAAGAGAUAAAGCUGAGGGCAUUUUUGGCAUAAAAAAAAUAUAUAAUAAUAUUUUAUAAACGGAACCCUAACGGAUUACUAACGGCAGGGGGCGAAGUGAAUAUUUUUAUUUUACAACGGGUGCAAAGUGCAGGUUUUUAAAUGAUAGGGGGGAAAAUGAAAAAUCGGAUUUUGACAGGGAGGUUUUAUGUAAUUUAGCCAUAUAUAUAUAUAUAUAUAUAUAUAUAUAUAUAUAUAUAUAUAUAUAUAUAUAUAUAUAUGAGUGAGCUAAAAUACUAUGAUAGCAAACCGGGCUCCGUUGCCACCCAUUUAUUUUCGAUGAUAAAGCCUUCAAAAUCGACGAUCAAGCACCGUUGAACAUGAUCUUAUACCACUUUUGAAAGUGUUAGAAAUCAAAUUUUAAAUCUUUUUCGACAUCAUUUGCCUAAUGAUCAAAGGGAUUCAAAAUUUGUAAAUUUAAUGGUCGAUAUGAGGCAUUUUCUCGUUUAAUGGCGUAAAGAUAUCCAAAUCAAUUGAAUUUUUGUUAGAAAAUUCUUCAAACUAUUUAAAACAAGAUCUAUACUCUUGAUCUUGACUACAAGACUCCUAUCAUCAUUUUUUUGAAAAAUAUUUAUUUUCAGCGUUCGUUUUUGUGUCCACUCGAUGGAUAUAGAGAAUAAUAUCGAAAAUAAAUAAAAUUUGAUUUCUAAACACUUCAAGUGGUAUAGAUCAUAGUUCACGAUGCCGAUCGGCGAUUUGGAGGCUUCAUCAUCGGAAACAAAUGGGGGCAACGUGCCCAUUUGCUACGAUAGUAUUCUAGCUCAACUCUCUCUCUCUUCUCUCUCUCUCUCUCUCUACUAUAUAUAUAAUAUAUAUAUAUAUAAUAUAUAUAUAUAUAAUGCAGAGCUACUAUGCUAUCGAAGUAUAAAGUAGUUGGUGCUUCGAUUUUUUAAAACUUGGUUCAAAGAUUCUACGGUUGGGAUGAUAGCGGUCCGAUUAGGUUGAGUGGUCCCCCAUAGGGUUGAGUGGUCCUCAUUGUUAAUAAUAUUAAUCCAAAUGUUAGAAAUGAUCAAUUAGCUGUUUGAUUCUAAGGGCUAAAAAAUCGGAAGCAUCAAUCACUGUUAUGCUUCGAUAGCAUAGUAGCUCUACUAUAUAUAUAUAUAUAUAUUAUAUAUAUAUAUAUAUAUAUAUAUAUAUACAUAAUGGCUGAGUUUAAAGUGAAAUGCACGUAAAAAUUAUUUAUAUAUAUUUAAAAUAUAUAAUAUAAUAUAUAUAUAUAUUAUAUAUAUAUAUAUAUAUAUUUUACACUCAAUAUUUAUUCAAAUAUUUACAAUAAAAAUUAUGUUUUAUAAAUGAAUAUAUUAUAUUUUAUUAGAUAGUUUUUUUAAUAUAUACAUUAAAUAUUUUUAUAUAUUUUUUGAAUUCUGAUAAAUUUAAAAUUUAUAUUUAUUAUUUAAACCAAAAGCGUCAAAAUUUAAUUCACAUUUACUUUGAUAUUUAAUUGGUGGUUGGUGUAGCUUCGAUAGGCGGGACGGGUGUGUUUAUAGUCCCCAGUGAGAUUGGGUCAGAGAGUGCAUUUUUAUAUCUACAGAUUGUGGUUAGCGAUAGUAUAGUGGCAUAUAGCUGUAGAGUUUACUAGCAUCCUUUACUAUACUUGUACAUACUUUCUGUAGACUUAGUAGGUGAGCCGUUGAGGUCGAUAGCGGUACCCACUGAGGACUACUUCCUUUGCAGUAAUUCUCACACCCAGUUAUUGACCCCUUUUUGUAGAGCUUUCUUCUGUGGCUGCUGCUGUUGCCGAUUCUGAUCGUGGAAAAGGAGUUGCAAGCUAGAUCCUUUCCAGCCUUAUUGCAGUGCUAAAGGAGUAUCUCCCACAGGUAGUUUUGGGGUAUUUAUGUACAUAUGGUUGUUGUCUGGGUACUCGCUGGAGCGAGUGGUGUAGUAGACAUUUUGUAUGUACUGGAACCCCUCGAGGUUUUAUAUAUAUAUAUAUUUUUUUUUUCUUUUUAGCAGCUCUCUAUCUUGUGGUUGUAGCUUUGUUGUGUUUAUAGGUACAGCUAUCGUUACGUAUAUAGAAAAAAUUUCUAUAUAUACAGCGGGUCUGUUGGCGUGCCCGAGGAAACAUGUAAUCCGGGGCGUGACAAAUAGAUAAGAAUGCUAUUUUUUAACAAAUUGAUCAUAACCAUUAUUCAUUUUUAUUUGAAAUAUUUUUUUAAUAAAUAGAUUAGGGAAAACUUCAAAAACCCCUAUUGUGGUUUCAUUUUUUUUCACUUUAGUACCAUGUGGUUUAAAAUGUAUCAAGUUAGUACCAUGUGGUUUCUCACUUUAUCUGUCACGCCCCGAGCUCCGCCAAUUUGGUCGGAUUCGAGCACAUGACAGACGCCUAACGGACAGUACCUCCCCUGUUCGCCCAAGGCUCCAACAACAAGUAUAUUACAAGCAAAUCAUUAAAGAUAAUUGCGAGAUAUACAAGGUUUGCACGAGGGCAAACAAUAACCACAAACGAAGGCAUCGAACUAUCUAAGCAUCCAAUAUACAAGUUAUUUGAUUUCAUUUGAAUCAAACACAAGUGGUCUAUUACAUUCAUUUACAUCACGUUUUUCUUUAACCAAAAUACAUUGUUUACACCAUUCUUACAUUACCCAAAAUAUAAUUUACAUUUCUUGCUUUACAUCAUUUACAGUUCAAUACCUACAGUUGAGAACACCAAAAUGUAGGGUAUGCCUAUAUCUCGAGGGCCGCUAGCUACGGCGCAAUACCCUUGCCUCGAUCCUCCGCCGCCCCGCACGCGCACGGAUCUGCAGGGUUAGUGGUAAUGAGAACUAGAACAAAGUUCCCAGUGGGUUCGGCCACCGACCACGCCGAUUCGCCCAUUAGGUCUAAUUCAGGCAUAUGUAUUUCAAUAAAGGAGGAUAACAAACCAACUAAUGCACUUCUAAUACAAUGCCUGCAAGAAAGCAAUCCACAAAUAGAUAUUCAUAUUCAAAUACAUGAUGAUUAUGCAUGCAUGUCCUUUUCACUUUCCUUUGGCCUUUACCCAAUCAAUCCGGGGUGCUCCUGGUUUACCCCAAACUCAUAGUCCACAUAUCCCGUGUAACACACUGGACCUUUGCAAAUUGCGAGGUUCGAGUGUUCGGAUGUAUUUUGAGCUUUUCCACACUUGGUGGAGGGUUGUAGAAUGUUUUCCGACCUAAAAAGUUCGAAAAUUGAAAUUCUGGACAAGUCCUGAGAGUUUUUACUCUCGGGGACCGGUCCCUGAAAGGAAAGACCGGUCCCCCAGUGAGCAGUGUUGAGGCAGCCUGAGGCAACCGGUCCCUAGCAGGCGAGACCGGUCCCCGAGCGCGUCUUCGCAGUGAGAGACCGGUCCCGCGCAGGGAGAGACCGGUUCCCGAACGCUGGUUUUUCGGGUUCGCAGCGAGAGACCGGUCCCUGCUGGGGAGAGACCGGUCCCUCUGGGCGAAAACUGCCCAGACCGGGCUGAUGCAAUAUUGGAUUUUUGAGGGGCCUCACAGGAUUUUGUUACAAGAGAAGGCUUAUAUGGCCACUUCUCCUUCUCCCCUUCCUCACUUCACCAUUUCUCUUGCUUCUAGAGAGAGAGAGAGAGAGAGAGAGUGGAAGAGGAAGGAGAAGAGAGCUUGUAGAGGACUUGGAGCUUCACCUCCAUCCUUUCUUCUCCCUUUUGGUGGAUUGGAGCUUACUUUUGGAGCUUGGUGGUGGACCAAACUUCAACCUUGGGCAUUUUGAGCUUGGAUUGAAGCUUCCAAAGGGUUAGUGACAUGUUUCCUCCUUUAGAUUCUUGUUUUGGUGAUUUUUGGGAGAUGAAACCCUAGUUUUGGGACUUAGGGUUUAUUUUUGGGCUUUUUGAACCUAGGGCUUUUGAGGCUUGAUUGGUUGGUUUAGAACCUUCCUAGGGCUUGGAUUGGAAGGGUUCAAGCUCUCUUUUGGAGCUUUGGGAGAGAUUUCUACUCUUGAGGUUAGUUUUGGCCCUUUUUGCUUCUAGGUUAAUGUUUGAUAUUAUAAGAUGGUCGUAAUGCCCUCGUAUCUCUUCGCUGAUUACUUUUAGGGUAUUUUGAGACUCGGGGACAACUUUGUUCGGCGAAUCGAGACCCUACGCGACGGUUCGGUGGGUUUGACCUAGCCUACAUAUGAGAAAUUCUCAUAUGUGGUUAUAUAUGUUCCGUAAAUUGAAAAAGCAUGCAUAUUCAUACUAAAUGUAUUUAUUAUGAUUUUUAGAAUGCUUAAAAUGCAUAUGUUAUAUAUAAUGAAAUUUUGGACCUCUAUGUAGUAGAGAGUUGCUUGAGAGAGAGUUGGUUGCAUUUAGCAUUCUAUACGAGAUUUGGUUUCAUGUUUCUAUAGUGUAAAUGAGUUCGAAUUCAUGCAUUUAAACUUAAGUUUACUUGUGACAUGAAAGAUGAUGAAAUUGCCAUAUAGAGGUACUGAGCUAGAAUGUAUGUGAACUAGCGAGCUAAUGUCAUCAAGCGGCAUUGAGCUCGGGACAUGUGUGAACCUAGUGGAUAGGGCCAUUGAGGGAUUUGGGAUACAUGUUGGACAUCAAAUUGCCUAAGUGUCAUCAAGGGGCACUAGGCGUAGCAAAUGUUGAAACUUCACAUUGUGACUUAAACUAGAUCUUCGGGAUGCUAGUGACUAUACCAUGUUAGAGACAUGAGGAUUGGAUACUUGAGACUUGGACUUUGCUUGCUUGCCAUUUGUGCUCAUUCGCACAUGCUUGUGAGGGUCGCUCCCUACAAGCCGGCACUCCGGAGUUAGCCUACGCGACUUAUGUUCGCUCGUGCGGUAUUGAGAAGCCUACGGGGUCGAGUGGGACAGACACAUUCCAAGAGUAGGGAUGUUGGGCUACCACAGGCACUUAGGCGGCACAAGCUGGACUACCUUUGGUAGGUCCUUGAUUGGAAAUGGAAAUCGAUACGGGGUUGAGAAUGGUUAAUCACUACUAGAUAGGUUUAGUAGUUGAACGACAUUUAUAUGCUUUUAGCAUAGGGUUGAGACAUGUAGUAUACUUGAUAGUCUCCUUUUUGCAUUAAGCAUACUUGGUUGCCAUGACAGAACUUAUGCAUAAUGUAUUCAUGAAGGUUAAUGAUUUACUAUUUUGAUAUCGUAGAUGUACAUCACCAUGACAUCGUUUAUACUUGAGUUUGGUAAUCUAGCAUUUUAAUUAUGCCUUUAUACAAGCUUCGACCUCAUUUUUACAAAACCCUAAAUUUCGGUCCCUCAACAAAGUCAUCUUCUCAAAUCAAGCCCCUAGCUUGACUACUCAUGGAGGAAAACUACAAAAGAGUUCUCUAGAUGCUUCAACUAGAAGCAAAAACUCAAAACCUAACUUAAAAUCACAAGAACUCACCUUUGGAGUCCAAAACUUUCCUUCAAAGCCUUACUCUAGCUUGCUCUACACCUUGGAGAGCUUCUUCUCCAAGCUUGCUCCUCCAAAAGCCCUCUUGGUCCAAGCCCUAGAGAGAGAGGGAGAGAGAGAGGAAAGGUUUUUAGAGAGAGAGAGAGGGAAAGGCUUGUGUGUGAGAGUGAGAAAUGAGCCCUCACUCAUGCCCUAGCUCAAAUAACCCUUCACAUGUCAUAUUUGCACUUAAGCCCUCUCAAUUUUUAUUUUUCACAACAGUCCUUACUGGGCAAAUCCCGGGCUCGGGGACCGGUCUCUCAAGCAAGGGACCGGUUCCCAAGAGCUAUCCCGCAGCCUUUGCAGAAAGGGACCGGUCUCCCCCGAUGCAACCGGUCUUUCGGGACCGGUCUCUCACCCAGGGACCGGUUCCCAAGAGCUCGAUUUUCAGGACUUAGCCGAUUUUUCCCUCUGCUCGGCUGAUACGCUUUCGGGGACCGGUCUCUCCCCUCAGGGACUGGUCCCCGAGAGCCAAAAUUAUGGGACUUCACCAGAAUUGCAGUUUCACUCUCUCGGGUCCCUUUAUACUUUACAUAUAGGCUUCAAUGCACUUCUAGCCUAUAGUAACUCAUUCCUAUCCGCGUUCCGCACAUUUCGACGGAACUCGGCACGACUUACAGGGAAUCGCUAUGUUACAUUAUCACUUUAGUACCCUGUGAUUUAAAGUGUAUCAAGUUAGUACCCUAUAGUUUUGCACUUUAUCACUUUAGUACCUUGUGGUUUCACACUUUAUCACUUUAGUACCCUGUGAUUUAAAAAACCACAGGGUACUAACUUGAUACAAAAUUAAAACCACAGGGUACUAAAGUGGUAAAGUGCAAAACCACAGGGUACUAACUUGAUAGACUUUAAACCAUAGGGUACUAAAGUGAUAAAGUGAGAAACCACAGGGUACUAACUUGAUAAACUUUAAACCACAGGGUACUAAAAUAAAAAAGUGUGAAACCACAGGGGGGGUUUUUGAAGUUUUCCCAAUAGAUUAUAAUUGUUCAUAGGGAAUAUUAGUUCGGAAUUCCUAUACGUUUAUAUAUAUAUAUAUAUAUAUGAGUGAGGCUACUAUGCUAUCGGAUGCACGGAGCCUUCCGUGCUUCUAGCUCGUUUUCGAUGUUGCGACUUUCGAAUCAUCGAUCGGCUCCAUUAAACUUGAUCUAGAGUAUUUGAAGUACCUAGAAAAUAAAUUUUAUAAUUUUACGACAUCAUUUGCCUAGUGAACGAAGGGGCUCAAAAUCAACGGCUGAAAAUAAAAAUCUUACAAAAUGUAAUAAUAUGACAUUAAAAUUUUAAAUCAAAGAUAUUGAUCUUGUUUUAUAUAGUAUAAAGAAUUUUCUAUCAAAAUUUCACGUGAUUUGGAUAUUUCUACACUGUUAAACUUGCAAACGGCUCACUACGGCCAUUGAAAUUUGUUGAUUUUGAGCCCAUUCGAUCACUAGGCAGUUGAUAUCGAAAAGUAAUAAAAUUUAUUUUCUAGGUACUCCAAAUACUCUAGAUCAAGUUUAACGGAGCCGAUCGACGAUUUGAAAGUCGCAAAGCUCGAAAACACGAGCUGGAAGCACGGAAGGCUCCGUGCUUCCGAUACAUAGUAGCCUCACCAUAGUAUAUAUAUAUAUAUAAUAUAUAUAUAUAUAUAUAUAUAUAUAUACACACACACACACACAAGAUCAAUAUAUAUAUAGAGUUGAGCUAGAAUACUAUCGAUAGCAAACGGGCUCCGUUGUCACUCAUUUGUUUUCGAUGAUGGAGCCUCCGAAUCGACAAUCGGCACAGUUGAACAUGAUCUAUACCACUUGAAGUGUUUAGAAAUCAAAUUUCAAAUCUUUUCGACAUCAUUUGCCUAAUGAUCAAAGGGUUUCAAAAUUUGUAAUUUUAAUGGUCGAUAUGAGACGUUUUCUCAUUUAACGGCGUAAAGAUAUAUGUUUAUGCAUGUAAUAAUUAGUUUAAUUUAUUUCAAAUCAAUAAAAAUUUAUUAAUUAUAUUUAUCAACAAAUUUAGAAUAAAAUUUAUAUUUUAAAAUUUAAUUUUGAUCCAUUAUAUAGUUAAAAUUUUUUAAUUGUUAAUUCAAAUUUGAUAUCAAAAAUCAAAAAUUAAAUUUAAUUCAUGAUUUAAACUCAAAUUUAAAUUUUAAUAUAAAAUAGAUGGAUAUAAGUGUUAUUUUUUAAUAGAUUGAUCAUAAUUUGAAAUAUUUUCAACAAAUUGAUCAUAACUGUCCGUAGAAUUGAAUUUAUAAAUAGAUAUGAAUGUUUUUUUUUAAUAGAUUCAUCAUAACCUUUCGUUUUUAUUUGAAAUAUUUUUUAUAAAUUGAUCAUAACUGUUCAUAGGGAAUAUUAUUUUAUUUCUUUUGAUUCUGUCUUUCAUUCUUAUACAUUUUAAUAUAUAGUAUAGAUAGGAAUGCUAUUUUUUAAUAGAUUGAUCAUAACCGUUCGUUUUUAAUUGAUCACAAUUAUUCGGUUUUAAUUGAUCACAAUUGUUUGUAGGCCUGAUAUAAAUUAAAAUUUUAACAGAUUGAUCAUAACUGUUCGUUUUUAAUUAAUGACAACCGAUGGAUAGUUCAAAUUUGAUAUCCAAAUUAAAUUUAAUUCACCAUUUAAAAUUAUUUUUUUAAUUUAAAUUUAAAAUAAAUUUAAUUUCUUAUUUAAAUUAAAAUUUUAACAAAUUAAUUAUAACUGUUCAUUUUAAUUGAUCACAACCGUUCGUAGGAUUGGAUUUACAGAUGGAUAGUUUAAAAUAGAUGAAUAGAAAUGCUAUUUUUGAGCAGAUUGAUCAUAACUAUUCGUUUUUAAUUAAGACAAUCGUUCGUAGGAUUGGAUUUAUAGAUGGAUAAAAAUACUAUUUUUCAACGGAUUAUAACCGUUUGUUCUUAUUUGAAAUUUUUUUAAUAAACUAAUCAUAUCAUAUCUGUUGGCGAGGAAUAUAGAAAAUAUUAUUUUAUUUUUUUUUAAGAUUUCGUUCGUUAUUAUCAGAAUUUCGAUACGAUUUUACAUAUAGUAUAGAAGAUAUAAAUACGGUGUAGAUGGAUAAAUUACAUUGGAUUAUCCCCUUGCCCUUUCUCUAGGUCAAGGCCGCUCAGUACACCGACAAACCGAAACCCGUCGCGCCUCCUCUCAUCUCUCUCUCUCUCUCUCUCUCUCUCUCUCUUUCUUGCGAGGAGGACCAGGACAAAGAGGAGGGUUUUUUAUCCAACUAAUCUUCUCCAACAAUUUUUUUCUAAAAAUAGGCCUCUGAAAUUUGUAUUUACGAAAAUAGGCUCCGAACUGCCACGUGGGCAGUGACAUGGCAGGACAGGUUAAAAACGGUGAACCAUUAACUGCUUUCAUGUGAAAGCGGCAAAUGGUUCACCGCUUUCAUGAGGAUUUAAUAAUCCUAUGAAGGCGGUGAACCAUUCACCGCUUUCAUUGUGUUCUCCGGCCUAUGGAAAAACUUAUAAAAGCGGUGAACUAUUCACCGCCUUCAUAUGCGGUAAAUGGUUUACCGUCUUUAUAUGCGGUCAACCGUUUACCGCAUUUAAAUGCGGUAAAUGGUUUACCGCAUUCAAGCAAAACUUCAGCCCCCCCGCAGCAACUAUGCAAAAUUCCCACACGAUACAAAAAAGCAAUGUUUUCAAGCAUUUCAAUUACAGAAAUAAAUACAUAAAAUCAUCUACACCAACUUCAACCACACUUUAAACAUACAAAAUGAGCUAUACCAAUAUCAACCCAUUUUAAUAUGAAUAAAUUUAGAUAAUACUCUAAAAAUUCAAUGUAGAAAGAUCUGAAAUAUCAAAUAUACAUAAGAAUCUCAAAAAUAAUAAAAAAUAUCAAGUCCCCUCCAUCCCCCUCCUAUGCUCUCGCCCUCGUCCCUUGCCACGUCCGCGUCCGCGUCCACGACUGCGUCCUCGACUCCGUCCUUAAAUAUGUAUGUCAUGCUCCAUCUCAGGCUGCACGGGCUCAAUGACAUCCAUCUGAUCAAUAUGCUCGAUGGUGAUGCCCUUGACAAUCGGCCCCAUCCUUUGCUCAACAGCUGAUGCUAGUAUCCCUUCCUGCGUCUCAAUAUGACCCUGUCGUCGUCGCCUACGUCGAUAUACAAUAUCAUCGCGACGAACCUGCAAUGUAGAUGGACCGUCAGAAAGAUGGAUAGAUGUGAAUAAAAUAUCAAAAUAUAAUACCUCUAACGUAGAUGGAAUAUCAAAUAGAGGGAUGGAUGCCGACGGAAUAUCAAACUGCACUUCUGAUGUCGAAGGGACAUCAGAUGGAUGAAUUGGGGCGGAUGUCGAUGGAAAAUCAUAUGCAGGCAUCGAGGUGGAGGGAAUAUCACUAAAAUCAUAUGCAGGCGCGGAGGUGGAGGGAAUAUCACCGAAAUCAUAUGCAGGUGUGGAGGUAGAGGGAAUAUCACCGUAAGCACCAAAAGUCGGAAAAGAAACAUUCGAAUGCCCUGUCACGGGUAAUGUCGGAAGGCUCUCUAACACACUCUCGAGAUCCCAUCUCACAUGUGCUAGAGCAUCCAUCAAUCUAGUGGGCUCCGAAGGAUCAUCCAUCAAAUGACCGAUACUGCUAACAGCAUGCCGCAUAGCAUACACCUGUAUAAACAUACAUGAUAAUAUAUAAUGAAUAUCCUUAUAUUAAAAUAAACUAUAAAAUAAAAAUAAUCUUACCAAUCGUCGCUCGACAUUCCCACGCGGCAGAAAAGUAAGCGGAGGCCGCUGUACAGGACGAGAAAUCCACCUCCGUGUGAUCCCCCAAUACCACUGCAUGUACACAGAGGUAGCUCGUAUCGGAUUUGGAUCGACGAAUGGACUCUGCUCCGCAAUAUGCUCCAGACGAUCUGCCCAACGCUGAAUAUAUGGAGCAUGAAACGCUGUCCAGUCCUCGCCUGAUCUACCCUGCGAGGUGAUCCUCUGUAUAGCUUCUACGGCCUCCGGUAUAUGCUGCAGCAAUCCAAACUGACGCAGAAUUCUAUCGGGCAAAUGUAGCUCAACAAUAUCAAAACAUAUCAAACUAGUUCUCGAACGCCAAAUUGCAGAGCCCUCAAGACAAAAUGCAGGAAGACCGAUCAAAACAUCCUCCGUAUAGGGCGUCUAUGUACAUAACAUGUACAAGUGUAUUAAAAAAAUGAAUGUAAAAUUUUAGAAUGUAUAUGCAUGUAUUUAAUUUAUGAAAUCUAUACGUACUUGUUACUCUCUCUGCUGAUCGAGCUCAUCGCGAUAAAACUCAAUGUCAGUCACCCUGACAUUUCCACGAAAUCGCAAUCCCAUGUUCCACCUACAGAAGUGAUUAAUAGUAUAUUAAAUUAGCGGUAUAAUAUAUCAAUACAAUAUCAAUAUUUAUUAUUUUAUUAUAUUAUAUUUUAAAUGCAUAGCAUACCGAGAACCCAAUGGACAAUCAUGGAGAUCCGGUGGAGCUCCAACUCGAUCGGGACGUCCAAUAUGUAUAUGGUCCCAUGCCCAUAUCUAAGAACAAUAAAAAGUUAACUAUAAAAUUAGUAAAAGAAACUAAGUUAUAAGUUAUAAGUUAUCAGUAAAAAAAACUAAGUUAUAGUGAUUUGACCUGUAGUGGUGUAUCAAAAGCACAAGACUCGGCCUUUCCUUUCAUAGAGGCAGUCCCUAAUGCCCGAUAGAGAUGGGCCAAGGUAGCUGCGCCCCAAGCUAGGCCUCCGCAGAAGUCAAAAUCCUCAAGUAGCGGUAGCCACUUGAGGUGAACGCGAUAUCCAGUAGGGUUAGGAAACAAACUGAAUCCAAUUUGAAAUAAAAUGUAUGCUCGUGCAGAUGCUGCAACCACGGCCACAGGAGCAUCCAAAGGAAUAUGUCGGAAAUGCUGAAACAACCACUCCAAGCGGAUCUGGCCGGCGACAACAUCGUCUGGCUAUAUCCCAAGAAGGAGCUCACAUGUAUGCAAUAAAUCAAAUGAAACACGUCCUGUAAUAGGCUCCUCGGAGACUCGUAGUCCAGCUAUAAUGGCCACAUCACGUAGCGUAACUGUCAUCUCUCCGUGACGUAGGUGGAAUGUCUGCGUCUCGCGCCUCCAUCGCUCUAUCAACGCCCCUAACAGAGCCUGAUUUAGUUGUACUCGUCUAAGGCGGGAGACGUAGAAAAAGCCAGUAUGUCGUAACUGCUCUAUCACUCCCGGAUGCUCGACUAUCCAUGUGUUCAGUUUACGGCCAUGCUCCGUAAACUGAACUGGCGCGUACCCCUGUAAAGUUUAUUCACUUUUUAGCAAAUUCUCCUUUUAAGUAUUUAAAUUACAAACUUUUUUGUAAAUGCAUAACUUAACAUACCUCUGAUCGCACGUAGCUCGACCGAUGCCUAUCCUAGUCUGAUAGAACUGAUGGAUCAACUGACCCGGGAUCCUCGUGAUCGUCCAUCUGCAAAAUAAAAUACAUAAAUUAGUGACCAUUAAAUUGAACAUUAAUAGAUGAAUCUAGAAAUCAAAUUACUGUAGAUAGUCAAACAUAAGUUAUCAUCAACCUAUAGCUCUACGUCUACGGCCUUCAUUUGUUCUAUCUUGAUUAUUUGGACAUGUAGUCCUAUAAUGUCCCUGUUGUUUACAAAUAGUGCACAUAGUUCUUCGCAUUCCUUCUCUCUCGUCCAUGGUAUUUCGAAUAUGAGUUGAUCAUGGACGACCUUUCUUUCUCCUGAUUGGUGGUGGUGCCAGCGGUGGUCCUUGAGGGCGUGGCCAGCUUCUUUUGUCUGGGACAGGGUGAAAUUGCGGGAAGUAAGCACGACGGUAAUUCUCACAUGUAUACCAUUCAGAACACAGACUAUAGUAGUCAAUGUUCAUUUGACCAUUACUGCAUACAGCUAGAAGAUGUGAGCAUGGCAACCUAGUGAGCUCAAACUCAUGGCAUGAACAAGUCGAGCUUCUCCUGUCAAGAACCACCUCAAAUUGUCCAUUUCUGGUAGUAAUUUGAAACUCGUUUACUCCGUAACGAUCCACACGGUGUCCUCUUGCGAUUAUCAUAUAACUCCUAAUUAACGCCUCCUGUUUUGGUGUCAAUACUGUAGUGUAUGUCUCACCUUUAUCACGGCGCUUAACAAAAUAAUUGUUCACCUUAUAAAAUGUAGCGGCCACAAAUGCUGUGAUAGGUAAACCACGUACACCCUUAAGCACUCCAUUUAAAUUCUCCGACCGAUUUGUCGUCAUUGUCCCAAAAUGUCGUCCUCCAUUAAAUGCUCUCGCCCAAUAUUCCCUUUCCUCUUGGAGCUCGUGCACCCAAAGCCAUGCCGCUUGAUCCAUUUCUUUUAACUGAUCAUUAUGCUCAUAAUAUUCCUUUGCAGUUGCAGCACAUCCUAUGCCCGUAUAAAAUUUAUUGAGCACAGUUUCAUUUUUAAAACCGGCUUUUUUCAUAUUAGCUUGCAUAUGGCAGAGGCACCAGCGGUGAGCAUGUCCCUUGCUUCUCGGAAACUCCUCCGCAACAAUCUCCUUUAACCCAGGAAAGCGGUCUGAAAUGAAACAAAUAGAUCAAUCACGUGUCACGAAAACCUUUAGAUGUCGUAAAAACCAACGCCAACUAGCCGCAUUUUCUCCCUCAUAAAUAGCAAACGCCAAUGGGUAUAACCCAUUAUUAGCAUCUACACCCGUCGCAAUCAACGCAUGCCCUUGAUACUUUCCAUACAUAUGGAUUCCAUCAAUGCUCAACAAUGGUCAACAAUAAGAAAAUCCAUUAAUUGACGGCCCGAAGGCCCAAAAUACUCGCCUAAACUGCCUAACACCAUUUAGCAGAAUUUUAGGAUCAAGACGCCAUUGAGUCCCGGGAUUCACGCGCUGUAGUAUAGAUAGGAAGCGACCAAGAUCGGUGUAUGACUCCUCCCAACCACUAUAAAUGAUCUGUAGUGCUUUACUUCUAGCCUGCCAUGCUUUCGAAUAAGGUAUGUCUACAUGCAAUUCAUUACGCACCUUUUCUUUAAUUUCCGCCGGUGUCAAAGUAAGCUUUACCCUCAAUGAUGGGAGAAUAUGUCGACAUAUAAGAGAUGAAGUACAGUUUUGAUGUACAGUGUUAAGCACCGGCACUAAACAUGUAUGUUGCCCGGCGUAUUUUUUAACUCUAAAAUAACUCACAUCCUUUGGUACCGAUGCAUGUAAUCUCCAAGGACAUGAAUCUACCAUGCAUUUAACUGUAUACGCCUUUGUCGUCGACUUUAUUACUUUCAUUUGCACGUUGUGAGCAAUAUGCCAUUUCCCCAGAGUGUGCAAUAAACUUGCUUUAUCAGGAAAUACCCGACCAACCCAUAAGUCAUCAAUAGUAGGAGGGGGCUGUUCAAUCUGCGGACGAUCAUGCACAUCGUUAUCAGCCACAUACUGGCCAAUCCAAUCAUCAUUUUCUACAAAUUGGUCUGGAUGAUCUAUGUACUCUGCACCUUCAUCUGGAUCAUCAACAUAUUCAUUAUUGACAAUUGGAUCAUCACCCUCAGUAUAUAUGAUAUCUACGAGAACACCCAGUCCACCAUCAUGAUCUGCAUCAUGAUGAUGAACUUCUGCCACAAUGUUCUCAUUUACGGCCAAAUUUGAAGAUUCAUGUCCAACACCCUCAUGAUCAGUAGUGUAACCGUCUUCAGCUACUUCUUGUUGCACUUCCGCCCGAUUUCCUAUACCGUCAUUUUCGGUUCCCAAUAGAUACGAUCCAAAGUCAUGCACAUCAUGAGAGGUAUGAAAUCUGCAAUUAUUUCGUAGUUAAUCACUUUCUAACCAAAUAAAACAAUGAAUGAUUAAAUUAAUUGUAGCGUAUUCUAACCCUUCUUCACAUGAGAUGCCUUACUCUUUACCCAGUGGGGCAUAAGAACUAAAACCCGUGGCAUGCUGAAUAGUACGUGGGAGGGGAGGAGGAUCACUGACAACUACAUUUGAAAAAUCGUACUCCCUACAAUUGAUGGGAGAAGGCAAUAUAAAUAUUUUAAUAUUAAUAAAAUCUGUAUACAAAAGUUAAAUUUUGCAAUACUAACCUAGGUGCUAACUCCUCCUCCAAUAUCAGCACGAAAAGAUUCUCUUUCGGGGCCAGGGGAUAAUACAUCCACAUUAAAGUCACUGUUUAACAUUCUAGAAUAAUACCCCUGAGAAAGAACUAUCUCUUUUUCAACGAAAAUUAUCAAACACGGAGGGUUUCCCGACAAUGCCAUCGCACCACACAGUGAGUCAUCGUCCGUAACUUCAACCACAUCGAAUUGAUUCAUCCCGGUCGAAUAUCGAACUUUAAUAAUUAGGUGAUACUCAUCUCUCGAAGUAUCGGUCAAUCUAUAUAUUUUUCUCUCGAAUUCUGUAAAUGUAAUAUCCACUGGAAUACCACUUAAUUUCUUACGACCGCCAACGUACUUUGGAUUGCUAUCAUGCGCAAAUAUUUCUCCAUUCCAAUGAACAACAAUAGCCACAUUACUACGCGACAUCCUAACUUAAACAAAAUAUAAAAUUUGUAAACAAACAUAAUCAUACCAAAUUAAAAUGCUGAAUUGAUACGGCAAAUAAGCUGCUAAACUCACCCAAAGCACUUCACUUCCCCUAGAAACACUAAUAACUUACGGAGCAUCAUCUGUUGGUUUCGAUCUACAUAUGAGAGUUCGAAUUAAAUCAAUAAUACAUCGUCACCAGUAUGAAACAUUCAAAACCUAGGAAUCUUAGAUAAAGCGAUCAAACAUUCCCUUAAAGUAACAUCUCCUCUAUUUCAAGUAUGAGAUUUUUAUACCUAAGUUUUAUAAAUGCCACAGUAUAUGAAUUCAAUUUAAAUGACCCAAAAAAUACUAUCCUUCACAAAAGAAACCAACUACGACAUUAUUACAUCUCAGAUCUCGGUGUUGGGCUCUACCACUAACCUAAUUGGGCUUAAAAUGUGAUCUAAAAGUGUGCAUACUACAAAAUAUAGAUAAAAUACUGUAAAAUAACACAAUUAUUUAGAAACAAUCAACUCUAUUUCAAAAGCAAUUAGAUUUUUUUCAAACCUCUCACCACUAACCUAAUGGAACAAUGUCGUUGCAAUGUUGAGGAGAGAAGGCACGGCAGAAGCAGUACAGUCGACGAGGCGACGGCGGCAGCGAUGGCGGCGUCCGCAGCGACGGCGGCCUCGGACUCGGGUCGGAGUGAGUGAGAUAGAGAGGAGUGAGGGAGCAUGCGAGAGACAGAGAGGAGAAGCUCGUGAGACACAGGAGCUCGCACGCUCGGGAGACACAAGAGCUCGCGCGCUCGGGAGACACAGGAGCUCGCGUGCGGGUAUAAUCGGCGCAGGCGACGGCGGCAGCGACGGCGACGGCGGCAGCGACGGCGGCGUCGGACUCGGGUCGGAGUGAGUGAGGUAAAGAGGAGUGAGGGAGCGUGCGGGAGACAGAGAGGAGAAGCUCGCGCGCGGGUGAGUGAGAGAGAAAGGAAAGGGGCUCAGGCGGGGUAGGGUAUGCUGAUUAAAGGCGGUGAAUGGUUCACCGUAUUUAAAAGCGGUGAACUAUUCACCGCAUUUAAAAGCGGUGAACGAUUCACCGCCUUCUAUUAUUCCCAGUGUACACAACUGGAGUUAUUUGAUGGUCCUACAAAUGCGGUGAAUGGUUUACCGCAUAUAUAUGCGGUAAACCAUUCACCGUAUAUGUCGAUUUCACCACCACAAGCUGACCUGGCUAAUUUGGAGACUAUUUUUACAAAAUUUUUUUUUUAAGGAGGCCUAUUUUUGUAAAUAAAAGUUUCAAAAAGGCUAUUUAUAAAAAAAAUUCCAAAGAGGAGGUGGUGCGUGGUGACGAUAUAUACGGUUUCCCCUUUCUCCUCGUUUCGUGCGGGUCCGAACUCCGGACCCUAACCCCACUCGUCCUCGACUCCGCAAUCAACGCCGGCGGCAGCUCUCUCACACUCUUUCUCCCUCCUCCUCUCGUUUCAUUCCGGUCUGAACCGCGGUUGGCCCACUCUCGCAAGGAGGAAGGCAAGAUCGGGGAGGAGGAGGUGGUGGCGAUAUCUAGGGCUAGCGCUCCUUUUAAGUAAUAACUAACAAGUUAUAAAUCUAUAAGCCUCUGUUUCAGUAUUGUGCUUUCACGUUGCUAGACAUGUACAAAAGAAAAAAAAAUCUAUGAGCUCUGUUGCAGUUAAAAUCAGAGUUUAUGCAGAAAAAUACUAUAGUAACUUGCUUAUUUAUGACUUUGGUUUGAUUGGUAGUGAUUUUUGUAUUUUCUGUGGUUAUAUUCUCAUAAAUCAUAUUCAGAAUAAUGAAUCUGUAGUUAUUCAUCUUUAUAAAAGAUUGGUAUGCCUUAAUGUUACUAGUUUAGAUUUUAUGGCCGCCUUUUCUUUCACUUAGUUUAGGAAUGUUUUAAUUGUUUGUUGAUUUCUUCCAUUAUUUAUGAUUUUUUAUGCUCUAAAUGUUUGUUUGCAUGUGGAAGAUAAGAAUGAUUUAAUUGCUAUUUGUGGGGAGACGAGCGAUUUGAUUGAUGAGGGACAUUUAUAUAUAUUGUGCGGAGAUAAUGUGCUUUUUGUGGUCUUCGCUUAUUUUAUUAUGAGUUCAUAUUAAAAUUGCAUUUAUGUUUAUUAAAUCUUAGAUUUUAUUGAAUAAAAUAUAGGUAUAUCAAAAUUUGAACAUGUGUGAAAUUUUGGUUGCGUUUUUACUCAUUCUAGUUAAUAUUCACAUGUGCAUUCUACUAUAUUAUUAUCCGAAUAACAUCCGAAUACAAAUCUGUGCCUUAUCUGAACAUGAAGAAAUACUCAACCGUAUUUGAAUCUCUUUUUUUAGCGGAUAUGAUAACAAAAAUUUAGUAUCCGUCACAUAUCCGUAUCUGAAUUCGUAUUUGUUAAAAAAAAUAUAAGGAUAUGGAUAUGGUUUUAUCCAAUAUCCCAGUGUAUCUGAUUCAUUUUCUCCCCUUUCAGGGGUCAGAGCUAAGAUGGUGAGAUGUAUGAAGGUUUUUCCUCUGGCCGCUAACUGAACCGCCUUUUUAUGUAACCCAGCAUGAAGAUGUUGCCUCUUUACUUUUGUUUUCGAAGUUAGCUCAUGCUCAGUGCAGUGAAUUGAGUAUGUUUCAUUUUUUCUUUUUUAUGUGGAAUGAAUUUAUCAUUUUAAAUAACACUUAUCUUCGACUCUCUCUGUGUUUCUUUUACCAGGUGACAUGGAACUGCAAACAAGAGAGUGAAAACUGACCCAUCUUGUACACUGUUGAUAUACUACCAGAGAGGAUAUUAUACUUUGUCACUAUAAACUCAUUUCAAAUAUGUUACAAGAUUUAUAUUAAGGAAGUUAACAUGGUGGAGAAUGAUGUUUCUGCUGAUCUGUUGUUUUCUGAAUUAAUUGACAUGGGGUUUGACUUUGACAAAGUUAUAGAAGCUAUUGAAGCUGUAGGUCCGUGCCGCGAUGAUGCUCUGGAGUUUAUAUUAAAUGGUUCUUGUGAUAGCAAUAAGGAUCAAAAUUGGCAGGUUUCUGAUCAAUUUACUUGUUCAACCAGUCAAGCUUACCCAUUGGGCAAAAGUCUCACUUCUACUCAACCGCAUCAGAGAUUGAAACAGUCAAGUAUAAAAGAACAUCUUCCAAAGUAUAGUGGGACUAGACGGAACAUUUCUUAUGGUGAUUCUGGUAAUUCAUUAUCUCAAACAAAGAGAUUAAGGUCUGCCAACUUAUGUGGCCAAAAAGUCAUUGAUAUUGAUCCUGGAUUGGAGAGUGGCACUUCACAACUUUGCAGCUUUGAAAGCCGAGAAGCUGAAAUGGACUGGGAUAAAGAAGUUGGUAGUGUUUUGCAAAAUCAUUUUGGAUUUUCAUCUUUGAAAGGUUUCCAGAAGGAAGCUUUGGAUGCUUGGUUCGCUCAUAAGGAUUGUCUUGUUCUUGCAGCAACGGGGUCUGGUACUUGCCUUUCUUUUUGUUUAUCUUCAUUUUUAUAUUAGAUUUAGUGCUUGUCCAAACUAACGGGAACUUCUCCAGAAGCACUGUUGUCAAAAACUGUUCAAAAAAGCAUGAACAAUUCUUUCAUUAACAUUCCCUCCAAUGCUUCUAGCUGCAGCAGAAGCAAAAGCUGUGAAAUGGAGCUUUUUGUUUCUAGUCUCCGAAGUGCUUUUCAUCUUCGUGACACAGCAAAAGCUCCAGACUUCUUAUUGGUCAAAUCAUUACCUACUUAGGGUAGUAGAGUUGUUUCAGAAGCUGCCAUAUAGGCACUUAGACUUGUAUAUGCUUCAAAAUUGUCAAUUAAUAGAUCAUUCUGUACCUGAAUAAAUUCCUCAUUUUGCAGGAAAAUCUCUUUGCUUUCAGAUACCAGCAUUAUUGACACAAAAACUUGUGGUUGUGAUUUCGCCCUUGAUAAGUUUGAUGCAUGAUCAAUGUUUGAAAUUAGCAAAACAUGGAAUAUCAGCAUGCUUCCUUGGGUCAGGACAACCUGACAGUGGUGUGGAGCGCAAGGCAAUGAAUGGCAAGUAUAAGAUAGUUUAUGCUUGUCCCGAGACCAUUUUGAGGCAAAAACUUUAUCUCUUUCCUGAUUCUUUUUAUUUAUGUGAUAAUGUUAGUUACUUGCAGUGUCAUGAAGAUAAAAAUUAAAUUUUCUUUUGUGUAGGCUUAUGGAUCCGCUUAAAAGGCUUGCAGAAAAUCCUGGGAUUGCAUUGUUUGCCAUUGACGAAGUUCAUUGUGUUUCUAAGUGGGGCCAUGAUUUUCGGCCUGACUAUAGGUCUGAGCUCUGCCUGAUUUAAUUUUUACCUUGCUUGCUUAGACAUAAGACAUGUCGUUCUAGUGGAAUGUUUAGCCUGGUUGGAGCUUGUAAUAAAGAACCAUUUAAGUAUAGGUGUCCAAAGAAACAAAAACAAAUUCCUGCAUUUAAAUUCCUCCAAAUGGCUUUUUGCUGCAGCAGAGCUACAUAUAUCUUGUGCUUUUUGAGCUCACAAGCUCGUUUUAGCUUUCUCAAAGCACCAAACUUCUUGUUUGCUAGUUGCAUUGCUGUUGCUUCGUGGUGUAGCAAAACUGUCUUAGAAGCCUGGUGAAAUCAUCUCUAAGAAUUUUUAUGUUCCAAUAGUAAAUGUUUCUGUUUUGUUUCAUUUAGUUUGUUUCCGUCCUGUCAAACUCUUUAAGUAAUUAAUUAUUUAAAUUCUUUCUCAGACAUUUGUUCGUAUUGAGAGAGAACUUCAAUACCUCCAAUUUGAAGUUCUUAAAGUUUGAUGUACCAUUAAUGGCGUUGACUGCUACUGCAACAAUUCCUGUUCAAGAAGAUGUUAUCAAAUCCUUGCACAUGUCCAAAGAAACAAACAUUGUAUCGACUUCCCUUCUCCGGCCAAAUCUUCGAUUUACAGUGAGUUGGAAACUUUUCUAUAUGAAAAUAAUCAAUUCUAUUCCUUUAGAACGAAAAAGAAUAACUUCUAAGCUUUGACUAGUCUUUUUGAUUGUAUGAUUUGCAAAAGUUGCUCUUAGGAAAUUUAGUAGUGAAAGUUGAAAACAUUCAUUUGAAAACAUCUAUCUAUUAAAUAUAAUGAAAUCCCAGUUGGAAGUGACGUGGAGGCACCACAUUCACUUGGGUUUGUGGGGCCCACUUUUUGGCAAAUGACUUCAAAAUUUAAAUGCAUCGUUUAAUUUUACAGAUUUAAUUAGUUUCUGAUGUAAUUUUCGUAACUAAAUUUAUUAAAUAAGUAAUUAACUUAAACUCCAUCGAUUUCUCUUUUAUUUUUUAUUGUACAAUUUAUAUUUAAGUGAUCAAUAUUAUAAAAUUAAAAUUUAUAUUUAAUAUAUGCAAUUUAAACUAUUUAAAAGUACGUAUAAAUAAUUAUAUAUUUUAAAAUUUUAUAAUAAAAAAGAAAAAAACAGAUUAGAUUAAACAAAAAAGUCUGCUUCUCCUCAUCAAUAGAAAGAAAAAAAAAUAAAAUAAAGAAUUAAUAAAAGUUACCCCCCACCCCCCAAAACCCACUCCCCUUCUCGCUCCCACUUCUUGCCGCCUGUAAAAAACUAAGGUUCCAUAUAUAUGUAUAUAGAUAACUACUUUUAAAAUUUGGAAAUUUAAAGUUCAAUUUUAAAAUUCAAAAUUUUAAAUUUGAGACUUAAAAUUUAAAAUUUAGAUAUACAUCUAAAUUUAAAUUCAAAAUUUGAAUCCAAAAUUUAAAUAUAAAUAUAAAAUUUGAGUCCAAAAUCAGAUUUCAAGAAGCAAGUUUUAGCUUCUGCUUUUGGGCCUCUAAAAUUAGAACUGAUUCUAAAAAUCAAAGUUAGAUUUUGAAAAAGAGGUUACCAGAUGCUCUAUUGCAGGAAAAAUCACUUUUCGCCUUAAUAUCACUUUCUAGAAUCUAGGGCAAACAUAAAAAGAACUAACAGCUUAUUUCUAUGGCUGAAUAAGAAGCAUCUAAUUGGUGCUUCUGGUUUUCAUGCUCAGAGUCUCAUUUCUUCUUCCUGUUGCACCAAAAGCUUAAAAUUUUUCUCUUUGACAAAUGCUCUACUAUAUAGAUUGCUGCCUCUGAAACUAGAAACAAAAGCAGGGCAAGCAGGCCUUGAGGUAGCGUUUGGUUCGGGAACAAAGGGGGGAAUAAGCCCUUGUUCCCCUUUUUGUUCCCAAACAGUAUGUUUGGUUCCCGGGAACAGGAGUUCCAGGGUUUAUGGAACAAGCUGGUAUAAGGCUGGAAUUGCUGUUCCACCCGUUUCCUGAAACUAGUUUGUUCCUUGAUGAGAACAAGAUUAAUUAAAAUCUAAAUUUAAUUUUAAUGGCUGUAAAUUAUUAAUUAAUCUAAUUAAUAUAUUUAAAUCAUUAUUUAUUGCUUUAAUAAUUAAAUAAUUAAUUAAUUUAUUAUUUAUAAUUAAUUAUUAAUAAUUAGAUAAUUAUUAUUAUUAAUUUAUUAUUAUUUAUAAUUAAUUGUUAAUAAUUAGAUAAUUAUUAUUAUUAAUUUAUUAUUUAUAAUAUAUUAUUAAUAAUUAAUAAUAUUUAUUAUUAUUUAUUAAUAAUUAUUAUUCUUAAUGAUAAUCAAUAUUAUUAUUGAUUUAUUAUUUAUAAUUAAUUAAUAANNNNNNNNNNNNUAAUUAAUUAAUAAUAAUUAUUAUUAUUUAUUAAUAAAUAUUAAUAUUAAUUAUUAUUAAUAAUUAGAUAAUCGAUAUUAUUAUUAAUUUAUUAUUUAUAAUUAAUUAAUAAGAAUAAUUAAUAAUUAUUAUUAUUUAUUAAUAAUUAUUAAAAAUAAUAAUAAUAAUUAUUAUUAAUUAGAUAAUCGAUAUUAUUAAUUUAUUAUUUAUUAUUUAUAAUUAAUUACUAAUAAUUAUUAUUAUUUAUAGUUAAUUAUUAAUAAUUAAUUUAUUAUUUAUUUUUAAAUAAUAUUUUGAUGUUAAUUAAUUACAUAAUAUAUGUAACUCUUAUUCCUCUUGUUCCAAUCUAACCAUCCAAACACUAUUUACAUUAUUCCUAGGAACAACUCAAUUUUUAUCCAAACGCAAAAUUGGUCUAGUUCUGCUUAUACCUGAACUUGUACUUAUCCCUGGAACUAGCAGUUCUUAUUUAUACCCGAACCAAACGCAGCCUGAGAGUCCUUUUCACAUGGGAAUCAGCACAAUGACAUUAAAACCCAAAAUAUCAGUUAUCGAUUAUGGUGUGUUCUUACUCUUCUUUCCAUUGCUAUUUAUAGGUAACACAUAGCAGAACCACUUCGAUCUCAUCAUAUGAAAAGGAUUUUCGUGAACUGAUAGAAACAUACACUGCAGGAAGGGUACCUUGUCAAAGAGGUCUGAACAAUAACAAUCAUGGGGAAAAUUUUGAUUACUCUUUUGAGUCUACAGAUGAUUGCCUAUCUAAUGAUGAAGAAUCUUGUGAAUCUGAUGAUGAAGAAUCUUGUGAAUCUAGUGACGAAGAACCUGAAUCUAGUGAUGAAGAAUCUAAACUAUGUGAUUCAAAAUUAUUUGAUGUCAGUGACAUUGACGAGAACAGUGACAAUACAUAUUCAGUUAAUGGUGGUUCUGCUGUUUUUCCAGAGGAUUACCUGGAAGAUGUGCUAGACUUUCAGCAUGCAAUAGAUGAUUUAGAUGGUAAUGUGCUAAUGUUUUCUAAUUGUUAUAUGAUAACUGCUUUUAUUGUAUACUCUUUGACCAAUAUCUGAUUACAUUUUAAGUGAAGUAUCAAUAAGAUUUUCUGUUGCUCGUACUGAACUUUUUCAUGCAGUUUGUAGCUCGGAGAUUGCAGGUCUAAUGUACUUUUCCAUUAUGUACCAUUGUUGAGUGGAAGGUGAUAAGCAACCGGCAUAUAAUUAUUAUUUUACAUUAAUCUUAACUUUAUCAUCUUUUUGAAAUAUUGUGUUUGCCGGUUAGCAAUUGCUUGUUAUCAUCAAGGUUUAGAAACCAACCCGAACUGGCAGGUCAGACUGGGUUGACCGGGAGCCGGUCCAACGGUCGAUUAGAACCAUUUGAGCCAGCCUGUUAACCACAAAUUGUUGAAGCGGCUGAUUCAAGUAAAUAGGUCCCGAUCCAUUAUAAAGUGUAAAAUAAUUUUCACUUGGGCGGGAUUCAAUCCUGUGUCCACCAGGGCGCAGAUUUAGUACUCUAACCACCUAGCGAAAGCUACUCAUCUUACUAAGUAUAUGGAAGAGUACAAUUUAAAGAAUUUAAUAAGUCAAUUUUUAUAUAUUUAUAAAUAUAUUUAAAUAUUACAUUUAUAUAUUUUUAUAUUUAUAUAAUUUUAUAGUACGACCCCGGUUAAACCCCGGUUGAAUAUCUGACCCAUGAACCUCUCCCUUGACCGAUUCGAUGGCUGGUUCGGUUUUCAGAAUACUAGGAACUACUAUAUUGAUCGAGAUAUUCUACAUAUGUGAUGUGUCUUCUCAAUUUCAUAGUGUGAAGUUCGAUGGAUUAGUUACAAAAUUUAUUUGCUGAUCACCAAUUGAUUGAUAAAGUUCAAUUUCUUCGUUUACAUUUUACAAUUUAUGCAGUUUUUACAAUUUCGUAAGGGUUACCUUGUUUUGGCAUAUUUGGUAUUCUAGCUUGUCAUGUAGGAAUUUACGUCUUAGAGAUGGCGAGAAAUGGUACUAAUACAUGUUUUUUGGCAAAUAUUGAUGGUGCCUCAAGGAAUGCUUGCCUAACAUGUUCAUUUUCUUGCUUAGUUUUCUGAUAGAAUAAAGAUUAGUGCAUGCUUUGGUUUUUCCUUCUGCUGGCUUGUAUUGGCCAGAGCGAUCAAAGUUAUUGGUUAUAGUGGUUGCAUUAGACACUCCUUUGAUCGUCACAUAAGCUGGUGGCUGCUGUACAUGCCUAGGUCACUUAGUGGUAGGUAUGCUUGGCUCUCUUAGAGAAAUGUCUUUGGCGUUGCCCGGCAACAUGAGCUGCUUCGGCCCCAUAGGGACAGGAAGAGUCUGGGUCCCAUAGGAUGAGAGUGUCUUGUAGAGUGUAAUAUACCGAAAAUUCGGAAAGUAAAUAUCGAACUUUAGUCAAAGUGACCAAAAUGCGAGGUUGGUACCCUUCGGAAAGUCCGAAGGUGUUAAAAUGAGUAAAAGUGCAUUGUGGGAGGUCUUCGAGAGCUAAAGGAAUAAAAAAAAUCUGCAUUCUGUAGGUUUUGAGCUUUAGGGGACCGGUCCUUGAAGGAAGAGACCGGUCCCCGAACGCGUGAGAACUGAGAAAGCUGAAAAAUCGGCUAAGUCCCAGAAAACCAGCUCUCGGGAACCGGUCCCUACGGGGAGAGACCGGUCCCCGAGAGACCGGUCCUCGAGAGACCGGUCCCUUUGGGAGAGACCGGUUGCAUUGCGCGGGGGCCCUGGCUGCCCGCGGGGAGAGCUCUCUGGGACCGGUCCCUUAUCGGGGAGACCGGUCCCCGAGCCCGUGAUCUGCCCAGUCCGGGUAGUGUCAUAUAGUGAAAGUUGAGGGGCCUAUUUGCAUUUUUGCAUCAAGUGGGUUAUGUUUAGGGCUGAGAGGGCCCUUCCCCUCAUUUCUCUCACCCUCUCACACUCUUCUCUCUCUUUCUCUCGCUAGACAUAAGGAGGAGAAGACAAAGAAGAAAAGAAAGAAGAGAAAGAAGAAAGGAAGGAAAGGGAAAAGAAGAAGAUGGAGGAGUAGAAGGUGAAGAAGAAGUUAAGGAGUAGAGCUACUUCCUCUUCUUCCCCUUUGGAGCAACAAAGGAGAGCUUACAAGGUAAGCUUUCAUCUUCUCUCAUGGUAGAACUUAAGCUAGGGUUUCGAUUUCCCUAAGGAUGGUUUUCAUGAGAUCCCUAGAGUGUUUGGAGCUAUCUUUUGCUUCUUGUUGAGAUCAAAACCUAGGGUUUGAUAUAUGCUAUGGAGCUAGGGCACCCAAAUUUGGGGCUUUUGCUCGGGAGGAUUUCAAAGUGAAAUUAACCCUCUAGAAACCUAAUUGGGGACCAAACGAACGCGUUGGUGCGCUCGGUUCGCCGAAACGAAAAGUCUAUGUAAUGAUAUGAGCAAAAAGGGCCUAAAUUGGCUUCGUUUUGCCGCAGGUGACGAGAGCGAGGAGUCUAAAAAUUCCGAGAAAAAUUAUUGUAGCAUCCUAGUACGCCUACGAGGUGGGUGGUGCUAACCAAACUUGUUGGAAUUCCCCUUAUGUCAUUCAAUUGAGCAUAUAUUUAAGUUGUUGCAUGCAUUAUAGGGUAGAUGUGAUGUUAUAUAUGUGAAUGUUGCAUGAUGUGAGUACACGUGUUAUUCGAAAUGUUUGAGAACCUAUUCAACCCUAUAUGUAUGCAUGAGAUAUAAUGUGAGCGCCCAAUGAGAUGAAAGAACAAAGUGACACAAUAAAACAUAGAUUGAGUGGAAUCCGACAAUGUUAAGUAAUAUGACACUAGAGUUAGUGUGUGUGGCAUCAAAGAGAAAUGUGACGCAAAGAACAAUGAUAAUGAUUAGAGACAAGUAAAGAAAAUGAAAGUGACAUAAUGAACGAGUAAAGUUAAAGAACAAUGAUUGCUAGAGUUAGCAAAAUAAAGUGAUGUAAAGAACACUAGAGUUAGUGUAAAGACAAUGAUUGAACUAUAUAUCCUUAGAGUUAAGGAUCGAUCAUACAUGCUAUGAGUUCCGUGCUCGAGGGCGGUAGCUCCCCCUCGAGCGAUGCGCUCCUGAAUUUUGCAUCACGGGUUGGAGUCAACCCGAGGACGGUCUUAGCGGGAGGCAGAGCUGAGGGCCCGCGAUGAUGGACUUAAUGUGGACAAGUUAAUGUGGCGAAACCCCCGGGUUAGCCGUGAGAUUAAAGAACAAAGAACAAAGAUUAAAGAAUAAAGAGUAAGGAACAAAGGACUUGCAUACUUGCAUGAUUUACGUUGAGCAUGUUUCUUGCUUUAUUGUUCAGGCAUAUUAGCAUCAUGAUCAUAGUUUGGUUACUGUUCUGCUUAUCCUUCUAUUAUGCCUGAGUUAAAGUCGGUGAGAUUGGGGCCGAACCCACUGAGAACUUUGUUGUAGUUCUCACCCCACCAUUCCACAGAGCCGGGAUCGAGCGAGCCGGCGAGCGACUGUGGUAAAGGUAUCGCACCAUAGUCAGAGGCCACCAGAGUUGGGUUAUUUCAUAUUUUUUUAGUAGCUACCCUAUUGUCAUCUUUUGUAUGUGAAGAUGGUUAAUGUAAAGUAAAGAAUGUAAAGUUUUAUUUUGUGGCAAUGUGAUGUAAAAAGAAAUGAUGCACGUGAAGUAAUGAAAUGUAAAGACUCUAUGAAUGUACAAGUUGGAUGAAAUGGAUACAUGUAUAUGAUUUAAAGCGAAUCAUAGAACUUGUGUAGAUGUUUAGUUCCUUUCUUUCACUCUUGGCUAUUGCUUACUCUCGUGUAAGCCGUUUGUGUUUGUUUCCGCUAGUGCUUUUCUUUAUUUGAAAAUGUACAACUGAUGAGCUUUUGGCGGACAGGGGAAACUCUGUCCGUUCGGCGUCUGUUCGACGUGUUCGAGCCGGCCCAAAUUAGUAUCGGUUCCGGGGCGUGACAGAUAGAGUGGUAUCAGAGCCUAAAGUGAAAGAAUAGGAAUGGACCUAGAGACCUAUAGGAUUGGCAGACCUUAAGGAUUUAGGAAACGUGAGUGACGUGGGAUCAAAGUUAGCGAAAGCAUGUGAUUGGGUUAAGUUGGGACGUCUCUAAUGUGAUUAGAGGCUAAGUUUAAUUUUCAUUUGUCCUCUACUUCUAGUGUUGUGUCGGGCGGCCGACGACAUGACGCUUGGGGGCAAGGAUGAAUGUGCAUGUUGCUUUCGCCGGAUUGGGUAUGGUCAAGUAAUGUUGGUCAAAUAGCUAAUGAGUAUUGCUUCGUCGUGGACCUCGAACUAGGUCAAUGCUCGAGGAGCCGAGUGCAGAGCCUGAGCGAUCCGGAGCGAGUGUCGACGGAGAGCUUAGGGAGCAAAUGGCUGUGCUUAUUGGAGUAGUGCGGCAACAAGCGGAGUCUGUGCGAAGCCAAGGGGAGCAGAUCCAAAGGCUCCAAGAGGCUAUUGAGUGACAACAGGCGGCGGUGACGCAGGCGGGCGCCGGACCUCCUGCGCCCCCUGUUGCGGUCGAGGGUUUAGCGGCGGAGCCGGUUGCGGCUGUGCCAGUUACGGCGGUGCCGGCCGGAUCGGGAACUUCAAAUCCCGGUGGUGCGGUAGUAGAUGCAGAGCGAGAGUGCCUGUUGGCGGCGCGUAUCCAGUACCAGAAAUUCAACCCACCUGUCUUUGAAGGUGGCAUGGUGGAGCCGACGGUUGUGGAGUCGUGGAUCGACUCGAUGGAAAUGCUCUUCGAGGACCUCAAUAUCUCGGAGAAGGACAAAGUGUAUUUCGCCACCCAUUGUCUCGAGAAGGCGGCAAAGGUGUGGUGGAAACGGGUUAAGCGGGAUCGACUUGCCGAUCCUCCGCUUAUGCUUUGGGAGGAGUUCAAAAGAGCGGUGUUCACGAACUACUUCCCCGAUACGGUAGAGCGGAGACUACAAGAGAAGUUUCGCAAGUUAAGACAAGGUGAUCGAUUGGUGGGGGAAUAUGAGCAAGAGUUCUCUCACAUUAUCGACUGCGUUCCCGAUGUUGUUCGAGAUGAUCGGGAUUGGGCUGAUUGGUUCUCACGAGGAUUCCAGCCAAGGAUUUAUGAGAAGGUGCAGAUCUUAAAGCUUACGACCUUUGCGGAGGUCUUUGAUCGAGCCUUAUGGGCGGAGCACGGUACCGCCCACGUUCGAGAGAAACGGGAGGGCUAUGGCCGAGACGAAGGAUAAAGGCAAGAAGCGAACGACAGGCGGUGCCGGGGCCGGUCGAAUGCUAAGAAACCCGCUCGGUAUCCCCGACAGUAGUUAAGGAACUGGAGACCAUCUCGGUGCGUCAUUUGUGGCAGAGAGCACCGAGUGUCGACUUGCUCGCAGCGCGACGGCAAGUGUUUUAAAUAUGGCCAACCGGGACAUCUUAUCCGGGAGUGCCCGAGCUGGACGUUGUCUGCGCCGACGGCGGCAUCAGCACCGACUACCUCGAGACAGGUUGCGGGGUUGCCACCAGCGAUGUCGGCUGGGCGCGCAUCGUCACCGUGUCAGCCGGAGGGAUCGAGAGCGCCUAGCGGCCGAGUCUUUGCCGCUUAGGUGGAGGAGCAGCCUGCAGCAUCCGACGAUGUCGUGGCAGGUAUAGUUGUGAUUAAAGGCACUAGAGCUAGAGCUUUAUUCGAUACUGGUGCAUCUCAUUCAUUCAUUGGCGCAUCUUUUGCAAAAACUCAUGGUAUCGAAAUAGUGCAUAGUUAUGACUAUUGGUGGGUCAAUGCACCGGAACAUUCGUUCAGAGUGCACGAGGAGUGUUUGGAGGUUUCGGUGCAAAUUGGCAAAUGGAUUAUGCCGAUAGACUUGCUAGUGCUAGACCGGAUGUGGGGCUACGAUGUUAUCUUGGGGACCAAUUGGCUCUCUAAGUAUUAUGCGGUCAUAGAUUGUAAAAGCAAGGUUAUCACUUUACGUGAGCCUAAUCAAGAAGAAUUGGCGUACCAAGCGUGCAAAAGUAAGCGCUUCGCGGCGACUAUAUCAUCGGUGAGGGCGAAGAAGAUGAUCAAAGGAGGGUAUAAGGCCUAUUUGGCAACCAUGGUUGAUGGCCGGAUGGAGCACCUAGGACUUGAGAGUAUAAAGAUCGCUUGUGAGUUUCCGGACGUAUUUCGGGCGGAGUUACCGGGAUUGCCACCGUACCGGGAGGUCGAGUUUGUCAUUGACUUGAUUCCCGGGGCGGAACCAGUUUCGAAGGCUAUGUAUAGAAUGGCGUCGGUGGAGUUGGUGGAACUAAAAGCCCAGUUGCAAGACUUGCUCGAUAAGGGCUUCGUGAGGCCGAGUGUGUCACCGUGGGGAGCUCCGGUACUAUUUGUGAAGAAAAAGGAUGGCACACUUCGACUCUGCGUAGACUAUCGCGAGUUGAACAAAGUAACGAUCAAGAACAAGUACCCGUUGCUAAGGAUUGACGAUCUAUUCGAUCAACUGCAAGGGUCAAAGGUGUAUUCAAAGAUUGAUCUCCAGUCGGGGUAUCAUCAAUUAAAGAUUAGGCCGAAAGAUGUGCACAAAACGGCGUACCGUACGCCGUAUGGCCAUUAUGAGUUUACGGUAAUGCCGUUUGGGCUUACUAAUGCCCCGGCAGCGUUCAUGGACUUGAUGAAUCGAGUCUUCAGGCCGUUGUUGGAUCGAUGCGUCGUGGUGUUUAUAGACGACGUAUUGGUUUAUUCGAAGAGUGAGGAAGAGCAUGAGGAGCAUUUGAGAGCUGUGCUACAAAUAUUCCGACAAGAGAAGCUCUAUGCUAAGUUGAAAAAGUGUGACUUUUGGCUAAAGGAGGUCACAUUUUUGGGUCAUGUGGUAU